CUGUUUCAUGAUCAUUGUUCCUAUAAAACUCCAAAAACCAACGACAAAACCCAUGACGAUGCUGGUAAUUUCCCACACUGUUUCAAGCCUGUCAUCAUUUUUCUCUUCCUGUUCAUCUGCUGCAUGAGGUGGACUUUGAUGAGCUGCAUCACCAGGACACUCUGGCAGUGGCGUACCACAAAGGUAUUAAUUACCAUCAUAGAUUGACGGGUCGUCAAUGAAGGUCGACAUUUGACCACCGGCUGUUGGAAUUCUUCCUGACAAGUUAUUGUGAGAGAGAUUCAAGUGGCUUAGGAAGUUGAGAGAUGAAAAGCUGGAAGGAAUAUCUCCUGUGAGAUUAUUCAUUGAUAAGUCAAGUGAUUCCAGUUGUUCCAUGGAACCAAUGUUUUCUGGAAUAGCUCCUGUCAAAUGAUUGUUGGAUAAGUUGAGGAAGUGCAAUCCAUGAAGUUUCGUAAGCUCUUUUGGGAUCUCGCCGGAAAGAUUAUUGUUUGAUAGGUCUAUGCUUGUUACAAGUGAGAGACUUGUGGUGUAUUGGAUGUCAUAUCCUUUUACCGUUAAUACUAUGCUCUCGCCAUAGUAACCGCCAACAUUAACAAGAUCAAGCAACGAUGUAGUGUCAUUUUGUAUCUCAACCAUAGCACUACAAUUUCCUAGAGACGAAGGAAUGCUACCAGAAAGAAGGUUGGAAGAAAGAUCCAAAACCUGAAGAGAAGUGAGAUUUGCUAUGUGCACUGGAAUGGUACCAUAAAAUAGGUUCGACUUCAAACAAAGAACUCUCAAGGUUAAAAGGUUUUCUCCCACCCAUAUUGGUAUUUCAUCAUACAAAUUAUUUUCACCAAUUUUGAGAGUAACCAAUCGUUUACAAUGUUUCAAGAAGGAAGGAAAAUUUCCAGAUAGAUUGUUAUGGUUCAGAUGCAAAGAUAGUAAAGAAGUUGGGAAUGAUUUAUGACACUUGGGAUUUCCCCAAAUAAAUUAUUAUUUGAUAUGUCGAGGACUUGGAGAUAAUUAAGAUUGCAGAAAAAAGAAGAAAAACUACCAUUGAUAUUGUUAUGAGCUAAAGACAAAAUUUCAAGGCUUGAGGCAUUUGCAAAACUUAUUGGAGAGAUCGAUUACUUUCUAGGGAGUAAUGGGCCAUUCAAGUUAUUAGAACUUAAGUUAAGAGUCCAUAAAUCUUUUGAAAAAUCCAAAAACCAAGUUGGAAGGUUGCCUAAGAGUCCAACUCUAGAUAAAGAAAGAUAUUUCAAAUUUAUUUUUGUUUGAAUCCAAGCAGGAAAUUUAGUUCCCAAUGACAUGAGCUCGUGUAAAUAGUGUGGGCAUUAAAAGGUGAAAGCCAAUUAUUGGGUAGGAUCACUCAAGGAGCUGUAAGAUAUGCCUAAAUAAAAUAAAUUGAUGAGUUUGAAAAAGUGUGCUUUGGUGAUGUUGCUUUCCAGCAAAUUUGAGGAGAGAUGUGUAAUAUAGAUAAUUAACCUAUAUUUAAAGGGACAAUUCCACUCAAAUUGUUAGCCCUAAUAAAUAUAUCUAAAUUUGAGAAGAGAUCCCACUCAAUUUGUUAACUCUCCACUAAUAUGGUUAUGGGACAAAUCUAUCCUUCUCAAUUUGCAUAGUUCAUGUAGAGUCCCAAAUACUUACAUUGUCAAGUGGUUAUAUGAUACAACCAAGUUACAAAGUCUGUUGAAAGUCUAAUAAUAAAAUUAUCAUAUAAAUAUAGAGCUUGUAUAUUUUGAAGAUUCUCCAUGGUUUAUGGUAUUUGUUUUGAAAUCUACAAUUUGAUAAGAUCACCAAAAGCCAUUGGUAUACCUCCAUUAAUGUUGUUGUUCGAAAGAUAUAAGUAUUUCAAAUUGGUGAGAUUUACAGUAGUUUCUGGUAUUUAUCCUGAAAUCUUAUUUUCUAUCAAUCUCAAGCUCUCCAAGUUGAUGAGAUUACCAAUAGUCAUUGGUAUAGUAUUCCAAAUUGAUGAGAUUCUCCAUAGUUUAUGGAAUUUCUCCAACAAUGUGAUUGGAUGCCAAACUUAAAUAUCACAAGUUGCUUGUGAAAUUUUCUAUCAGGAAUAUGUCCAUUGAGCUCAUUACCAUCUAAUUCAAGGUACUCCAAGGGGCCAAGACUCUCCAAGAUUUGUGAAAUAUCUCUACUUAAUGAAUUCCCACUCAGAUCCAAAUGCUUUAAGCUCCUGCUCACAUUCAUUACCAUUCCAAGAAUUUUUCGUUUGAUUCCAUUAUAUUGCAAAUCCAAUUCUUUCAAAUUACUCAGAGCUCCCAGAGUGACUUGUAGUGACUCAAUAUCGAUACAACUACAAUAAGAAAUAUCAAGAUAUGGACUGGGGAUUGAAUUAACUUGGUGAAGCCAAUUAGUUGCUUUAGAGAGGUUGACAGAACUCAUAUCAACAUGUUUUAGAGAAGGAAUUCGGGAGAGCUAAUCAAGGUCAUCAGCUCGUAGAUCACUUUGUCUACAUCCUUUGAUAUCGAGGUAGUGUAGGUUGGAGAGGUUCCCCAGGCGAGGAGGUAUUAUUCCACCAAACCCAGCAUUGGAUAGGUUAAGAUAUUCCAAGUGCGCAAGCGAAGCAAUCAUGUGGGGGACGUGGGCACCAGAGAAAUUAUUGAUGCUCAAAUCCAGAUAUUUCAAAUGCUUCAGAUCACGUAAAGCGGGAUUUACCUUGCUCGCACCCAUCCCGUCUAGCAUAAAGCAAAAGUCAUCCUCGUCAUCCCAACCGGAAUGGCGAGUGUAAGGAUAGUGGAGGUCGAGCUUGAUGACAUGGUUGGUGCUGUUGUCACAAGCCACUCCUCUCCAACGACAGCAAUCUUCACCGAUCCAAGAAGAGAACCUUUUGCCGGAGUCGUACAUAUCAGAUCUGAUGGCUUGGAGAGCUCUCCUCUCGCUCUCUAUGCAGCUUCCCCCCUUCGCCCCGAGAUGGCCAUCAUGAUCGCCCCCGCCAUGGCCGAGACAGCAGGAGAUGGCUCCAAUGCUCAUAAUUAUGGCCAUGAGCAUGGUGACAUGCUUUGAGUAAAUAGAUCCGCCCUUGCAGCCGUUGCCGACAGCCAUUGAGAGAGGAGGAAGUUUUAGGUGUGAUGUUGGAAGAAGUUUACAUACAUACAUAUAUAUAAUAACAUUACAACUGAUCGAUCUCCAGCACUGGUGAGGUUCCCCACACUCCAACCAUUAUAGUGUGGCUACGAAAAGAGUCAUGACGUGAUGAAUGGGUUAGAACGAGACUGGCAAAUGUGAUUGUGAUGUGAAAUGUGAUUGUGGAUACAUCUUAAGACCAGUUAUUAUGGAUAUGAGAUCUUUCCACUCCGAAGUAUUUGUGGUGUGGCUAUGAUGUAAGUCAAAAUCAAAGUCAAGCAAACAUCUAUGUUUUAUGACGUAUUUGUGAUGUAGAUUGGUUUAUUGAAUCUUUUACCGUUGAUUUAUCUUCCUAAUAUGCUGUAUCAAGUGGAUAAGAAAUGUCACUGUUAUACAUACAUCUUUUCCUAUAUAUUCUUUCAUGUUCAAUCAAUUUUUACGUAUAUAAAAAGAAUAAAAUUAUUUAGAAAAUAAUUUAAGUGUUGGUCCUACCCUUUAGCACACACAAGUCAAAAGGAGUCCUUUUCAUUCAAUUAUUUUUUUGUAAGAAAUAAUUGUUAUCAAUAGUGACAAUAUUUACCGGUUAGAUUAGCCAAUAUUUUCUAAGAAAAUUGACAUUUUGAAUACUCAACACUUGGUAAGUUGAUCUUCUCACUUCUCAAUCCUCUAUCGAUUUGAUGAUUCUAAUUCAAAAACGAGUUGGUGAGGUCUUCAUGUGCGUGCAGAUGCUAACUGUUCCAUCAUAUACCAUUAAACACAUCGCAAGAUGAGUUAGACUAAGAAUCGACAAGUGACUGCUACCUUCUGUAGUGGGAAGUGAUGAGUUCAGAUCAUUUUCUAGUUCAUGGCCUCUGCUCUGCGAGGAGCAGCAGGAAAGAACAGCAGAGAAGACACUGCUGAUUCCGAAAUGCUUAUACUGUGAUGCCUCAACACAAAGAUAUAAGUCAGACAAAUUGUCUUAUCUCAUGAGAACAAGAAAGCCUCGAGCUUUUCUUGUCGUCAAGCUAUGAACGAAAGCCAUUUGUACCUAAUCAAUGUACAGGUAAAUUCUGAAGUGCUCGCAAUUCAUUUAGUGUUGUUGCAUUUCACAGACCAUUCUUACUUAAGUGCCAAUCUGUCAUCUUUCAGGCAUUGAUGAUCAUUAAUAUCAGAUAGUGAAGUCAGCAAAAGAUGAUGUCUUCAAUAGUAGGAAAAGGAGAAAGCAAUUACAUCACAGGUCUCCUAUAAUCAACAAGCACUGUUGUUGGAGGGGGAAGAAUGACAACUCAAUAGUUCAACCUUUUCAUUGAUUUUUAUAUAUUCCUAAGAAUCCUAAUUUAACAUGAACCUUUUAGUUGGGAACGUGAGAUAUCAAUCAAUAUGCAAAAAGCAGAAUUCAAUCACUGUUCUGGUGAUGUCAAAUUUACCUCAUAAUAUGUUCUUUAAUUAAAGAAUAUAUUAAAGCAAUACGUAAAUUAUAGUCGAACAAUGAUGUAAUCAUUACUGGUCAGUCAGUAAUUGGAUCGACAAGUUAUUCUGAUAGAACGAAUACUUAAUACAAAUAUCUAAAAUAAAAUAUUAUUUAUAUAUGUUUUAAAUAUGAAUAUUUAUUAUUUGAGAAUAUGACAAGAAAGCAACUGAGUUCAAGUUAUCGAGUUCAUUUAAGAUCUUUUAUUGUUAACACUAAAGGCAGAAAUGAGUUGUGGAAUGACCACUAUUAGGCACAGGAUUUUAUAGUAGUCCUUUUAUACUCUAAAAUUGGCUUAAUUUGGAUAUAUCUCAAAAAUAAUUAUUGUGGGCAUAAGAUCUUUUCACUUUGAAGUAUUUAUGGUGUGACUACAAUAUAUAAGUCAAAGUAAAACAAAACAGAUAUCUAUCUUCGUGGAGAGAUAAUAGUGACAUGUUUUAAUGAGGUGAUAAAUAUAUUGGUUUCUUGGAUCCUCUUCUAUUCAUUUCUCGAGUCCUCUUCCUAAUUUAUCAUAUCAAGUGGACAAGAUAUGUCACUAUCAAUGUUUCUUAUAUGUGGAUUUUCCUAUUUGUAAUUUCAUAUUCAUUUUUUUGUAAAGUAGACAACUUGCAUAGAAUUAGAAAAAACAUGUUCAUAAAUAUAAAAAAGAAGUAUUUUUUUUAGAAAAUAGAAAUGACACUUCAAAAAAAAAUCUCUUCUCAAAUAUUCAAUCUUUAGAGUGACUUUCCAAUAAUAUUUAGAUCAAUUAAAGUAAGAAGAGUGAUUGAGAUUUGAGAAAAGGAAUCCACAGAUGAUUCCAACAUUAAGUUGAGAAGGAUCCAAAUUUUCAUCCGUUAAAAAAAUAAAAAAUACAUCCUCAACCAAUUGUCUCUCAAUUAGAUGACCAAUUAGCCGGGAUUACUUUUGCUCGAUUACACCACUGUAAGUAUUACAACCUAGGAACUAAGAGAUAUGGCCAAAAGUGACACACUCAAUAUUAGAAAAACAUUCAUCUUGGCAUGGCAAUUGGGUUUUCAUACCCCACUUGACAUGUCGUAUUGAAAAGUCUUGUAACCUGUUGAGUGGUUUAAUAAGGGGAUGAAAUGAAACAAUCUAGUCUAAAGUCUUGGAAAUUGAUUUCGCCCUUAGAUCGUUUCUUGAUGUCUCAUUUUAACUCACUCGUCAAGGGAAAAGAGAGAGAGAGAGGUCACUGUGUAGCAUGCGCACCUUUCUCUCUCUUUCCUUCUUUUUAUUUUUCUUUAUCUUUUUUAAUGCAGAACUAACAAGUAUAUCUAUUUUUAUUUUUAUUAUAUAUGUAUAGAUAAUAUUUUGAUAGGAUGCUAUGACUCAUCAAUUUAUAGACUUCUCGUAUUUCCAUAAUUUAUUGAUUAAUUUUUUCAUAUCAUGUGACAUAGGCAAUCCUAAAGAAAUGCUUAAUAUAUAAGGGAAUUGGGUGAUGAUAGAUAAUAAAUAAAAAAAUAAAAUAGAGAAAGAAAAUAAGAAAAAUAUGAUUUGUCAAAAUAUUAAUUUAAUGAGAAGGAUUUUGAAAUAUUAUUUUGACUUACUUUGUUGAAAUAUAGAUGAAAUAUUUUGACUUAUUACCUUUUCCUUUAUUUAUGUUUUUCUUCUUAUUUAUUGAUAAUCUUGAAAAUAAGAUCAUAAAUAUAAAUAUGUAGGAGACUGUCAUGUAGUAAUUUGAAUAUGUCAAUUAAAUCUCAACCUGAAUUCACUAUCAAUCCAAAUGAAUAUAUAUAUUAUAACUGAUCAAUCAAUCUCAAGGAUCGAUGAGGUUCCAACACUCCAACAUUUAUGGUAUGGCUAUAAAUUGAGUUUGAAAUGAUGAAUGAGUUGAAAUGAAAGUGACGAAUCUUCCUUGAGAACUCUUGAAAUAUUAAUUGGGAUAUAAAAUAUAAUUAUAUAUAUAUAUACAUAUAUAUAUAUAUAUACAUAUAUAUAUAUAUAUAUACACAUAUAUAUAUAUACACAUAUAUAUAUAUAUAUAUAUGUACAUAUAUAUAUAUACAUAUAUAUAUAUAUGUAUAUAUAUAUAUCUCAAGACUAGUUAUUGUCAGUACGAAGUCUUCCCUGUUCGAAGCAUUUGCAGUGUCACUACAAUAAAAGUCAAAGUCAGGUAGACAUCUUUGUUUGAUGAAAUGUUUUAUAACGUAUUUGUGGUGUAGAUUAGUUUAUUGAAUCCUCCUCUAUUGAUUUAUUUUGCUAAUUACAAUGUCAAGUGGACAAUAAAUGUUACUAUUAUACAUGCACCUUUUCCUAUAUGUAUUUUGAUGUCCAAUUAAUUUUUACUUAUAUAAAAUGAAAUAAUAUUUAUAGAUAAUAUCUUUACUUAUUCACGUAUUCACGUAUCUAAUUUUUUUCUUUGAGUUUUUAGAAGGUCUUAUCCUUUUAUAGAUGAGAGUUGAUAGUCUAAAAUAAGUAAUUAGGAGUCACUCCCAAUAAGAUCAUAUACAAAGAAAUUAUAUCAUAAUUAUGUUAGGACUGAAAUCGACACUAAGAGAGGAGGUGAAUUAGUGCUAUCGGAAAACUUUUGUAGAUUUAAAACUUUCGUUCGAUAAAACUAUUUCAAUGAAGCUCGUAUCGGAAAGAUGUUUAAAUUUAAAAAUGUUCGUAAGAGAGUGAUGAUCAAGUAAAGCAGUUUGUAGUAAAAGUAAAUAGCAAAGAAAGGGAGUACACUAGUUUUAUAGUGGUUUGAUCAUCGUGACCUAUGUCCACUCCUGAUUUCUCCCCGUCGAGGCCACUAGCUUCUACUAUCGAUCUUUUUUCAAUGGGGAAGAUCAAUUACCCUCUUACAACCCUUUUCUCCUUUUCAUAGGUUUAAGAGAUAACCUUUACAAGCCACUCACCCCUCUCUUAAACAAAAUUUACACUUAGAGCUAGAGGAAGGGAAUUCUCACAAGAUUACAAUUGUGUUUUCCCUCUUUUUUUGUUCUCAGUUCUUGUGUUAACCGAGCAAGGAUGAGUAGGUAUUUAUAGGCCCCAAAUAGAUUUAAAUUUGGAGCAAAAAGAGUUUCAUCUCGAGUCUUCGGGUACUAGUGGUUCCACCGCUAAUAUUGGGUGGUACUACUGCCCAAUCUGGUAGUACCACCAUCUGAUAGUCUCGAAGACUAGGUUUUGACUUUUUCCAGGUCACAAGUAGUUCCAGUGCUUAACCCAACUUUUGGGUCACUAAAUCAACCUUUCUCUUUACCUAAAAUAGCUUUAACUUAGGCUCAAUGGACCCAUAAUUGAGUUGGUCUAAUUAUAUUCAAAACCAACUCAAUUAGAACUCUAAACUACUUCAAUCUAGACAAAUUAUUAUAAAGCAUGAAUCAUAUAUUAUCUAGCAUGCCAUUGGUUCUUCUAAUGCUUCGUUCAAUCCUUCGGCGUAUUGCCCAAUCAACAUAUUAACUUUCCGCAAUAUCUGUUCUCCUUAGUGAAAAAUCUGAUUCUUUCAGCCCGAUGCCUAAACUCAUUGCACGAAAUUCUUCUACCGACACGUCAACUAAUCUUAUGAUAUGUUCAACUUCGGCUCAACGCCUGAUUCCUCUUAAUUCAAUCAAUUUGCUUCUCUUUGAUCGAAGCUAGUCUUGCAUCACUCAAAAUAUAGAUUAGAUCACAAACUCAUCAAUUGAUUUUAUCAUCAAAAUCUAAGAUUCAAUAAAUUAAACUUUGAUUCUAAUAAUCAAAAUCAAAAUCUAAUUAUAUCUAUAAAAUAUAUUAAUUUGAUAGAGUCACAUAAACUAAUAAUAAUAUCUAAUCACAUUAACUAGAUUAAACAUGAAAGAUUACUAAAAAUAAUAAAAAUUAUCUAACAAAACUACCAUAUAAAAUAACAGCACUACGGAAGAUAAAAGUAGUUGAAGUGAUUAGAAGGAAUGCAUACGUGAUGGUAUUCAUGAAGCCAAAGGUUAUCAACGAUACUUCUUCCUUCUUUAUGCAUGAUGAAUACAUACAGCAUUACUUGAAAGAAGCUUGUGACCUCAGAAUGUAAUAAUAACAGCAUUAUAUCAACUGCAAGCCGUCUACUUUUUUAUUAUUUAAUGAGAAGUCCUUAGACACCAGUUUUAUAAAGUUUUUUAACCUCUAUCUUUCAAUCUUAUCUUGAUUAUUAGAGUUUGUCUAUGUAUUCUUCACCUCCUCAACCAUUUUUAUGACCAAAUACUCUCUCCGUAAGAGCAAGGAAUCAAUGACUCCACGAAGUUCCACCUCUAUAGUACCAUGACACUAUCAUGCCAUGCCCAUGGCCCUAGUAUUCGUUGCCUCGCAUCUAUAUCCCUUUCUUUAUUAUCGAUAGAUCCACCUCUAUGGUACUGUGGCACUCCUCUGAGUCCAAUUUCAUUAUAAUCAAUGCUUGAUUUUGGAUAGCCAAGUUCCUUUAGACUCAUCAUCGCUUCUUCACCCAUUUUGACAAUAUGCUUCAACACCUCUGUGUUCUCUGAGUACCCUUGAUCAAUAGAAAGAUAAAUUAUAACUCUUAUGCAUAAUCUUCGCCAUCAUAUUAUAGGGUUUGCAUCAAUUCUGUUCUCCUUAGCUUCCUUGGUAGCAACAUUCGUUUAUGUUACCUUAUCCUAUAACUUGUCAAGCUCCCAAGUGAAUAUGAACUCUAAAGUAGUCUAACUCUCUAAACGCUCUAAUCAUACCUCUAUAUAAUCAAGUCCCACCCAUGGGACUCACUAGUACUUGAAAUUCCUCUUCGAUGAUACACAGCUCCCAUAUGCUAAUGACCAAGACUUUCAUUUGAUGCAAAAUUUAAUACAUGCACGGAGUACUCGCCUUUAUAAUAUACCAUGACAUUCAUUUUUGAAUCCAUAGCCCAUUUUGCCAUCAUGUUGUUCACCAAAUUAGAGCUUCUAAUAGCUCCUUAUCGUACCUCUGUAUGAUCAAAUCCCUCAUAGGACUUUUCCGCAUGUGUCGCAUUACUUCGAACUCAUCCAUUAUGAUAUGCUGCACCAUGUUGCCUCCUAAUGACAUUUCUAUUGUAUUUUAAUCUUUGUGAAAUGAACUCAAACCAUGAUCUCUCAUAUGUGGCCUUUGCCAAUACAUCAUAGGGCUUCCACCACCUCCUAUUGUAUUCUCUCCUUUGUCAAUCAACCUUCAUCAACCCAUUCUCGGGUCACACCCAGUUGAAGUAUAGCUCUAGGACAAUAUAUCACUUAGCAGCUCUUGAAGUUUACUAUCUUCGCUAAAAUUAGUGCAUCAUUGUUUGAAUCCUAAGCCUUUGCCCGCUAACACAAUCUCUGUGGUGCAUUGUUCUUUCAUAGCACUUCGAGUGAUAGCACUAUUACAUAUUCUUCAAGAGUACCUAUCUCGACAUCCUAUUGUCUCGUAUCAAGGCCUUAUAACCCUAACUUCAUCUUUGCUAGUUGAUUCACCUUAGUUCCUCUAUUAAAUGCUUUUCCAGGAUAAGAUGCAUGUACUUCAAAACUCUCUUCAUCUUUGGCACUAUGCAAGAUGAGUCCGCUUUUUCAAAGUGAGGAACCCAUAGAAUGACAUGAUUCUAUUCUUGCCUCUAUAAGAAUUUAUGUCCUUGACCUUUAUUCAAGAAAAGUUUCGUGCCCCAUUCCAUAUUCUGUUUUCUAUAUCGACUCUCUGCAUGUGGCUUGGGUACUUCACCAAGUUUCACCCAAGUUGCUUCGGUUUUCGGUUUGUAUUGAAUUGAUGGUAGCCCUCGCGCCCAUUAUUCCAUGGGUUAGUCCUCUAUUGAGUUUGAUUUCCACAUUGACCCUAGGUGUGCCAUAGUUUGGUAUCAUUUUGGAUUGAUCUCCCACUUGAUCUCGCAAUGCAUCUACCAAUAUAUUACCUUAUUUGAGAUCAUAUAAUGACUUAUUACCGCUUGCUUGGUCCAUUGAGUUUUAUGAAGUUGUUAUCUUGAGGUACCCUUUCUUAACAUGUACAAUCCGUGACACAUGAUUCUUACUCUAGAGAAUCGAUUCUUAUCCCUUCUAGAUAUUUAUCUCAUUGGAGUAACUUUUCUUUAUGGAUCCUUCUCUCUAGAUGUUUCGGAGACCACCAUCCCCUUGGACUACUCCACCAUACUGAACAAGUUGUGUAGUAUUCGACUCCCAUGAAUACACUUGCGAGAUUAUAACUCUUCGCCAAUACAACCCUUGCUACACCCCUCAAGACCUAGCCACAUGCUAAACAUAACUCCUUUCCCUAAAUCUUAAUGCUUGUUUCCCUCAAACGGUCCGGCGUGCUAGUUGCCCUCACCAUAGUCCCACUAAGUCCCUCAUAUUUGCAUACCAAGUGUUUUUAAGUGUGUUUGUCCCACUUUAAUACCAUAUGUUAUGGACUUAGUUGAUUUUGCUUAAUUUGUGUGGUACCCUUACAUGUCUAUAUACAAAGGAUGAGUCUCCUUGAAAUCUCUUAUGGUCCUUUAAGGAUUUACAAAAAAGAAGACAUAUUAGAAAAAACGUUUAAUUCAGGAUCUAUAAGUAGUCAUUUCAAUAAAUAUUUGAUAGAUAAUAUAAAUUAUAAACAUAAAUUUCACACGCUCUGAACGGUCCAGUGACAAAGGGUCCAAGGUGAUCUAUCGUGGUUAAAAGUCCUCAUAUGAUGCUACUGCGAAACAAGACAAUAAACGCCACUUGAGUAACUCUUAGGUGUUGUACUGGCUAACACUCUGCACUACACUGUAGAACUAGAAAACUCCCAAAAAUUACUACUUGGAUGGUUUGUUUCUGGAUUGUUUUGCCUCUAUAUGAUAACUGCACGUAACCUACAUUUACAAGUUUGAAAUGACUAUAAAAACCAACCAAACUAGGGUUGUCAGACCUACUAUAAAUCUUUUAUAUUAUGUGUAAAGCAUAAAUAAAACAAAAAAUAUAUAAAGAUACGUGAACAUUACAUCAAACAUCCUAUUUAUAGCUUUAUUCGUGACAUUACGUUAUUGAAAUAUACAUGUCUUCACUGAACUGAAUUCAGAGAGAAAAAGAGAGAAGUAGUUGAUAGUUUUGGACUUUCAAAUCCUUAGAUUUAAGAAAAAAUUAUCACCUCACAUCACUCAUACAUUUUAUAUAUAUAUAUAUAAAACUAUUAUCGUGAUCCCAUUAUAAUUCUUGAAUUUUUUACAUAGGUCAUAAAAAUAAAAAAAAGUAAUGAAUAAAUAAGAAAUUAAAAUAACAACAAGAUGAUUCAAUAUGUUUUAUUUGGUCAUCUAUCGGUAAAAUAAGCUUCUAGGAUUGUAUUGUAAAAUAAUCUCCCUUCUUUAUAUAUCAUGAACUUCCUUUCUUAUAAGUUGGUAAUUCUUACUAUCUUUUCUUUUGUGUAUAUUUUUCUCUUAAUCUAUUGAUAAUUUUGAAAAUAAGAUCAUGAAUAUGUAUGAUAUUGUCAUAGGGCAAUUCUAAUACGUCAAUUGAACCUAAGUCUAAAAUCACGGUCAAUCCAAAUGAUUUGGAUAGGUUUUUUUUCUUUUCACAGCCAAUGAUGCUGGAAUGAAUCAUGGAUUGAGAUAUAAGAAGAGAAUCAAUUAACUAAUGGUCAUUUCUUGACUAGUUAAUGGCCAUUUCUUGACCAGUUAGUAGAAGCCACAUUCGCUCAUUUAACUAAUGGUCAUUUCUUGACUAGUUAGUAGAAGUCACAUUCGCUCAUUUAACUAAUGGUCAUGUCUUGACUAGUUAAUGGCCAUUUCUUGACCAGUUAGUAGAAGUCUCGCUCAUUUAACUAAUGGUCAUUUCUUGACUAGUUAGUAGAAGCCACAUUCGUCAAAGCUGCUGCCAGCAGCCAUUGAGUAAACUCUCGAGAGGUGUGAUAGAUUGGCGGAAGGCUUCCACUCGAUAUAAUACGUCGGGAAACGGUAGCAUGCGAGUCAAAGUCAAGGAGAACUAAAUCUUUGGCUCAUAACGUGGUGACUGAUUUGGAAUGGCGAAUGUUCAUAGAAAAGUCUCGAUCGGCAGCUUAAUUCAUCUUGGGUGCAGAUUCCUUCACUCGUAUCAUACACGUUCACACGGUUGACGUACCUAAUGUGCACAAAGUGCUUGCUUGUGGUUACUUUCGAUAGUCGCUUAGUCUUGAGAAAUCUCAAGAGGCAGCAUUAUAUGUGUGUGUAUGGCAUCCUCCACACUGCGGAAGCAUUCUUUUAUGGGAUUGAAGUGACGAAUGGUUAAAGCCGGAUGGCUGGUGGUGUGCAGAUCUUCCGAGAUAAGUCAGAGGACUUUGGUUUCGUUGUUCGGACUUGGGGGGUCAAGUGGGAUGCUAUAAAAUUGGUCCAUCAUAUUCAGAUGUCAUCCUCCUUCCUCGUAACACCUCUCGCAUCUCUUUAGCUUGUAAAGGGUCUUAACACUAUUUUUCUUUACUAAAAGCCAAACACCUUACGCCAUUAUGAUCGUAGUUGCAAUGAAUACAAAUCUAUGAGAAACCAAACAUUCGAUCAAUGGAAGGAAACCAACUCAAGUAACACUUUACACGCAUAGCCUUCCGCUUAAGCAUAUGUGUUUUACUUAAUUCUCACGUGUAUAAAGCAAACUACACCGUACAAUCAUAUCCUAAACCACUUGUUCAAGUCCCGAAGGGAGCAUUAAACUUUUGCUUCUUUUCCUUUUAGAGAAAGAUAAAUGUUAAAUACGUGAUUUAAUCCCAAGAUCUUACUAUCGACUGGUAAACUUUUGCCCGCUAAACCUUUACCAGUCAAAGGGAGCAUUAAGCUUCUGUCUCUCCUCCACUUAGUUCCCAAUGUCUUAAGUAUUGUAGCAAAAGCAAUUUUAGUUUUUUUCCUUAAACAAGCCAAACAAAGCUUAUCGAAUUGAAAAUAAGGAUUCAUACCAAUGAUUUCUAGCUGGGUUCUUGGAUUAUAGAAAUCAAUCAAUACCCUCGUUGAAGGUAUUGAUUGGUAUUAGUGACAUGAUGGCAUCACAUGAUCUAACUCCGUUAGUAUUGUGUUGUUCCUAUCAACCACAACCACUAACGUAAUUUUUUAGCAACAAAGUGGAUUGAACAUAUGGUAAUCAAGUUCAAUAUGAUUAUAUAACUAGAUGAGCGAUGGUAAUUUGGUAUUCACAUCUGGAUACAUAUAAUAAUAUCUCAGUUUAAUCUCACAUCAAAAUUAGUCAAACACUUGAAUUGACUUAAGAGCUUGAUGUGUAUGGUAUAUUUAAUUUGGUUGCAAGUCAAGGUUUUUUGUAACUCAAGUACAAUAAAUUAAUGGAUCAACAAGUCAUUUGAGAAAUAGUAUAGAGCCAUGGAGUUCUAGACAUAUUUCUAAGAUAUGCCGUAUAGUACCCUCUCUUUCAAAGAUAUCAAAGAUAUUCUAGAUAUAUUUCUAAUAUCUAGAGGCAUUAGAGUUCUAAUUUUCUUCUAGGUUUUAAUUUCCAAACACAUUAACAUUGCAAGGAGUCCAAUUUUAUCAUAUUCGUUGUGUAAGACUAUUAAAAACUACAAAAUUAUCAACUAAAGAUUGACGAGACUAGAUUUAUAGUAUCUUAAUAAUAUUAUAUAUAUAUAUAUAUAUAUAUAUAUAUAUAUAUAUAUAUAUAUAUAUAUAUAUAUAUAUAUAUAUAUAUAUAUAUNNNNNNNNNNNNNNNNNNNNUAUAUAUAUAUAUAUAUAUAUAUAUAUAUAUAUAUAUAUAUAUAUAUAUAUAUAUAUAUAUAUAUAUAUAUAUAUAUAUGUCUUCAUUUAUUCAUGUAUGCACGUAUAUAUAUAUCCAAUUAUUCAUUAGUAUGCUUUUACAAGUCAAACUAAUAAAAAAAUUUUGGGACGAGACUUUUAGAACUAUAGUUGAUAUGAUCAACUUGUCACCAUAUACAACCCUAGAUAAUAAUGUUAUGUAUGAUCAAAGAAAUAUAUUUCCUAUCGAAAUUUGAGAGUGUUUGAUUAUCGUGUAUUUGCAUAUGUUCUAAACAAUGAGAGGUCCAAGCUGGAUGGUAAGAUAAAGAAUAUAUUUUUCUUUGCUACUCACAUGAUCAAUUUGGUUAUAAGCUUUGGGAUCCAGAAAAGCAUAAUGUGUUUAGAAAUAGAGAUAUGGUCUUCUUUGAGGAUCAAACCUUUGAUGAUUUGAAGAAGAAGACACCAGCAAAGACUUCUGUAGAAGGGUUAGCAGAUUGUGACCCAGUUUCUCCUCUAGUAUAUUAGGGUGAUAGGAGAGAUAUGUAGGAAGAUGGUGUAAAGCCCGAUGUUGAUAUACUUGUAGGACAUAUUGAACAAUAAGAAGUUAGGAAACAACUUUUCACAGAAUCUCAAUUGAGAAGAUCUUCUAAACAAUAUCAACAUUCCAAAAGAUACUCUACAGUUGAGUAUGUGAUGCUUACUGAUAUAAGUGAACCAAAGAGUUACUAGGAAGCAGUUGAAAGUGAGCAGAAACAGAAGUUGUUAGUUGCUAUACAAGAAGAGAGAGAUACUCUACAGAAGAACCACAUAUAUGAUUUAGUGCAACUACCAAAGGGAACGAAGGCCUUGAAGAAUAAGUGAAUUUUCAAGUUGAAGACUAAAGUACAAAGCUAGAUUGGUUGUGAAAGGUUUUAAUCAAAGAAAAGGUAUUGACUUUGAAGAGAAUUUUUCUCCUGUUGUUAAAAUGUCUUCUACUCAUGUUGCUCUUGGUAUUGCUGCUAGCUUGGACUUGGAGGUUGAGUAGUUAAAUGUGAAGACAGCUUUUCUUCAUAGUGAUUUGGAUGAGAAAAUUUAUAUGGAGCAACAAAAAGGCUUGUAGAAAAUGCAAAAAGUUCCUUAUGCUUUAGUAGUUGAAAGUUUAAUGUACCCGAUGGUAUGUAUGAGAUUGGACAUCGCAUAUACAGUGGGUAUUACUAGUAGAUUUCCUACAAAUCUAAGCAAAGAGCACUGGGCAAUAGUGAAGUGGAUCUUUAAAUAUCUCAGAGAGAGCUCUAAAGUUUGUUUAAGCCUUAGAGGUGGAUCACUUAUCUUGACAGGUUGCAUAGAUACAGAUAUGACAAAAGAUAUAGAUACAAGGAAAUCCAUAUCAGGUUUUAUACUUUUGCAAGGGGUGUGUCACAACAAUCAAGAUUGCAAAGGUAUAUUGCUCUCUCUACCAUAGAGGCAAAAUAUAUUUUUGUUAUAGAGGUUUGCAAAGAAAUGUUAUGGAUAAAAGAAUUCUUACAAGAAAUAGGGUUGAAACAAAAAAAACUAUGUGAUGCAUUAUGACAGCCAGAGCAUCAUUCAUUUGUAUAAGAAACUAACUUUUUAUUCAAAGUUAAAAUAUAUAGAUAUUAUAUUUUAUUGGAUUUGUAAUGUACUUGAAGAGAAGUAGUUACAACUUCAAAAAAUUUAUACGGAUGAUAAUGGAAUAAAUAUGUUGACAAAGACGUUACCGAAAGAAAGACAGGAGAUGUGCCGAUAGUUGGUUGGCAUGGUUUCAUGUUGAGGAGCCAUGGGACAGCCUCCCUUGUGGGCUGAAGGGGGAGGUUGUUAGGUCGACAGCCUAUGAGUUCAAUUCAUAGUAGACUUUAACAGCCCAUAGCUCAACCAUCUUUUAACCUAAAUCGAGAUAUAAUAAGGGAGGUGUGGUGACUACAAAAAAUAGUAAGAAAACUGCACCAACAAGAGCAGAAAACUAUAUUAGCAACGUGAUUAAAAAGAGGAGAAAAGGAUAAAAAUAAUAAGAAAAAAAAGAUAAGAACAAUAUAGAGGUUGUUCUCAAUCAUCCAUGCAAUAUUCUUAUCUAAUCUAUUUAGGUUAGAUUAAAUUUAUAGUUGAUUUUUGCUAUGAUUACUUUGGAGAUUUUGGAUAUUGAUUACGGUGAUAUAAUUCAUAUAUCUCAAUUAUUCUAUAAUGAUUUUAGAUCAGAGAUUUUAAUAUUUAUAUAUUUAUUAUUUUAUAAUAGAUUUUCUCUGAUUUAUCUCGUAGCUUUUACCCUUCACGUUGAAAAGAUAAAAGUUUUUCACGUAAAUCUUGAUAUCUUAUUUAAUUCCAUUACGUGUACGAUCUGCAUGUUUCUUUGUAUACAAACCUUUACUCCUUUUAUCUCAUCAUAGCCUUAGCAAAUCUAUUGGUGCUUUCCAAUGAGUUGGUGUAUAUUAGCUUUUAAAAUAUGUUGGACACAAAAGACAAGGAGUUGGAGUGUCUUGAGACCUUCGGUCACAGGUUCUGGUUUGUAUAUGGUAUAUUACCUGCAUAUGCAUCCAGAACUACUGUUGUAAUAUACUUAUUAUAAUAGAUCAAAUGCCUAUGUUCUUGACAAGUGCUCUCUCUCUCUCUCUCUCUCUCUCUCUCUCUGUCUGCACACACAUUAUUUGGAUGAUCAAGAAUUACAUUAGAAUAUCUGGUUUGAUUCAUCAAACUAAGGCAGCUUGUCAAUGUUUUGUUUGGGGGAUUGAAAAGAUGUGAGAUCUGAACAGCAACAUGUAGGGCUAUAGGAAAAGAAUUUGAAUGGUUAGGUGGUUUGAACCAUAACAUAUAGUACAAAGAGAGAAUAGACAUCUUAAUCAUUGAAUUCCAAGAAAGUUACAUUGCAUUCCCACCAUGCAUAUAUUACUUACUAGCUUAAUCAUUGUAGCUGAUGUCUGCCUUUUCCCUUUUUUUUCUCUUUGGAUUUUGCUGGCUGGCCACUCUGAUAAUUGCUCAAGAAAAGAAAUUGAACAUGGUGAGGUGGUGUGGUUUCUUUUAAGUUGUUCAUGUUGCUGACAAGUUUCUCAGCUGAAUGUUAGAACCCUUGCAGAUUCUAAACUUGGGGUUGUUCUCUUUAGGGGAUCGGCCUUCUUGGAAUUCUAUAGGGGUUCUUCCCUCUAAAUUGCUGCUCAAAGGCUGCAGAAAAGAUUCACUAUUUAUAGGGCUUCUAAACCCUAACUCCUAAUAGGACUCCUACUCAAGACUCCUACUUCUAGCCAACUCCUAAUAUGACUCCUACUCAAGACUCCUAUUCCUUUACAACUCUUUAUUCUUCUCUAAGAAACAACCUUCUAACCAUAGCCGGCCUCUUCAUCUCUUUAAUAGGGGUCAGCUUAGGUAGGUUUUACAUGAAUAUCCAUCUCAAUUAGGACUCUCUAAGCUAGAGUUCUAACAGACCCGCCCUCUUCAAAUCAGUCUUGUCCUCGAGGCUGACGAUUCAUGAAUUUUGGGAAUUUGAUCUUCAAGUCAUCAUAGUUCUCCCAAGUGGCAUCUUUUAUUGGUAGGUUCACCCACUGUAUUAGCACUUUAGUAGUGGGUCGUCGUCGUCGAGUCACGAUCCGUCGAUCAAUAAUGGCAAUUGGUUGGGUCUGGAGUUCUCCUUGGAUAGUCAUAUUUGGUGGGUGGCUUUGGGCUGUCUCCAAGAACCUAUUUACAACUUUUGUCUGGCCGUUGAUUUGUGGGUGAUAUGCCGUACUUCUUUUCAAUUUAGUACCCUGCAUAUGGAAUAACUUUUUCCAAAAUCUGCUCAUGAAGAUGCAAGUAGAAUUUAUCAUAAGUACAAUGCGUCCCUUAUAGUGUAAUUCUUUUGAGUCCCAAUUGUAAUGAGCCACGGUGCUUGGUGCUUCCUCCAAUUUUUUUAUAAUCUUACUAGUCUCUGAAUCUUCCUGCCAUCCCAUCUUAAUAUCCUCAAGGAAGUCACUAGUCGGAAGUGAAAUGACCGAAACUUCAGCUUGCUCGAGUAGCUACGAAAGCGCAUCUACAAGAACAUUCUCUUUCCCCUUUUUGUAAGUUAUUUCAUAAUCAAAUCCAAGAAGUUUUGUUACCCAUUUUUGCUGCUCAGGGGAUGAUAUCUUUCGCUCCAAAAAGUACUUAGAGGCUUUUAUGAUCGAUUUUAAUUUGAAAUCGUCGACCAAUCAAGUAGGGUCUCCACCUCGUUGCUGCGCGCACAAUGGCGAGCAUCUCCUUAUCAUAUGUUGACUUAUUUUGAUGGGAGGGAGAUAAUGUCUUGCUAGUGUAUGUGAGUGGUCGACCAUCUUGCAUGAGAAUAGCUCUAAUUUCGACUCCAGAUGCGUCGGCCUCAAUAAUGAAGGGUCCGUUGAAAUAUGGUAGUGUUAGCACCAGCGUCGUCGUCAUGGCUACCUUAAGUUUCUCGAAGGCAGUGGAGGCUCUGUCUAACCAUUGGAAGACAUCUUUUUCUAGUAAGAAAGUAAGUGGUGCAUUGAUCUUUCCAUAGUUUUUCACGAACUUACGAUAGUAGCUUGUUAAACCCAAAAAGCCAUGUAGCAAUUUUAUGUUCCUCGGGGUAGGCCAGUUUUGCAUUGCUUCAAUUUUGAAGGGGUCCACUGUCACACAUUCCUCUGAUAUGAUAUGCCCAAGAUAUUCCACCUUCUGUUGAAGAAAGCAAAAAUUCAUAGUGGUUGUUGUGUGUUCAAAAGGUGAUUUUCGGUAUGUCUUCUUCGCACACUCAUAUUUGAUGAUACCCAGAUCAAAGGUCCAGCUUUGUAAAGAUUUGUGCUCCCUUUCAUCUAGCAAUUCAUUGGCUAUUGGAAUAAGGUAUUUGUCCUUGAUGGUUAUGCCAUUGAGAGCUUGGUAAUCAACGCAUAUUCACCAUGUUCCGUCCUUCUUGCGUACAAGUAGCACCGGUGAAGAAUAGAGGUUGCAACUUGGCCGAAUAACUCAUAUUUCGAGCAUCUCUUUUACAAUUCUUUCUAUUUCAUCCUUCUGGAGAUGUAGAUAUUGAUAUGACUGAGUAUUUGCUGGAGGUUUGCCUGCAAGAAUCGUUAUAUAAUGAUCAUGCCGAUGGGUAAGAGGUAGGUUGUACGGUUCGUCAAAUAUAUCUGAAAAUUCAGCAAGCAAAGGAAGUAGGUUUGGCUCUCCCUUAGUUUGCUGCUCAAGUUAUACCAAAAAUCUGCUGCAUGCUUUAUACAAAACCUUCUCCAUUUGUUGUGUGCAAAUCGUUGUUACGUCGCCCCCAUAUUUCCUGUUCAGUAUCACCUGUUUCUCCUUACUGUAAAAUUUCAUAAUUAGUUGCAUAAAAUUCCAAAAAAUAUCACCUAAUGUCGUCAACCAUUUAAUUAUGAGCAUGGCCUCAUGAUCAUCAAGAGGGAGAAGGAAGAAAUAUGCAAUUAUCUCUUGGUAAGGCCUCAUGAUCAGCAACAGUUUCACUUGCGGGCGCCUAUGAUCAUACUUCAAAAUCCAUCCAUCGGCGACCUUAACGUUAAACCUGUUGCAAUUCUCGAUAGGUAAGGCCAUCUGGAUAGUAACCUUACUGUUUAGAAAGUUAUUAGUACUGCCCGUAUUGAUGAGAACAGUGAUCGGUUGUCGUUUGAGAAUGCCUCCAACUUUCAUCGUUUGCGGGUUUGAGUAGCCGACUAGUGCAUAUACCGUAACUUCGGUUAGUUGUGGCUCUUCUUUUGCAUCUUCUUCUUCAUGUUCAAGGCUCUCUUCUGGAUGUUCAAUGACCUCUUCUUCUAUUGGUUCAAUCAUAAGAAGUCUCCCUUUACUACAACGAUGCUCACGGCUCUACGGCUCGUCGCAAUGCCAACAUAACCCCUUCACAUAUCGCUCCCGAAGCUCUUCUCUUAUUAACCUCUUUGGUGUAGAGACUCGGUCGAUAGUAGGGGGGGCUGAGGGCUUUAAUAUUACUGGUUGAAGAGUGACCUUAGUCCUCCGAGCUUCAUGGUUCAAUUGCUCCUCUUGAUGUCGUGCGAAAGAGAUGGCUGCCAUAAGCGUAUACGAUUGUCGUGCUUUAACUUCUCCUCGGAUCUUCGGCUUCAAGCCCUCAAUGAAGGUCCUCAAUAGCUAUUUUUGAGACCAAUCAUGAGUUUGAUUAGAUAACCUUUCAAACCUAGUUUGGUACUCCUGAAUGGUGGAGGUUUGUCGGAUCUUUGCUAUUUGUCCGUCAAUAUUCUCGUAAUCGGUUGGUCUGAAGUGAAUCAGUAGUCUUUCUUUGAAUUGUUGCCAUGAAAGGACUCCAUAAGUAUGUUCAAACCAGUCAAACCAUUGUAUAGCAUCCCCUUCAAGAUGUAUAGCUGCAAUUUUCACCAUAGAUGCAUCCGUGGUUUUGUGGUACCGAAAAUAUCGCUCCGCGCGCGAGAUCCAACCAAUCGGGUCUCCUUCUUCCCAUCUAGGGAAUUCCACUCUCAUGCAUGGAUAGUUGGGGUUGGUCAUAGAGCUUCCCCUCUCUUGGAAGUCAUAUCUUUGUGCUUGGUGCGAUUGGGCAAAGCUCUCUCGUUGAUGUGAUUUCUUUGGGCUUAGUGGUCGGCCCAAUCUGAGUUCGGUAAAGAGCGUCCAAAUCUUAUCCUUUAUUCGCGCCUCGAAGGCUUCGAAUUUAGCAUUGAUUACCUCCUCAGAUGUCAUAGUAUAUGCCGCCAAAUCUGUGAUGUUAAGAUCUCUCUUUUGUUGUCGGGUUAAAGGCAUGUAUUGGUUGAGAGAGGUGAUAGUCGAAAGGGUUGGUAGAUCGGUGGAUGUAGGCUACGAUUUAGGCUUGUUUUGUGGAUAUUUUGGGUGCAGUUUGAGGGUGUGGUUUAGUGGAGUUUUAGGGCUGUAGAUGAAAGUUUUGGAUCUAUGGUAGAUGGUAGCAAAGGUUUGAUAGAAAUAAGUGGAAGUCGCAGCAAGUAUGUGCUGUCUUGUACGAGUAGAAUUGUCGUCGAAGAAACAACGAUUUCUCGAUGUAAUUUCUACCAAAAACUUGAGAGAAUUGAGUAGGGAAUUGAUAGCAAAAUCACAGUUUAUAUGACAGCAAGGAUAUCUAAUUUAUUUAAGAAAAUUUCGGCAGUAUAACAGCAAGGAAAUUGGUGCAAGUUGCGAUUGCAGAAUUCUCGUCGAAAAAUUUCAGCGGUUUACGAUGAAAAUUUACAGCAACACAAAAUUGUUUUUAGAGAUGAAUUUCUCAAUAGAUCAAUCUUAGAUGGAAGCCAAGAUAAUCUAUGAAGUGUACAAGAAAUUUCAUUCAAAAAAGAUUACAAAUAGAUGGGUUAAAGCAACAAUAUGCGGCUGAAAUUUUUUGCAGUAUAGAUUUUCAAGUAUAGCAGAUUGGACAUAAAAGAUUAGUAGUUUAUAUUGAGAAUUUUUUGAUGACACCAAAGGGAAAUCCACUGUUAGGAAGUGUCAAAGAUGUCAUAAAAAUUUCAUAGAAAUUUGGAUAGAAAAAGCACAGUAGCAAGAUUAAACAGAUGGUGCUAUGCGGCUGGAAUUCUGCAAUGUAUCUUUCGUCGUAGAGAUGAAAACUUUGUGAUGAAAAGUUUAUGCAGCAAUAUAGGAAUAAUUUUUUUGGAAUUUUUGAAUAAGGAUAACUAGAUUGCAGCAGUAGUAAGGUAGGAAACCAGAACCUGUUACAAUUCACGGGGAGAUCAAAGGAUGAUCCGUGGUGGUGGAGAUGAUGGUAGAAUUUGGCGACGUUCUUUUAAGCAAUUGUGGGAAUUGCUUUGGGUGGCUGUGGAGGGUUGAUGGAUGGCUGUCGAAAGGCAGCGAGAUGCCAAGAACGCUGCUCUGAUACCAGGUGUUAGAACCCUUACAGAUUCUAAACUUGGGGUUGAUCUCUUUAGGGGAUCGGCCUCCUUGGAACUCUAUAGGGGUUCCUCCCUCCAAGUUGCUGCUCAAAGGCUGCAGAAAAGAUUCAUCUAUUGCUUAUGAAAAGAAGAGGAAUACAUGACUAUUUAUAGGGUUUUCUCCCACCCAUGUUGGUAUUUCAUCAAACAAAUUAUUUUCACCAAGAUCAAGAGUAACCAAUUGUUCACAAUGUUUCAAGAAGGAAGGAAAUCUUCCGGAUAGGUUGUUGUGGUUCAAAUGCAAGGACUGUAGAGAAGUUGGGAAUGAUUUAUAACACUUUGGGAUUUUUCCAGAUAAAUUAUUGUUUGAUAGGUCGAGGACUUCAAGAUAUUUAAGAUUGCAAAAAAAGAAAGGAAAACUGCCAUUGAUAUUGUUAUGGGACAAAGAUAAUACUUGGAGGCUUGAAGCAUUUGUAAAACUCAUCGGAAUAGGUCCAACAAAUGAAUUAUUGGAGAGAUCCAUGAUUAUCAUUGGAGCAGAGUGUAGAGGACCAUUUAAGUUAUUAGAACUCAAGUUAAGACUCCGCAAACCUUUUGAGAAAUCUGAAAACCAAGUUGGAAGGUUGCCUAAGAGUCCAACUCCAGAUAAAGAAAGAUCUCCCAAAUUUGUUUGUGUUUGAAUCCAAGCAGGAAAUUUAGUUCUUAGUUGACAUGAGCUCAUGAAAAUACUGUAGGCAUUAAAAGGUGGAAACCAAUCAUUGGGUAGGAUCACAUUCAAGGAGUUAUAAGAUAGGUCAAAGUGUCCCAAGUUGGUGAGUUUGGAAAAGUGUGCUUCAGUGAUAUUACCUUCCAACAAAUUUGAGGAGAGGUCCAAUACUUGUAAUGCAGAUAAUUGACCCAUACUUAAAGGAACAAUCCCACUCAAAUUGUUGCCACUAAUAGAUAAAUAUAGAGCGGCUCUUUGUUCACAACGUAGUAAACUAUCAAUUAGAUCGGUUAACUCUCCACUGAUAUGGUUAUGUGAUAAAUCUAUAAAACUCAAAUUGCAGAGCUCAUUCAAAGUCCCAGGUACUAACCUUGUCAAGUGGUUAUAUGAUACAUCCAGGAUUUGCAAGUUGUAGAGUCUGUUGAUGGUCUCUGGCAUCUGCCCAGUAAUAAAAUUAUCAAUUAAAUAUAGAGAUUGCAUAUUUUGAAGAUUCCCGAUCGUUUCUGGUAUUUGUCCUGAAAUCUGAUUUCCGAACAAGAAUAAGCUCUCCAAGUUGAUUAGAUCACCAAAAGCUAUCGGUAUACUUCCAGUAAUAUUAUUGUUUGAGAGAUCCAAGUAUUUCAGAUUAGUGAGAUUCCCCAUAGCUCGUGGAAUUUCUCCGGUAAUGUGAUUAGAUCUCAAAUUUAAAUAUCGCAAGCUGCUUGUGAAAUUUUUCAUCAUUUUUGGAAUUUGUCCAUUGAGCUUGUUACCAUCUAAUGCAAGGUACUCCAGGGGCCCAAGACUCCACAAGAUUUGUGUAAUAUCUCCACUUAAUAAAUUCCAACUUAAAUCCAAAUGCUUCAAGCUCCUGCUUACAUUCAUUAUUAUUCCAAAAAUUUCUCCUUUGAUACCAUUGUAUUGCAAAUCCAAGUCUUUCAAAUUAGUCAGAGCUCCUAGAGUGACUUGUAGUGAAUCAAUAUCAACACCACUGCAGUAAAAAAGAUUAAGAUAUACAAGGCUGCUAGCAUGAGAGAUCCAUCUUAGAAUUGUUGUGUUCAAGUUGGAAUAACCAGAGAGAUCUAGUUUGACGAUUGAAGACAGAUUAAAAGGGGGCAAAGGUGAUGGAACACAAGGGAGGUUUGCCCACCCCAAGCGCAAUACUUUAAGACUGAGGAUCCAAUUAACUUGGUGAAGCCAAUUAGUUGCUUUAGAGAGGUUGACAAAACUCAUAUCAACAUAUUUUAGAGAAGGAAUUCGGGAGAGCCAAUCAAGGUCAUCAGCUUGUAGAUUAGUAAAUCCACAUCCUCCAAGAUCGAGGAAGUGUAGGUUGGAGAGGUUCCCCAGUUGAGGAGGUAUUAGCCCACCAAACCCAGCAUUGGAUAGGUUAAGAUAUUCCAAAUGCACAAGUGAAGCAAUCAUGUAGGGGACGUGGGCACCAGAGAAAUUAUUCAUGCUCAAAUCCAGAUAUUUCAAAUGCUUCAGAUCACGCAAAGCAGGAUUUACCUUGCUCGCACCCAUCCCUUCUAACAUGAAGCACAUAUCGUCCUCGUCAUCCAAAUCAUAUGUGUAGAAAUUGUGAGUGUGGAGAUAGUGGAGAUCGAGCUUGAUGACAUGGCUGGUGUUGUCAUCGCAGGCCACUCCUCUCCAGCUACAGCAAUCUUCACCGAUCCAAGAAGAGAACCUUUUGCCGGAGUCGUACAUAUCGGAUCUGAUGGCUAGGAGAGCUCUCCUCUCGCUCUCUAUGCAGCUUCCCCCCUCCGCCCCGAGAUGGCCAUCAUGAUCGCCCCCGCCAUGGCCGAGACAACAGGAGAUGACUCCAAAGCUCAUAAUUAUGGUCAUAAGCAUAGUGACAUGCUUUGAGCAAAUAGAUUCGCCAUUGCAGCCAACGCCAACAACAGCCAUCGAGUAAGCCUUCAGAAAUCAGUAAGUUUAAGGUGCGAGGUUGGAAGGUGGCUCCAUAAAUACAUUUAUAGAAUGACACCGAACGUUACUUGAGGACUGAUGAAUCUAAAGGACCGGUGUUGCUGACAUGACGUGAUAAAUGGUUUGGAAUGGGCUGGCAAAUCUUUCUAGAUGAUUCUUGCAACCUUAAUUCUGAGACUCCUAGUGAAGAAUGUGAUAUUAAUAUUUAUAUUUAUUAUCUGAGAAUAUUAUAAGAAUAUUAAUAUUAAUAUUUAUUAUCUGAGAAUAUUAUAAGAAAGCAAAUCUUUUGUUGUUAACAUUCUAAAAAGGUGGAAAUGAGUUGUGGAAUGACCACUAUUAAGCACACUAUCUUAUAGAUUUUUUUACACUCUAAAUUUGGCUUAAUUUACAUAUAUCUCAAAAAUAAUUAUUGUGGGUUUAAGGUCUUCGUAUUCUUGUAGUAUGAUUACAAUACAAGUCAAAGUCAAAUAAAUAUCUAUCUUUUAUCUCUUGAGCAAUAGUAGUGACCUGUUCCGAUGAGAUGAUAAAUGGAUUGAUUUUUUUGGAUCCUCCAUUAAUUUUUUGGAUUCUUCUCUUAGCCCACCGUGUCAAGUGGACAAGAAAUAUCAUGUUCAAUGUUUCAUAUAAGUGAGUUUUCCUAUUUAUAAUUUCAUGUUCAAUUUUUUUUUAACUAGACAAGUUUUGUUGAAUUAGAAAAAAUAUUUAUAUAAAAAGGCUUUUUUAUUUAGAAAAUAGAAAUCAGUCACUUUUGCUCAAUUAUACCACUGAAAGUAUUCCAACGUAUGUACAAUCAAUAUUAGAAUAACAUUCAUCAUGUCAUGGCAAUUGCGUUUUCGUACCCACUUAAAACGUCACGUUGAGAAGUCUCGUGACGUACUGAGUGAUUUGAUGGGGGAUGGAAUUGAACGAGAAAGUCUAAAGUCUUGAAAUUUGAUUUCGUCUUUUGAUCAUUUGUUCAUGUCUUAUUCUAACUCACCCCCUCAAGGGGGGAACAAGAGAGAUCGCUGUUUGCUUGUCAUGUGCAUUUUCUUCUCUCUUUCCUUCUUUUUACUUUUUCUUUUUAUUUUCUUUGAUGCAUAGCUACUAGGUAUAUCCAUUUCUAUUUUUAUUAGAUAUGUAUAAAUUGUAUUUUGAUAGAACGUUUCAACUCAUCCAUCAUUUAUCGACUUCUCAUAUUUCUAUAAUCUAUUGACUGAAUUUUUUCAUGUCAUGUGAUAUGGGCAAACCUAAAGAAAUACUUAAUAUAUAAGGGAAUUGGGUGAUGAUAGAUAAUAAAUAAAAAAUUAAACUAGAGAUAGAAAAAAAGAAAAAUCUUAUUUACAAAAAAAUUAUUAAUUUAAGGAGGAAGACUUUGAAAUAUUCUUGUGACUUACUUUAGUGAAAUAUAUGCCUUUAUUGUGAAUUGAUCUCUGAGAGAAGAAGAGAGGUCUAUUUUUAGACUUGCUCAAAGACCUCUGAUUUAAGAAAAAAUUAUGGCCUUGCAUCACUCAUACAUUUUGGAAAAAAUAAUACUAUUAUCAUGAUCCCAUUAUAAUUCUUGAUUUUUUCACAUAGGUCAUAAAAACGAAAAAAAAGAGUAACUAAUAAAGAAGAAAAUAAAAUCGCAUCAAGAUGAUUCAAUAUGUGUCAUUUGGUCAUCUUUUGGUAAAAUAAACUUCUUGAAUUGUAUUAUAAAAUAAUCUUCCUUCUUUAUAUAUCAUGUUCUUCCUUUCUUAUAAGAUGAUAAUUCUUACCAUCUUUUCUUUUAUUUAUAUUUUUCUUCUUAUUUAUUGACAAUCUUGAAAAUAAGAUCAUGAAUAUGUAGGAUAUUAUUGUGUGACAAUUUGAAUAUGUCAAUUGAACUGUGCAAUCCAAUGAUGCACGAAUAAAUCAUGGAUUGAGAUAUAACAAGAGAAUCAAUUAUAUAUAUAUAUAUAUAUAUAUAUAUAUAUAUAUAUAUAUAUAUAUAUAUAUAUAUAUAUAUAUAUAUAUAUCAACUCAUCAAUCAAUCUGUAGGAAAGAUGAGGUUCCCACUUUCCAACAUUUAUGGUAUGACUAUGAUUGAGUCGUGACAUGAUGAAUGAGUUGGAACAGCCAAUCUUUUGGAUGACUCUUGAAACAUUAAUUGAAAUGUGAAAUAUGAUUGUGGAUAUAUCUCAAGAUUAGUUAUUAUAGGUAAAAACUCUUUUCACCCUGAACCAUUUGUGAUGUGGCUACGAUGAAAAUCAAAGUUAAGUAGAUAUCUAUCUUUGUCUUAUGAAAUAUUUUAUAAUAUAUUUAUGGUGUGGAUUAGUUUAUUAAAUCUUCUUCUAUUGAUUUAUCUUCCUAACAUACUGUGUCGCUCUUAUACACAUCUUUUCCGAAUAUUUCUUUAUCGAUUUAUCUUCUUAACAUACUGUGUCACUCUUAUACAAACAUCUUUUUCUAUAUAUACUUUCAUGUUCAAUUAAUUUUUACUUAUAUAAAAAUAAGUAAUUUAUUUAGAAAAUAAUUUAGUGUUGGUCUUGCCCUUUAGCACACAACCAUCAAUAAUAAUAAUAAUAAUAAUAAUAAUAAUAAUAAUAAUAAUAAUAAUAAUAAUAUUCUCUUCGCAUAUAUUUAAUCAUUGUCAAGUUAGGUUUCUCAUAGUUUUUUGAUUAAUUAAAGAAAAAAAAGUAAUUAAGAUAGGAGAGAGAAAAAACAACAGAUGAUUUCGAUAUAUAAGUUGGGAAGGGUCCAAACUUUCAUCCGCUAGUUAUUUGAAGGUUGACGAAGUGAAGCAAACGAGUCUUUCAACAAAUAAGUCUCGGAAGUUGAUGUCACUACGGAAUCUUUCUUAAUGUCUCAUUCUAGCUCACCCCGUCAAGUGGGAAAGUGAGAGGUUUUGAGCAUAGUAAUACUGUGUAGAGUGGAUUAAUUUAGAUCUAUUCAAAUUGAGUAAAGUAUUUUGUUGGAUAUAUCUCAAGAAUAAUUAAUGGGGGCAUAAAGUCUUUAAAGCAUUUGUGGUAUGGCUAUGAUACAAGUUAAAGUAAAAAAUUAAACAGAUAUCUAUAUUUAUCUCUGGGAUGGUAGUAAUAACAUGUUCUAAUGAGGUGAUAAUUGGAUUGGUUUCUUAGAUCCUCCUUUGUUGAUAUCUUGGAUCCUUUUUCUAAUUUGUGGACUUUCCUAUUUGUAAUUUCAUGUUCAAUUUUUUUUUUUAAGUAGACAACUUUCAUUGAAUAGAAAAACCAUUUUCAAUUAUUUGUACAUAUAAAAAAAUUUAAUUUUUUUAGAAAAUAAUUUUAAAGUAGGCCUUGCUCUUCAGCACACAGAAAUGAAACACUAAAAAAAAUAUUCUCUUAUGAAAUAUUCAAUCUUUAAAGUGACUUUCCAGUGAUUUUUGAAUCAAUUAAAGAAUCAACGGAUAAUUCCAUCCUUCAAAAAGUUGAGGAGGAUCCAAACUUCCAUCCUUCAACAAAAAAAAAAUGUCAUCCUCAUCCAAUUGUUUCUUAAUUAGUUGAUUAAUUAGUAGGGGUCAUGACCAUAGGUGACAUAAUCAAUAUUAGGAUAACAUUCAUCAUGACAAUUGAGCUUUCAUACCCCACUUGACAUGUCGCGUUGAGAAGUCUCAUGACGUGUAAUCCUAAAGAAAUGCUUGAUAUAUAGGGGAAUUAGGUGAGGAUUGAUAAUAAAUAAAAAAUUAAAACAGAGACAGAAAAUAAGAAAAAUCUUAUUUGUAAAAAUAUUAAUUUAUGGAGGAGGACUUUGAAAUAUUCUUUUGACUUACGUUAUUGAAAUAUACAAGUCUUUAUUGUUAAUUGACUUCACAGAGAAGAAAGAUAGAAGGUAGAUGAUAGUUUUGAAUUCGCUCCAAAUUCUAGUAUUUAAGAAAAAAUUAUAGCCUUGCAUGACUCAUUCGUUUUGUAAAAAAUAAUACUAUGAUCAUGAUCUCAUUAUAAUUCUUAAUUUUUUUUACAUAAAUAACUAAUACGGAAGAAAAUGAAAUGGUUCAAUAUGUUGUAUUUGGUCAUCUUUUGAUACAAUAAGCUUCUAGAAUAUAAUCUUCCAUCUUUAUAUAUCAUAUUCUUCGUUUUGGUAUGCUUUCCUUGUAAAGUUAUGUUGAAUUAGGUGUUAAGUAGGGGGGAGCUGCUAAACAUGUCAUUAGUGGAUUAAUCCAAGUGGUCAUCCAAAUAGAUGACUGCUAAUUAAUAGAAGUUACACAAAAGGAGGAAAAAAAAACCUUCUUAGGCACAUCAGCUAGGAUAAUUCAUACCUAAUUACAAUGGUUGCAAAAUGAUCACUGUUGGACAUGCACAAUAUACCGAAACAAUACAUGAAAAAUAUAUAGAACACCAGAGACUGUCGAGUCCUUUUGCUGAUAGCAUAACAUCAUAAUACGUAUGGGCGACUUAGUGGAAAGGACCAUAUAUUCUCAAGCUGUAAUAGUAAAUGUGCCACCCAAGUGUUCUAUAUAUAGAACAGCAUAGAUAGCUCGAGUUGUUUUUGCUGAUAGCAUUACAUGAUAAUACGUAUGGGCGACUUGGUGGAAAUGACCGUAUGAUCUCAAGCUGUAAUGGUAAAUGUGCCACCCAAGUUUCCUGCGACAGUUCAUGUGGUUCUUCUCGAUUUGGACUUCAGCCUCGCAAACGUUACUGCCAACUGCACGAAGACCCGAUCACCAGUCUUGUCUGUCAAACGGAAGAGAGCAACAACCCUUAGAGACUGUUUCAUGAUCAUUAUGCUGAAACAACUCCAAAACCCCACCACGAAUCCCAUGACGAUGCUUGUAAUUUCUAAUACACCUUCAAGCUCGCCAUCACUGUCUUCUUCUUCUUCUUCAAUUGCUGCAGGAGGUAGGAUUCGAUAAGCAACAUCUCCAGCUCGUACCACAAAGGUCUUUGUUGCCAACAUAGAUUGAGGGGUCAUUUAACGUGGACACUUGAUUGCUUGUUGGAAUGCUUCCUGACAAGUUGUUGUAAGAUGAGACUCGAGUGGCUCAGGAAGGUGAGAGUAGAAAAGCUAGAAGGAAUAUUUCCUGUCGAAUGAUUGUCGGACGAGCUAAGAUAUUGUAUACCUGUAGACAUAUCCGAGAACCAAGCUGGAACUUUGCCCGCGAGUCCAACUCCAGAUAGUUGAAGGCUUCUCAAAUUAGUUUGGCUUCGAAUCCAAGUAGGAAAUCUAGUUCCUAUAUGACAGAAACUCAUGUCAAUAAAUGGAGCAUUACAAAGGGGAAGCCAAUUUGAAGGAGCUGUCAAGAUAUGUCCAAAAUUUCCAAGUUGAAGGAGCUGGGAAAAGUGUGCUUCAGUGAUGUCGCCUUCUAGUGAGUUUGAGGAGAUGUCCAACCUGUACAUUCCAGAAAAUUGACCCAAAUUAUAUGGAAUAAUGCCAUUAAAUUUGUUGCCCUCAAUACUUAAGUAUGACAAGGCUGCUCCUCCAGUACAACUCGACAAACCAUCAACUACAUCUGUAAGCUCUCCAUUGAAAUUGUUAGAAUUCAGACGCAGAUCAGUUAAGCUGCACAAGCCACCUAAAGUCCUCGCCAUCUGCCCUGAUAAGUGGUUGAUCUGAUAUAUCCAAGAACUGCAAGAGGUCGAAUUUGCCAAUUGUUUCUGGUAGUUGCCCGGUAAUAGAGUCAUGAGACAUGUAAAACCUGCAGACUUUGAAGAUUGCCAAUGUGUGCAAGGCUGCUACCAUUAGUGAGCCAUCUUAGAAUACAUGCAUUACUUGAGUUCUAAUAACCAGAGAGAUCGAGCAUGACAAUGGAUGUCAACAGAAGACUACUAAAAGCUACAAAAAUUGCCAACAGAAGCUGCCAUAUAAAAUAACACAAAGAAAAGCAUGUGUCGACAUCCAAUUAACGAGGCAAUGUAUCGAAAGGAAAGCGAUAACAGAACGACGGUAGAAAAAAGUAUUUGAAGAGAUUAGAAGGAAUGCAUUACUUGAUACUUCUUCCUUCUUUAUUCUGACAGCAUUGCAUGAUGAUUACAUACAGCAUUACUUGAAAGCAGCUUGCGACCUCAAGAUGUAACAAUAAGCUCUUCAGCAUACUUCUUUCUGCUUUAUUAUAAUGUCAUAAAGACAGCGGUAGGGAUGACUGACUUGAACAUAUUGAUUAGAACGACGGAUGAUGAAGUUUUUGAACUGAUUAGAACAAAUACAUGCAUACUAAUGAAGCAAAAGGCCAUCAACUGCGAUACCCUUUCCUUCUUUAUUCUGACAACAUUACACCAUAACAUACGAGCUGGAAUUACUAACUGGAAAAGCAACUUGAGACCUCCUUAAGAUGUAACAGCAAACUCUUCUGUUCUUGCCACCGAUGGAUCAAGUCACACUUUGCUGUUUGGACUUUAACCUUGCACAUCCGACUGCCAAUUGCACGUAGCACCAAUCGUAGGCCUUGUCGAAAACUCGAAAGAAAGCCAUCCUUAUGCUCUGUUUCAUGAUCAUUGUUCCAACAAAACUCCAAAAACCAACCACAAAUCCCAUGACGAUGCUGGUAAUUUCCCACACUGUUUCAAGCCUGUCACCGUUUUUCUCUUCGUGUUCAUGAGGUGGACUUUGAUGAUCUGCAUCACCAGGGCACUCUGGCAGUGGCGUACCACAAAGGUAUUCAUUACCAUCAUAGAUCGACGGGUCGGCAAGAAAGGUCGACAUUUGACCACCGGCUGUUGGAAUUCUUCCUGACAAGUUAUUGUGAGAGAGAUUCAAGUGGCUUAGGAAGGUGAGAGAUGAUAAGCUGGAAGGAAUAUCUCCGGUGAGAUUGUUCAUCGAUAAGUCAAGUGAUUCCAGUUGUUCCAUGGAACCAAUCUUUUCUGGAAUGGUUCCUCUCAAAUGAUUCUUGGAUAAGUUCAAGAAAAGCAAUCCAUGGAGGCUUGUUAGCUCUCUUGGGAUCUCGCCGGAAAGAUUAUUAUUUGAUAGGUCUAUGCUUUUUACAAGUGAGAGAAUUCUGGUGUAUUGGAUGUCAAAACCUUUGACUGUUAUUACUAUGCUCUCGCUAUAGGAACCGCUAACAUUAAAAAGAUUAAGCAAUGAUGUAGUGUCAUGUUGUAUCUCAACCAUAGCACUACAAUUUCCUAGAGACGAAGGAAUGCUACCAGAAAGAUGGUUGGAAGAAAGAUCCAAAACCUGAAGAGAAGUGAGAUUUGCUAUGUGCACUGGAAUGGUACCAGAAAAUAGGUUUGACUUCAAACUAAGAACUCUCAAGUACAAAAGGUUUUCUCCCACCCAUGUUGGUAUUUCAUCAAACAAAUUAUUUUCAGCGAGAUCAAGGGUAACCAAUUGUUCACAAUGUUUCAAGAAGGAAGGAAAUCUUCCAGAUAGGUUGUUGUUGUUCAGAUGCAAGGACUGUAGAGAAGUUGGGAAUGAUUUAUUACACGUUGGGAUUUCUCCAGAUAAAUUAUUGUUUGAUAGGUCCAGAAUUUUCAGAUCAUUAAGAUUACAGAAAAAAAGGAGAAAAACUGCCAUUGAUACUGUUAUGAGAUAAAGAUAAAAUUUGAAGGUACGAGGCAUUUGCAAAACUCAAUGGAAUAGGUCCAACAAAUGAGUUAUUGGAAAGAUCAAUGAUGUCAUUGGCAACAGAGGGUAGCGGACCAUUCAAGUUAUUAGAACUCAAGUUAAGACCCCACAAACCUUUUGAGAAAUCUGAAAACCAAGUUGGAAGGUGGCCUAAGAGUCCAACUCCAGACAAAGAAAGAUCUCCCAAAUUUGUUUGUGUCUGAAUCCAAGCAGGAAAUUUAGUUCCCAUAUGACAUGAGCUCAUAAUAAUACUGUAGGCAUUAAAAGGUGGAAGCCAAUUGUUGGGUAGGAUCACGUUCAAGGAGUUGUAAGAUAUGUCCAAAUGAGCUAAAUUGGUGAGUUUGGAAAAGUGUGCUUCGGUGAUGUUGCCUUCCAGAAAAUUUGAGGAGAUGUCCAAGUCACGCAAUGCAGAUAAUUGACCAAUACUUGAGGGGACAAUCCCACUCAAAUUAUUAGCCCUAAUAUAUAUAUAUCUAAACUGGCUCCCUGGUUACAAUCUGGUAAAGCAUCGAUCAAAUCUGUUAGCUUUCCACCAAUAGGGUUAAAGGACAAAUCUAUAGAACUCAAAUUGCAUAGUUCAUUUAGAGUCCCAAAUACUAACUUUGUCAAGUGGUUAUAUGAUACCUCCAAGAUUUGCAAGUUGUAGAGUCUGUUGAAGGUCUCUGGCAUCUGUCCACUAAAAAGAUUAUCAGAUAAAUCUAGCCAUCGUAUAUUUCGGAGAUUCCCAAUAGCUUCUAGUAUUUGUCCAGAAAUCUUAUUUUCCCAUAAUAUCAAGCUCUCCAAAUUGAUGAGAUCGCUAAUAGUCAUUGGUAUAGCUCCAGUAAUAUUAUUGUCCGAGAGAUCCAAGUAUUUCAAAUUGGUGAGAUUCCCAAUAAUUUCUGGUAUUUGUCCUGAAAUCUUAUUUCCCCAUAAUCUCAAGCUCUCCAAGUUUAUGAGAUCACCAAUAGCUAUUGGUAUAGCUCCAGUAAUAUUAUUGUACGAGAGAUUCAAAUAUUCCAAAUUGGUGAGAUUUCCAAUAGUUUUUGGUAUUUGUCUUAAAAUAUUAUUUCCUUGUAAUAUCAAACUUUUCAAGUUGAUGAGAUCACAAAAAGCCAUUAGUAUACUUUCUGUAAUAUUGGUGUACGAGAGAUCCAAGUAUUCCAAAUUAGUGAGAUUCUUUACUUUUUGUGAAAUUUCUCCGGUAAUGUGAUUGAAUCUCAAACUUAAAUAUUGUAACCUGCUUGGGGCAUUUUUCACCAUUUCUAGAAUAUCUCCGUUGAACUUGUUAUCAUCUAAUGCAAGGUACUCCAAGGAGCCAAGGCUCCUCAAGAUUUGUCCAAUAUCUCCGCUUAAUGAAUUCCCACUUAAAUCCAAAUGCUUCAACCUGCUGCUCACAUUCAUUAUCAUUCCAAAAAUUUCUCCUUUGAUACCAUUGUAUUGCAAAUCUAAUGCUUUCAAAUUACUCAGAGCUCCCAGAGUGACUUGUAGUGACUCAAUAUCGAUACCACUACAGUACGAAAGAUCAAGAUAUGCAAGGCUGCUAGCAUGAGAGAGCCAUCUUAGAAUUGUUGUGUUCAAGUUGGAAUAACCAGAGAGAUCCAACUUGACGAUUGAAGUCAUAUUAAAAUGGGGCAAAGGAGAUGGAAUAUACGGGAGGCUUGCCCACUCCAAGCGCAAUACUUCAAGACUGGGAAUUGAAUUAACUUGGUGAAGCCAAUUAGUUGCUUUAGAGAGGUUGACAGAACUCAUAUCAACAUGUUUUAGAGAAGGAAUUCGGGAGAGCCAAUCGAGGUCAUCAGCUCGUACAUCAAUAUAUCCACAUCCUCCAAGAUCGAGGAAGUGUAACUUAGAGAGAUUCCCCAGUUGAGGAGGUAUUAGUCCACCAAACAUGGCAUUGGAUAGGUUAAGACAUUCCAAAUGCACAAGUGAAGCAAUCAUGUGGGGAAUGUGGGAGCCAAAGAAAUUAUUCAUGCUCAAAUCCAGAUAUUUCAAAUGCUUCAGAUCACGCAAAGCGGGAUUUACCUUACUCGCACCCAUCUCAUUCAGCAAGUAGCAAAUGUUAACCUCAUCAUCCCAAUCGUCUGUGUAGGAGUAAGGAUAGUGGAGGUCGAGUUUGAUGACAUGGCUGGUGGUGUUGUCGCAGGCCACUCCUCUCCAACGACAGCAAUCUUCACCGAUCCAAGUAGAGAAUAUUUCGCCAGAGUCAUACAUGUCGGAUCUGAUGUCUAGGAGAGCUCUCCUCUCGCUCUCUAUGCAGCUUCCCCCCUUCGCCCCGAGAUGGCCAUCAUGAUCCCCCCCGCCAUGGCCGAGACAACAGGAGAUGACUCCAAAGCUCAUAAUUACGGCCGUGAGCAUGGUGACAUGCUUUGAGCAAAUAGAUUUGCCCUUGCAGCCACCGCUAGCAGCCAUCGAGUAAGCUUUCAGAGAUGAUGGAGUUUAAGGUGUGAGGUCGGAAGGUGGUUCCAUACAUCCAUUUAUAGAAUGACACUGAACGUUCCUCGAGGACUGAUCGAUCUCAAAGACCGGUGUUGUUGACAUACCGUUCCCUCACUCCAACAUCUAUUGACGUGAUAAAUGGUUUGGAAUGGGCUGGCGAAUCUUCCUCGAUGUUUCUUGCAAUCCUUACAGUCGAACAACGAUGUGAUCAUUACUGGUCAGUAAUUGGACCGACGAGUUAAUCUGAUAGAAUGAAUAAUUAAUAUAAAUAUCUAAAAUUAUAAAUAUAUAUAUAUAUAUAUGUUUUAAAUAUGAAUAAUUAUUAUCUGAGAAUAUUACAAUAAAGCAACAGAGUCCAAGUCAUCGAGGUCAUUUAAAUUAAAUCUCUUGUUGCUAACAUUCUAAAAAGGUCGAAAUGAGUUGUGGAAUAACCACAGUUAAGCACAGUAUUUUAUAGAUUUUUUAUACUAUAAAUUUUGUUUAAUUUGGAUAUAUCUCAAAAAUAAUUAUUGUGGGUAUAAGGUCAUUGCACUCUGAAGCAUUUGUGAUGUGAUUAUGAUACAAGUCAAAGUCAAACAAAUAUCAAUCUUUUAUCUCUUGGACGGUAGUGGUGACCUGUUCUAAUGAGGUGAUAAAUGAAUUGAUUUUUUAGAUCGUUUUCCUAACGUGACAAAGUGGACAAGAAUUGUCUGUCAAUGUUUCAUAUAUGUGGGUUUUCCUAUUUGUAAUUUCAUGUUCAAAUUUUUUUUAAAUAGACAACUUUCAUUGAAUUAGAAAAAACAUGUUCAAUUAUUUGCAUAUAUAAAAAAGUAUUUUUUUUAGAAAAUAGAAAUAAAAUUAAAAAAAUUCUCUUCUCAAAUAUUUAAUUUUUAGAGUAAUUUUUGGAUCAAUUAAAGAAAGAAGAGUGAUUGAGAUAUGAGAAAAAGAAUCAAUAUUGGAAUAACAUACAUCUGGCAAGUGUUUCAUACCCCACUUGACAUGUCGCGUUGAGAAGUCUAAGUCUAUGUGACGUGCUGAGCGGUUUGAUGGGGGAUGGAAUAAAACUAACGAGUCUAAGUCUCAAAAAUUAAUUUUAUCUUUUGAUCAUUAUUUGAUGUCUCAUUCUAGCUCAACCCCUUAAGGGGGAACGAGAGAGGUCACUAUUUACUUGUCUGAGGAUCUUCCUCUCUUUUUUUCUUUUUUUAAUCUUUAUUAAUGCAUAACUACUAAGAAUAUUUAUUUCUAUUUUUAUUGGAUAGGUAUAAAUAAUAUUUUGAUAGAACGCUUCCAUUUAUCGACUUCUCUAUUGACUAAAUUUUUUUUUCAUAUUAUGUGACGAGGNNNNNNNNNNNNNNNNNNNNNNNNNNNNNNNNNNNNNNNNNNNNNNNNNNNNNNNNNNNNNNNNNNNNNNNNNNNNNNNNNNNNNNNNNNNNNNNNNNNNNNNNNNNNNNNNNNNNNNNNNNNNNNNNNNNNNNNNNNNNNNNNNNNNNNNNNNNNNNNNNNNNNNNNNNNNNNNNNNNNNNNNNNNNNNNNNNNNNNNNNNNNNNNNNNNNNNNNNNNNNNNNNNNNNNNNNNNNNNNNNNNNNNNNNNNNNNNNNNNNNNNNNNNNNNNNNNNNNNNNNNNNNNNNNNNNNNNNNNNNNNNNNNNNNNNNNNNNNNNNNNNNNNNNNNNNNNNNNNNNNNNNNNNNNNNNNNNNNNNNNNNNNNNNNNNNNNNNNNNNNNNNNNNNNNNNNNNNNNNNNNNNNNNNNNNNNNNNNNNNNNNNNNNNNNNNNNNNNNNNNNNNNNNNNNNNNNNNNNNNNNNNNNNNNNNNNNNNNNNNNNNNNNNNNNNNNNNNNNNNNNNNNNNNNNNNNNNNNNNNNNNNNNNNNNNNNNNNNNNNNNNNNNNNNNNNNNNNNNNNNNNNNNNNNNNNNNNNNNNNNNNNNNNNNNNNNNNNNNNNNNNNNNNNNNNNNNNNNNNNNNNNNNNNNNNNNNNNNNNNNNNNNNNNNNNNNNNNNNNNNNNNNNNNNNNNNNNNNNNNNNNNNNNNNNNNNNNNNNNNNNNNNNNNNNNNNNNNNNNNNNNNNNNNNNNNNNNNNNNNNNNNNNNNNNNNNNNNNNNNNNNNNNNNNNNNNNNNNNNNNNNNNNNNNNNNNNNNNNNNNNNNNNNNNNNNNNNNNNNNNNNNNNNNNNNNNNNNNNNNNNNNNNNNNNNNNNNNNNNNNNNNNNNNNNNNNNNNNNNNNNNNNNNNNNNNNNNNNNNNNNNNNNNNNNNNNNNNNNNNNNNNNNNNNNNNNNNNNNNNNNNNNNNNNNNNNNNNNNNNNNNNNNNNNNNNNNNNNNNNNNNNNNNNNNNNNNNNNNNNNNNNNNNNNNNNNNNNNNNNNNNNNNNNNNNNNNNNNNNNNNNNNNNNNNNNNNNNNNNNNNNNNNNNNNNNNNNNNNNNNNNNNNNNNNNNNNNNNNNNNNNNNNNNNNNNNNNNNNNNNNNNNNNNNNNNNNNNNNNNNNNNNNNNNNNNNNNNNNNNNNNNNNNNNNNNNNNNNNNNNNNNNNNNNNNNNNNNNNNNNNNNNNNNNNNNNNNNNNNNNNNNNNNNNNNNNNNNNNNNNNNNNNNNNNNNNNNNNNNNNNNNNNNNNNNNNNNNNNNNNNNNNNNNNNNNNNNNNNNNNNNNNNNNNNNNNNNNNNNNNNNNNNNNNNNNNNNNNNNNNNNNNNNNNNNNNNNNNNNNNNNNNNNNNNNNNNNNNNNNNNNNNNNNNNNNNNNNNNNNNNNNNNNNNNNNNNNNNNNNNNNNNNNNNNNNNNNNNNNNNNNNNNNNNNNNNNNNNNNNNNNNNNNNNNNNNNNNNNNNNNNNNNNNNNNNNNNNNNNNNNNNNNNNNNNNNNNNNNNNNNNNNNNNNNNNNNNNNNNNNNNNNNNNNNNNNNNNNNNNNNNNNNNNNNNNNNNNNNNNNNNNNNNNNNNNNNNNNNNNNNNNNNNNNNNNNNNNNNNNNNNNNNNNNNNNNNNNNNNNNNNNNNNNNNNNNNNNNNNNNNNNNNNNNNNNNNNNNNNNNNNNNNNNNNNNNNNNNNNNNNNNNNNNNNNNNNNNNNNNNNNNNNNNNNNNNNNNNNNNNNNNNNNNNNNNNNNNNNNNNNNNNNNNNNNNNNNNNNNNNNNNNNNNNNNNNNNNNNNNNNNNNNNNNNNNNNNNNNNNNNNNNNNNNNNNNNNNNNNNNNNNNNNNNNNNNNNNNNNNNNNNNNNNNNNNNNNNNNNNNNNNNNNNNNNNNNNNNNNNNNNNNNNNNNNNNNNNNNNNNNNNNNNNNNNNNNNNNNNNNNNNNNNNNNNNNNNNNNNNNNNNNNNNNNNNNNNNNNNNNNNNNNNNNNNNNNNNNNNNNNNNNNNNNNNNNNNNNNNNNNNNNNNNNNNNNNNNNNNNNNNNNNNNNNNNNNNNNNNNNNNNNNNNNNNNNNNNNNNNNNNNNNNNNNNNNNNNNNNNNNNNNNNNNNNNNNNNNNNNNNNNNNNNNNNNNNNNNNNNNNNNNNNNNNNNNNNNNNNNNNNNNNNNNNNNNNNNNNNNNNNNNNNNNNNNNNNNNNNNNNNNNNNNNNNNNNNNNNNNNNNNNNNNNNNNNNNNNNNNNNNNNNNNNNNNNNNNNNNNNNNNNNNNNNNNNNNNNNNNNNNNNNNNNNNNNNNNNNNNNNNNNNNNNNNNNNNNNNNNNNNNNNNNNNNNNNNNNNNNNNNNNNNNNNNNNNNNNNNNNNNNNNNNNNNNNNNNNNNNNNNNNNNNNNNNNNNNNNNNNNNNNNNNNNNNNNNNNNNNNNNNNNNNNNNNNNNNNNNNNNNNNNNNNNNNNNNNNNNNNNNNNNNNNNNNNNNNNNNNNNNNNNNNNNNNNNNNNNNNNNNNNNNNNNNNNNNNNNNNNNNNNNNNNNNNNNNNNNNNNNNNNNNNNNNNNNNNNNNNNNNNNNNNNNNNNNNNNNNNNNNNNNNNNNNNNNNNNNNNNNNNNNNNNNNNNNNNNNNNNNNNNNNNNNNNNNNNNNNNNNNNNNNNNNNNNNNNNNNNNNNNNNNNNNNNNNNNNNNNNNNNNNNNNNNNNNNNNNNNNNNNNNNNNNNNNNNNNNNNNNNNNNNNNNNNNNNNNNNNNNNNNNNNNNNNNNNNNNNNNNNNNNNNNNNNNNNNNNNNNNNNNNNNNNNNNNNNNNNNNNNNNNNNNNNNNNNNNNNNNNNNNNNNNNNNNNNNNNNNNNNNNNNNNNNNNNNNNNNNNNNNNNNNNNNNNNNNNNNNNNNNNNNNNNNNNNNNNNNNNNNNNNNNNNNNNNNNNNNNNNNNNNNNNNNNNNNNNNNNNNNNNNNNNNNNNNNNNNNNNNNNNNNNNNNNNNNNNNNNNNNNNNNNNNNNNNNNNNNNNNNNNNNNNNNNNNNNNNNNNNNNNNNNNNNNNNNNNNNNNNNNNNNNNNNNNNNNNNNNNNNNNNNNNNNNNNNNNNNNNNNNNNNNNNNNNNNNNNNNNNNNNNNNNNNNNNNNNNNNNNNNNNNNNNNNNNNNNNNNNNNNNNNNNNNNNNNNNNNNNNNNNNNNNNNNNNNNNNNNNNNNNNNNNNNNNNNNNNNNNNNNNNNNNNNNNNNNNNNNNNNNNNNNNNNNNNNNNNNNNNNNNNNNNNNNNNNNNNNNNNNNNNNNNNNNNNNNNNNNNNNNNNNNNNNNNNNNNNNNNNNNNNNNNNNNNNNNNNNNNNNNNNNNNNNNNNNNNNNNNNNNNNNNNNNNNNNNNNNNNNNNNNNNNNNNNNNNNNNNNNNNNNNNNNNNNNNNNNNNNNNNNNNNCAAAUAUUCAAUUUUUAGAUGACUUUUCAGUGAUUUUUGAAUCAAUUAAAGAAAGUAGAGUGAUUGAGAUAUGAGAAAAGGAAUCAACGGAUGAUUUCAAUAUUGAAGUUGAGGAGGACCCAAACUUCAAUCCAUUAUUUCCUAAUUAGUUGACCAGUUAGUAGAGGUCACUGUUGCUCAAUUAUACCACUGAAAGUGAUCCAAUGUACGCACUAAGAGGCAUGGCCACAAGUGGCACAAUGAAUAUUAGGAUAACAUUCAUUACGGCAUGGCAAUAGGGUCUUCGUACCUGACAUGUCACGUUCAGAAGUCUCGUGACGUGUUGAGCGGUUUGAUGGGGGAUGGAAUAAAACUAUGGAGUCUAAAGUCUCAAAAACUGAAACUAUUGCUUUCAGUUUGUUGAGCGUCGGGCGACCGAGGAUAAUGUUGUAGGCCGAGGGCAAGUCAACUAUCAUGAAGGUAGUCAUUGUCGUCUUUGCUCUGUGUUCUUCCCCGAUGGUAACGGGGAGGACGGUAGUACCGAGUGGAGAGAUGGAAUCCCCAAUGAAUCCAAUGAGUGUCAAGUCAUAGGAGUGAGGUCCUCAUUAGUGAGGCUGAGUUUCUUGAAAGCGUCGAGGUAUAGGACAUCAACAAAGCUCCCAGUAUCAACCAUUACUCUUUUGACCCAAGCAUUAGCGAUCCGGAUGGAGAUCACCAUAGCAUCGUGGUGGUGGGAUCGCUCGACCUCCUCGGUUCUGAAAGUGAUUUCAGGCUCGAACUCAGGUCAAUGGCAUUUUUCCACCGUGCUACGGGCGUAGGCCUUCCUUGCUGUUGAACUGCUGUCACCGGUAGCUGGUCCAACGGUAAUGACGUCGAUCUGCCUCUCAACAGGACCCUUGGGGCAUGAAGUGACUUCUGGUUCCUUAAGGUAGUGCCCGAGGUGACCUCUUCGGAUCAGUUCCUCGAUUUGAUUUUGGAGAUCGUGGUAGUCUUCCAUGUCAUGGUUGUAGUCCCAAUGAAACUUGCAAUAUUUAGAUCGAUCCUUGUGAGUAGUCUUCAAAGGAUUGGGUUGUCGUAAGAGACCUUUCUCCCUGAUUUGGAGAAAGAUCUCGGUACUAGACGUGUUCAGAGGCAGAGGCAGGGUCCUCGGGAGUGGUGGCUUGGGUUGGUCGGGCCGCUUACGAGGCUGCGCUGAUGGUGCCGAAGCUGAUCCUCGGGCUUGCUCCAUCCUCGGCCUCUUAUUAUCCUCGCACCUCCUUGCCAUUAGGGCUUCAGCGGUGAUGUACUGGUUGGCACAUUGUAGCAUCUCGGGGAUGGUCGCGGGUGGCUUCUCAAUUAGUGACCAUAAGAACCUCGAGGGUCUCAAGCCCAUCAAAAACACCUGCAUGAUCAAAGAAGGGUGAGCAUCUGUGAAUCCUUGAAUUUCAAUGGCAAAACGUGCCACAAAUUGGGAGAGUGAUUCAUCCUCGCAUUGGGACAACACGAGCAGGGUGGAUAUAAUAGUCAUUAUUAAUCAAUUGAAGGUUGAAAAAAUUGAACUUCCUGAACUUUUUUAAGUAGGGGCUAUAAUAGUCAAGUUGUCUUUAUUUUGGAAAGAGUAUAGGAAGAAAAUUUUGCAUGACUCUAAGGAUAUCACUUUGGAGCAAAUUCAAAAAUAUUUUCGAAUCAAGGAGUAAUCGAGGAUGAGAAACUAAAGUGAGAACUCUUUUGGCAAUAUAAAGACAAAUGUUAUGAAUCAGCUUAAGAAUUCUAACAAAAGCAAGCAAAACAAGGAGAAUCAUUUUGUCCCCAAAAGGGAUCAAAGAAAAUUUAAAAAGCUAAAGAGUGGAGGCUAUUUUGUUUGUGGAAAACCUGGUCAUUUUGCUAGGGAUUACAAAUUUAAGAAAAGUUAGAAACCAAAAGUCAACUUCGUUGAGGGAGAUGAUAAUAUAAUCACGACGGUGAGCGAAGUGAAUGUCAUAUUGGUAAGGUUUCUAGUUGGUGGUAUGAUACUUAUGCUACUGUCUAUGUUUGCUUUGAUAAGGUACUCUUCAAGACUUACAAAGAAGUCACAGAAGGGCAAGAGAUUCAAAUAGGAAAUAAAGUUCAUUCUAAGGUGAUUGGCAAGGGAAAUGUGGAACUCACUUUCAUUUCAGAAAAAAAAGUCAUUCUUACUAAUGUUAUUCAUGUACUAGAUAGGAGUAGAAAUUUAGUGACUGAGAAUCUCCUUGGAAAACUUAGAAUUAUAAUUUAUAUUUGAAUCCGAGAAGUUAAUUUACCUCGUAAUGAAACUUUUGUUAGAAAAGACUAUUUCGCUGAGGGAAUUAUCAAAUUAUCUAUUUUGAUAAUGAUUUUAAAUUUAAUAAAGAUAUUAUUUCUAUUUAUAUUGUUGAUUCUUAUUCAUUAUGGUAUGAUAGAUUAGCAUAUAUUGGAACUAGCACCAUUAAAAGAAUGAUUAAGUAUGACUUAAUAAAUUAUCAUUUUGACGAUCUUAAUAACUAUGAAAUUUGUGUUAAGUCAAAGACGACAAAGAAACACUUCAAAAGUAUUGAAAUGUAUAUUAAUUUGUUAGACUUAAUAUAUUUUAAUAUAUGUGAAUUAAAUAUCAUAUUAAAUAGAGGAGGCAAUAGAUAUUUCUUUUAUAGAUGAUAUGUUUAGGUUCACAUAUGUUUACUUAUUGAAAAAUAAAAAUAAUAUUUUUAAUGCUUUUAAAGCUUAUAAAGCAGAAGUUAAAAAUUAAUUAGGUAAGAAAAUUAAAGUUUUAAGAAGUGAUAGAGGAGGAGAAUACUUUUCUAAUGAAUUUAACUUAUUUUGUGAACAAUAUGACAUAAUUCAUGAAUGUUUAGUACCUAGAAUACCUGACCAAAAUGGAUUAAUAGAAAGAAAAAAUAAAAUUUAUCUAGAGAUAAUUAAUGUUAUAUUGUUGCAUGUUAAAUUAUCUUAUAAUUUGUGGGGAGAAACUUUAUUGGUUGUAUAUCAUAUUUUAAAUAGAAUUUUCUCUAAAAAGAAUAAGAUCUCUCCAUAUGAGUUAUGGAAAGGAAGACAACCUAACAUUGGUUAUUUUAAAGUGUGGGGAUAUCUUGCAUAUUGUAAGAAUAAUGAUCCUCAAAAGAUAAAGUUGGGACCUAGAGGAAUCAAAUGUGCAUUUAUAGGCUAUGUCUUAAAUAGCAAAGCUUAUAGACUUCUUAAUUUAGAGUCUGAUAUCAUAUAGAAUCUUGAGAUGUAGAGUUCUUUGAACACUUAAUAACUUCAAGUAACAAUGUUUUUCCUCUAACUAAUGAAGAGUCACCAGUGGAGACAUCUCAAAAGCUUGAUGAGCAACCUAAUAUUUCUUUGAUUGGACAUUAAUCAAGUUCAUAAGAGGUUGGAGAGCAAUUUCAUGAAUUAAAGAUAAGCACUCGUGUACGGAAAGCAAAAACAUUAAGAUCUGAAGAGAUUGAUUCUCAAAGUAUUUCGUUUUACCUUAUAGAAGGAAUUAAUGAGAGAGUCUUAAAUUAGAAUUCCUCUUGUUUUAUAAGUGGAAGACGAUCAUAAAACAUUUAAAGAUGCUAUGGUCUCUCAUGAUGCUGCUUUUUGAAAAGAUGCUAUUAAUGAUGAGAUGGAUUCUAUUAUGUUAAGCCACACUUGGAACUUGUCGAUUUACCUUUUGCCUCUAAACCUAUUAGUUGCAAAUGAGUAUUUUGUAGGAAGCAUUAUACAAAUGGUACUCUCUAAACAUUCAAAGUAAGGUUAGUUGUUAAAGGAUUUCGACAGAAGGAAGGAAUAGAUUAUUUUGACACAUAAGCUCCUGUGACUAGGAUCACAUCUAUUAGAAUUAUUUUUGCUUUAGCAUCAAUUUUUUAUUUUUAUGUUCAUCAAAUGGGUGUCAAAAUGAUAUUUCUAAAUGGAGACCUCGAUGAAGAGGUAUAUAUAGAAUAAUUCAAAGUUUUUGUUCUACCGAAAAAUGAAUAUAAAGUGUGUAAAUUUAUUAAGUCAUUAUAUGAUUUAAAGCAAGCUCCAAAACAGUGGCAUGAGAAAUUUGAUACAAUAAUUCUUUCUAAUGGAUUUAUUCAUAAUAUUGUAGAUAAAUGUGUUUAUCUCAAAACUUAUGAUAACUAUAUGAUGAUAGUUUGCAUUUAUGUUAAUGAUAUGCUAAUAGUGAGCAACGACAUGAAAGGUAUUAUAGAAAUAAAGAGGUUUCUAUCUUCAACAUUUAAGAUGAAAGUUCUUGGAUAAGUUGAUACCAUUUUAGGUAUCGAGAUAAAAAAAAAUAGUGGGGGAUAUGUUUUGAGUCAAACUUAUUAUAUAGAGAACCAUUCUAGGUAUCGAGAUAAAAAAAAAUAGUGGGGGAUAUGUUUUGAGUCAAACUCAUUAUAUAGAGAAAGUACCGAAGAAAUUCAGUCACUUAAAAAUUAAAGAAGCAAAUACCUCGUUUGACCCAAGUAUCAAAUUAGUCAAGAAUGUUGGAAGAACAGUGACUCAAUUAGAAUAUUCAAGUGCUAUAGGAAGUCUUAUGUAUGCAACACAGUGCACACGACCUGAUACAGUAUUUAUAGUUAGUAAAUUGAGUAUAUUUACUAGCAAUCCAAAUGUAGAGCAUUGGAAGGCUAUCGAAAGAGUUCUUGAGCACCUUAAACGAACAAAAGAUUAUGACCUAUAAUACUAAAAAUUUCUUGCUAUUUUAGAAGGAUAUACCGACACAAGUUGGAAAUCGAGUUUCAGAGAUAACAAAUCUACUACUGGUUGGGUGUUCACCUUGGGAGAUGGCGCUGUUUCUUAGAAUAACAAGAAACAAACAUGUAUAACUUACUCAAUCGGAAUUUGUUGCUCUAGUAGAAAUAGGAAAGGAGGUUGAAUGGUUGAGGGACUUUCUAUUAGAAAUUUCAUUGACUUCUAAGAGUGUGAAUUUAAUUUCUAUACUGUGUGAUAGUCAAGCCACUUUAGCUUGUGCGUAUAGUGAAAUAUAUAAUGGAAAGUCAAGACAUAAGUCUUAAGCAUGCUUAUGUAAGGAAAUUAAUCAAGAUUGAGAUUAUUUCACUCACAUUUGUGAAAAUAAGUAAGAAUUUGGUUGAUCCGUUCACCAAACCUCUUACAAGAGAAGUUAUAAAAUCAGCAUCAAAAUGGAUGGGGCUAAAACUCCUCAAAUAAAAGAUCCAUCAAUGAUAACAACCUUACUCAAUAUUAUGAAAUGAGUAAUAAAAAGUUUAAAAGAUAAGAAUAAGUCAUUGACAUAUAGAGUAAUUCAGCACUUUAAAAUAUUUUACAAGUCGCAUCUAAGGAUCUUUUGUUCAAAACCUAAGUAACAAUCUAAAGAGAAUAAUUGAGAUAUAAGGAUAUAAGUAACAAUCACAAUAUUCAAAUUCUCUCCAAGUAAUCACAUGCAGUGUAGUACCACAAAGGUCUUUGUUCACAACAUAGAUUGAGGGGUCAUUUAACGUGGACAAUUGAUUGCUUGUUGGAAUUCUUCCUGACAAGUUGUUGUAAGACAGAUUCAAGUGGCUCAGGAAGGUGAGAGUAGAAAAGCUAGAAGGAAUAUUUAAUGUGAGACCCUUCAUUGACAAGUCGAGUGAUUCCAGCAGUCAUGGAACCGAUCUCCUUCCUGUCAAAUGAUUGUUGGACAAGUUAAGAUAUUGUAUACCUGUAGACAUAUCCGAGAACCAAGCUGGAACUUUGCUCGCGGGUCCAACUCCAGAUAGUUGAAGGCUUCUCAAAUUAGUUUGGGUUCGAAUUCACGUAGAAAAUUUAGUUUCUAUAUGACAGAAGCUCAUGUCAAUAAAUGAAGUAUCAAAAGAGGGAAGCCAAUUAUCGGGUAUAAUCACAUUGAAGGAGUUAUAAGAUACGUCUAAAUGUUCCAAGUUUGUGAACCGGGAAAAGUGUGCUUUAGUGAUGUCGCCUUCUGGUGAAUUUGAGGAGAGGUCCAACCUGUACAUUCCAGAUAAUUGACCAAAUUAAAUGGAAUAAUGCCAUUAAAUUUGUUGCCCUCAAUACUUAAGUAUGACAAGGCUGCUCCUCCAGUACAAUUCGACGAACCAUCAACUGUAAGCUCUCCAUUGAAAUUGUUAGAAUUCAAACGCAAAUCAGUUAAGUUGCACGAGCAACCUAAAGUCCUCGGCAUCUGCCCUGCUAGGUGGUUACAUGAUAUAUCCAAGACCUGCAAGAGGUCGAGUUUGCCAAUUGUUUCUGGUAGUUGCCCGGUAAAACCUGCAGAAGCUUGCCAAUAGAAUCAUGAGACAGAUGUAAAACCUGAAGACUUUGAAGAUUGCCAAUGUGUGCAAGGUUGCUAGCAUUAGUGAGCCAUCUUAGAAUACUUGCAUUACUUUUUGGUUGUAUUGCUUAUGUUUUGGUGAAUUCAUAAAAUCAUGACAAGCUUGAUGAAAAAUUAGAGAAAUACAUUUUAAUUGGUUAUUCUUUACAAUCUAAAGCAUAUCGAUUAUAUAACCCUGUUAGUGGCAAAGUUAUUAUUAACAUAAAUGUUAUGUUUGAUGAAAGGGCACGUUGGAAUUGGGAGACCAAUAAAAGUGAAACACAAAUGCAGAUUCCAACAGAACUAGACACUCCGCAGAAUCAAGUGACAGAUCCUGCUCCAACAAAUUCAUCGUUAACCUCACCCAAUAGUAGUUCAAAUUCGGAUUCCUCAUAUGAAAUCCCUCCAAGAAAUUUCAGAUCACUGACAGAAAUUUAUAACUCAAUAUUUGCUUUGUUUAUUUCAGAUCCGACAACUUUUGAGGAAGUAGUUAAAAAAGAGGAAUGGAGAAAAGUAAUGAAGGAGGAAAUUAAGUCAAUUGAGAAGAAUGAAACUUGGGAGCUAAUGGAUCUACUGAAAGAAAAGAAAGCGAUUGGGUUAAAAUGGAUGUUCAAAACAAAAUUUAAAUGCAAAUUAUUUGGUUUUAUUGAUACUGAUUGUGCAGGAGGUUUAGAUGAUCGAAAGAGUACUUCAGGCAAGUGGAGCCAUAACAAUGAAGUAUUAUGGAACGGAUGAACAAGUUGCGGAUAUCCUCACCAAAUCACUUCCACUUCGAAAGCAUAUUUAUUUUAUGUCGCAAAUUGGUGUAUGCAACUAUGAAUCAAGGGGGAGUGUUGAGAUCUGAUUCAUAGUUAUCUAUCUAGAUUGUUAUUAUGAUCUAGUGGUUACAUGAUGAUUUCAAUAACCACUUCAAUCAUGAUCUAGUAGUUAUAAGGUGGUUUCAAUAACUACCUUAUGAUCUAGUAGUUAUAGGGUGGUUAUCACUAGGUCCUAUAAAUAGGACCGUAGUUCAUCUAGCAAGAUAUAGAGAUAGCAAGCAGAGAGAGAUAGAGAGUUUGUGUGCAUUUGGUAUCUUGUAAGUGUUCUUAUCAAUCCUCGAGUUUUUAAUACUACAACAGUUUUCUUGAGUCGAAAGGAUUCUUUUUACUCGUAUCGUAGUAUUAUGUUUUUCCUUGCUCCUCCAUCCCCAACAUGGAAUUCAAGAUAGUUGAAGGCUUCUCAAAUUAGUUUGGGUUCGAAUUCAAGUAGAAAAUUUAGUUUCUAUAUGACAGAAGCUCAUGUCAAUAAAUGAAGCAUCAAAAGAGGGAAGCCAAUUAUCUGGUAUAAUCACAUUGAAGGAGUUAUAAGAUACGUCUAAAUGUUCCAAGUUUGUGAACCGGGAAAAGUGUGCUUUAGUGAUGUCGCCUUAUGGUGAGUUUGAGGAGAGGUCCAACCUGUACAUUCCAGAUAAUUGACCAAAUUAAAUGGAAUAAUGCCAUUAAAUUUGUUGCCCUCAAUACUUAAGUAUGUAUGACAAGGCUGCUCCUCCAGUACAAUUCGACGAACCAUCAACUACAUCUGUAAGCUCUCCAUUGAAAUUGUUAGAAUUCAGACGUAGAUCAGUCAAGUUGCAUGAGCAACCUAAAGUCCUCGGCAUCUGCCCGGCUAAGUGGUUACAUGAUAUAUCCAAGAACUGCAAGAGGUCGAGUUUGCCAAUUGUUUCUGGUAGUUGCCCGGUAAUAGAGUCAUGAGACAGAUGUAAAACCUGAAGACUUUGAAGAUUGCCAAUGUGUGCAAGGUUGCUAGCAUUAGUGAGCCAUCUUAGAAUACUUGCAUUACUUUAGUUCUAAUAACCAGAGAGAUCGAGCAUGACAAUGGAUGUCAACAGAAGACUACUAAUAGCCACAAAAAUUGCCAACAGAAGCUGCCAUAUAAAAGAACACAAAGAAAAGCAUGUGUCGACAUCCAAUUAACGAGGCAAUGUAUUGAAAGGAAAGCGAUAACAGAACGACGGUAGAUAAAAAGUAUUUGAAGAGAUUAGAAGGAAUGCAUUACUUGAUACUUCUUCCUUCUUUAUUCUGACAGCAUUGCAUGAUGAUUACAUACAACACUACUUGAAAGCAGCUUGUGACCUCAAGAUGUAACAAUAAUCUCUUCGGCAUACUUCAUUCUGCUUGAUUAUAAUGUCAUAAAGACAACGGUAGGGAUGACUGACUUGAACAUAUUGAUUAGAACGACGGUAGAUGAAGUUUUUGAACUGAUUAGAACAAAUACAUACAUACUAAUGAAGCAAAUGGCCAUCAACUGCGAUACCCUUUCCUUCUUUAUUCUGACAACAUUACACCAUAACAUAUGAGCUGGAAUUACUAACUGGAAAGCAACUUGAGACCUCCGUAAGAUGUCACAGUAAACUCUUCAGUUCUUGCCACCGAUGGAUCAAGUCACUCUUUGCUGUUUGGACUUUAACGUUGCACAUCCGACAGCCAACUGCACGUAGCACCAAUUGCAAACCUCGUCGAUUAAUCGGAAGAAAGCAGUCCUUAUGCUCUGUUUCAUGAUCAUUGUGCUUAUAAAACUCCAAAAACCAACCACAAAACCCAUGACGAUGCCGAUAAUUUCCCACACUGUUUCAAGCCUGUCACCGUUUUUCUCUUCCUGUUCAUGAGGUGGACUUUGAUAAGCUUCAUCACCUGGGCACUCUGGCAGCGGCGUACCACAAAGGUAUUCAUUACCAUCAUAGAUCGACAGGUCUCCAAGAAAGGUCGACAUUUGACCACCGGCUGUUGGGAUUCUUCCUGACAAGUUAUUGUGAGAGAGAUUCAAGUGGCUUAGGAAGGUGAGAGAUGAUAAGCUGGAAGGAAUAUCUCCGGUGAGAUUGUUCAUUGACAAAUCCAGUGAUUCCAGUUGUUCCAUGGAACCAAUCUUUUCUGGAAUGGUUCCUCUCAAAUGAUUCUUAGAUAAGUUCAAGAAAAGCAAUCCAUGAAGGUUCGUUAGCUCUCUUGGGAUCUCUCCGGAAAGAUUAUUAUUUGAUAGGUCUAUGCUUGUUACAAGUGAGAGAAUUGUGGUGUAUUGGAUGUCAAAUCCUUUCACCGUUAUUACUAUGCUCUCGACAUAGUAACUACCAGCGUCAAGAUGAAGCAAUGACGUAGUAUCAUGUUGUAUCUCAACCAUAGCCCUACAAUUUCCCAGAGAUGAAGGUAUGCUACCAGAAAGAUUGUUGGAAGAAAGAUCCAAAACCUGAAGAGAAGUAAGAUUUGCUAUAUGCACUGGAAUGGGACCGUAAAAUAGGUUUGACUUCAAACAAAGAACUCUCAAGGAUAAAAGGUUUUCUCCCACCCAUGUUGGUAUUUCAUCAUACAAAUUAUUUUCACCGAGACCAAGAGUAACUAAUUGUUCACAAUGUUUCAGGAACGAAGGAAAUCUUCCAGAUAGGUUGUUGUGGUUCAAAUGCAGGGACUGUAGAGAAGUUGGAAAGGAUUUAUGGCAAGUUGGGACUUCCCCAGAUAAAUUAUUGUUCGAUAGGUCGAGGACUUGGAGAUAAUUAAAAUUACAGAAAAAGGAAGGAAAACUGCCGUUGAUAUUAUUAUGAGAUAAAGAUAAAAUUGCAAGAUUCGAGGUAUUUGCAAAACUCAAUGGAAUGGGUCCGACAAAUGAGUUAUUAGAGAGAUCGAUCACUUCAUUGGCAGCAGAGGGUAGUGGGCCAUUUAAGUUAUUAGAACUCAAGUUAAGAUUCGAUAAACCUUUUGAGAAAUCCGAAAACCAAGUCGGAAGGUUGCCUGAGAGUCCAACUCCAGAUAAAGAAAGUUGUUCCAAACGUGAUUGUGUAUGAAUCCAAGCAGGAAAUUUGGUUCCCAGAUGACAUGAGUCCAUGAAAAUACUGUAGGCAUUAAAAGGUGGAAGCCAAUCAUUAGGUAAGAUCACAUUCAAGGAGUUGUAAGAAAUGUCCAAUAAGGUUAAAUCGGUGAGUUUGGAAAAGUGUGCUUCAGUGAUGUUGCCUUUCAGUGAAUUUGAGGAGAGGUCCAAUUCACUUAAUGCAGAUAAUUGACCCAUACUUGAGGGGACAAUUCCACUCAAAUUGUUAUAUGAUACAUUCAAAUAUUCCAAGGUGUAGAGUCUGUCGAAGGUCUCUGGCAUCUGCCCAGUAAUAAAAUUUUCAGAUAAAUCUAGAGAUAGUAUAUUUUGGAGAUUCCCAAUACUUUCUGGUAUCUGUCCUGAAAUUUUAUUUCCCGACAAUCUCAAGCUCUCUAAGUUGAUGAUAUUACCAAAAGUCAUCGGUAUACCUCCAGUUAUACUGUUGUAAGAGAGAUCCAAGUAUUCUAAAUUGGUGAGAUUAUCUAUGAUUUGUGGAAUUUCUCCAGCAAUAUGAUUGGAUCUCAAACUUAAAUAUCGCAAGCUGCUUGUGAAAUUUUUCACCAUUUCUGAAAUAUCUCCAUCGAGCUCGUUACCAUCUAAUGCAAGAUACUCCACGGGGCCAAGACUCCAUAAGAUUUGUGUAAUAUCUCCACUUAAUGAAUUUCCACUCAAAUCCAAAUGCUUUAAGCUCUUGCUCACAUUCAUUACUAUUCCAAGAAUUUCUCCUUUCAUACCAUUGUAUUGCAAAUUAAGUUCUUUCAAAUUACUCAGAGCUCCCAGAGUGAUUUGUAGUGACUCAAUAUCGACACCUUUGCAGCUAGCAAGAUCGAGAUAUACAAGGCUGCUAGCAUGAGAGAGCCAUCUUAGAAUUGUUGUAUUCAAGUUCAAAUAUCCAGAGAUAUCCAACUUGACAAUUGAAGUCAGAUUAAAAGGGAACGAAGGAGAUGAAACAUAUGGGAGGUUUGCCCACUUCAAGUGCAAUACUUUAAGACUAUGGAUUGAAUUAACUUGAUGAAGCCAAUUAGUUGCUUUAGAGAGGUUGACAAAACUCAUAUCAACAUAUAUUAGAGAAGAAAUCCGGGAAAGCCAAUCAAGGUCAUCAGCUCGUAGAUCACUAAGUCUACAUCCUUUGAUAUCGAGGUAGUGUAGGUUGGAGAGGUUCCCCAGUUGUGGAGGUAUUAGUCCAUCAAACAUAGCAUUGGAUAGGUUAAGAUAUUCCAAGUGCAUAAAUGAAGCAAUCAUGAGGGGCACGUUUGCGCCAAAAAAGUUAUUCAUGCUCAAAUCCAGAUGUUUCAGAUACUUCAGAUCAUGCAAAGCAGGAUUUACCUUGCUCGCACCCAUCCCUUCCAGCAUGAAGCAAAUGUCAUCCUCGUCAUCCCAAUCGUCUGUGAGAGGAUAGCGGAGGUCGAGCUCGAUGACAUGGUUGGUGGUGUUGUCGCAGGCCACUCCUCUCCAACGACAACAAUCUUCACCGAUCCAAGAAGAGAACCUUUCGUUGGAGUGGUACAUAUCAGAUCUAAUGGCAAGGAGAGCUCUCCUCUCACUCUCUACGCAGCUUCUCCCCUCCGUCCCGAGACGAUCAACAUGAUCGUCUCUGACAUGGCCGAGACAACAAGAGAUGACUCCAAAGCUCAUAAUUACGGCUAUGAGUACGAUGACAUGCUUUGGAAAAAUAGAUUCACCCUUGCAGCCACCGUUAGCAGCCAUUUGAGUAAACUUUCCGCGAUGAGGAAGUUGAAGGUGUGAGGUUGGAAGGUGGCUCCAUACAUACAUUUAUUAUAGAAUGACAAUGAACGGUACUUGAGGACCUUUUCAAUCUCAACGAUCCGUGUCGUUGACAUGAUGUUCCCGCACUCCAACGUUUACUGACGUGAUAAGUGGUUUGGAAUGGGCUGGCGAAUCUUCCUCGUUGAUUCUUCCAACCAUAAUGAUGAGGCUCUUUGUGAAGGAUGUGACAUAUGAAAUAAAAGUUUCCUUUAUAUGAUAAUUGAUAACAAGUGGUGUUAUGUGUAAAGGGAGUACUUAAAUUACACUUGGACAACGAUGUGAUCAUUACUGGUUAGUAAUUGAACCGAUGAGUUAAUCUGAUUGAAUGAAUAUUUAAUACAAAUAUCCAAUAUUAUAUAUAUAUAUAUAUAAGUUUUAAAUAUGAAUAUUUAUUAUCUGAAACUAUUACAAGAAAGCAACUGAGUCCAAGUCUUUGAUGUCACUCAAGAUCUUUUGUUGUUAACAUUCUAGAAGGCAUCAAUGAGUUGUGGAGUGAUCACUAUUAAGCAUAGGAUUUUAUAGUAUUUUAUUAUACUCUAAAAUUAGUUUAGUUUCGAUAUAUCUCAAGAAUAAUUAUUGUAGGUAUGAGGUUUUUACACUCUGAAGCAUUUGUGGUAUGGUUACAAUACAAGUCAAAGUCAAACAGAUAUUUAUCUUGUAUCUCUUGAAUGGUAGUAGUGAUAUGUUCUAAUGAGAUGAUAAAUGGAUUGAAUUUUUGGAUCUUCCUAGCACACCGUGUCAAGAAAUGUCACUGUCAAUGUUUCAUAUGUGUGGGUUUUCCUAUUCGUAAUUUCAUGUUCGUUUUUUUUGAAGUAGACAACUUUCAUUGAAUUAGAAAUAAAUUAUACAAUUAUUUGUAAUAUAUAUAUAUAUAUAUAUAUAUAUAUUUUUUUUUUUAGAAAAUAAAAAUAAAUCUUUUAAAAAAAUAUUCUCUUCUCAAGUAUUCAAUCAUUAGAGUGACUUUGCCAUGAUUUUUGGAUAGAAAGAAGUGUGACUGAGACAUGAGAAAAAGAAUCAGCGCAUGAUUCCAACAUUUAAGUUGAGGAGGAUCCAAACUUUCAUCCUUCCAAAAAUGUAAUAUCAUCCUUAACUAAUUAUUUCUUAAUUAGUUGACUAUUGUAAGUGUUCCAAUGUACGCACUAAGAGUCAUGACUAAAGGUGACACAAUCAACGUUGGAAUAACAUUAAUCAAUGCAUGUCAAUUGGAUUUUCAUAGCCCCACUUUGACAUGUCGCGUUGAGAAUUCUAGUGACGUGUUGAAUGGUUUGAUGGGGGAUGAAAUGAAACUAGCGAGUCUUUUGUGCAAAAAGUCUCAAAAGUUGAUUUUAUCUUUUGAGCAUUUCUUGAUGUCCCAUUCUAACUCAUCCCGUCAAGGGGGCAAAGAGAGAGAUCACUGUUUUCUUAUCGAGCAUGCGCACCUUCCUCUCUCUUUCCUUCUGUUUGUUUUUUAUUUGUCUUCUUUAAUGUAUAAGUAAUAAGUAUAUACGUUUCUAUUUUUAUUGGAUACGUAUAAGCAAUAUUUUGAUAGAACAUUGUAACUCAUUUCUUUUUUGACUUCUCGUAUUUCCAUAAUUUAUUGAGUGAAUUUUUUCAUGUCAUAUAAUGUUGGCAAUCCUAAAGAAAUACCUAAUAAAUAAGGGAAUUGGGUGAAGAUAGAUAAUAAAUAAAAAAAUAAAAGAGAGAAAAAUAUUAAUUUAAGGGGGAGGGAUUUGAAAUAUUCUUGUGACUUACGUUGUUGAAAUAUACAAAUCUUUAUUGUAAAUUAGUUUUAGAGAGGAGAAAAGAGGAACGAAUGUAGAUGAUAGUUUUGGACUCGUUAAGUCUAAUGAACCAAUGGAAUGAUUUGGAGAAGAAUUUUUUUUUUAAAUACUAAAGCGAUGAACGCUUUAUUUUAUUCUCUAGAUAAAAAUGAAUUCAAUCGGAUUUCUAUUUCACAUUUGGCACACUCUUGAAAUCACACAUGAAGGUACUAAUAAAAUUAAAGAUUCAAAAAUUAAUCUUUUAAUUUAUAAUUUUGAAUUAUUUCGUAUGAAGCUAAUCUUUUAAGUCAAGUGAAACUAUUGUUGAUAUGUAUACAUGUUUUAUGGAUGUCAUCAAUAGUUUAAAAGUUCUUGACAAAUAUUUUUCUAAUCUAAAAUUAUGAACUCAUAUUACUCAUAUGUUUUAUAAAAAAUAAUACUAUUAUCAUGAUCCCAUUAUAAUUCUCAGUUUUUUACAUAGGUAAAAAAAAAUGAAAACAAAGUAAUUAACAAAGAAGAAAAUGAAAUUGCAUCAAGAUGAUUCAAUAUGUUUUACUUGGUCAUAUUUUGAUAAAACAAGCUUCUAGAAUUGUAUUAUAAAAUAAUUUCCUUCUUUAUAUAUCAUGUUCUUCCUUUCUUAUAAGAUGAUAAUUCUUUUUGUCUUUUCUUUUAUUUAUGUUUUUCUUCUUAUUUACUGGCAAUCUUGAAAUAAGAUCAUAAAUAUGCAGGAUAUUGUCAUGUGAAAAUACAAAUAUAUCAAUUGAACCCGAACUUGAAUUAACUAUCAAUUCAAAUGAUUUUAGUAGGUCUUUUUUAUUUUCACAUAUGGCAAAUGUGGCCUGAUUUCCACCGUGUGAAAUUCAAUGAUACUGGCAUAAAUCAUGGAUUGAGAUAUAGGAAAAGAAUCAAUUGUAAAUUUCUUAACUGGUUAUAUGUAUAUAUACAUAUAUAUGUAUAUAUAUGUAUAUGUAUAUAUAUAUGUAUAUGUAUAUGUAUAUGUAUAUGUAUAUGUAUAUAUAUAUAUAUAUAUAUUUAUAUGUAUAUAUAUGUAUAUGUAUAUUAUAACUAAUCAAUCAAUCUCAAGCACCCCAGUGAGGUUCUCACACUCCAACAUUUAACCAAUACAGUCAUGACUUUAUGAAUGAGUUGGAAUGAGAUUGACAAAUCUUCCUUGUUGACUCUUGAAAUCUUAAUUGGGAUAUGAAAUAUGAUUGUGACUAUAUCUCAGGACUAGUUCUUGGUAUGAGGUUUUUCAACUCUAAGAUAUUUAUGGUGUGGUUACAAUGAAAGUCAAAGUCAAGUAAAUAUCUAUGUUUGUUUGAUGGAAGUCAAAGUCAAAGUCAAAGUCAAGUCAAACUCCAUUGAUUUAUCUUCUUAACGUAUCAUAUCAAGUGAACAAGAAAUGAACGGUUAUACUUGCAUCUUUUCCUAUAUGUACUUUCAUAUUUAAUUAAUUUUUAUUUAUAUAAAAAAAUUAAGUUUUUAGAAAAUAAUUUUAGUAUCGACCCUGUCCUUUAGCACACACAAAUGGAACCACCAAUAAUAAUAAUAAUAAUAAUAAUAAUAAUAAUCUCUUCUCAUAUAUUUAAUCAUCUUCGGGUUAGGUUUCCCAUAGUUAUUUGAUUAAUUAAUGGAAAAAAAGUGAUUGAGAUAUAAGGGAAAAAAAAUAGAUGAUUCUAAUAUAUAAGUUGGGAAGGGUUCAAACUAUAAUUCUAUGGUGGUUUGAAGGAGGGAGCUAGAGUGAAUCAGACGAGUCUUCCUGCAAAUAAGUCUCGGAAGUUGAUGUCGUCUAUAAUCCUCUCUUGAUGUUUUAACUCGCUCGAUCAAGGGGGAAAGAGAGAGUCUACUGUUUGAUUGCCUAGCAUGCCGAUCCUCCUCUCUCUUGCCUAUUGUCUGCUUUAUCUUUAUCCUCAUUAAUACAUAAUUAAUAUGUAUAUCUAUUUUUAUUUUUAUUGGAUAUGUAUAAAUAAUAUUUUGAUAGGACCACUACAACUCAUGCAUUGACUAAAUUUUUUUUAUAUGUCAUACACCAAAAGAGAAUUCUUAAUAUAUGAGAGAAUUGGAUGGGGUGGACAGUAAAAAGGAAAAAAACUAAAAUGGAGACGAAACCAAAUAUUUUGAUUUUUAGAAAUAUUAGUUCGAGUAAUAAAAAAUACAUAAAAUAAAAUCCAAUUUUGUGAAGGAAUAAUAAAUGUACGAAUAAAAUACCCAAUCGUCAUGAAUCACGACUUAAAUAACGUAUAUGAUUGCAAUUUAUAGCUUUAUUUUAAGAACUUGAUGCCUUGUUAAUUUUUAGUAACACUGGAAAUGUUUGGAUGCGAAAUGUUAUUCUUAUGGAUAUUAUAAUGCUGGAAAUUAAACUAAAUUAAACAUUAUCCAAUUAAUAUAAAUAGUUCCGAUGUCCGAUUGGCAGACAAUUUGACCAUAUUACAUCAUUGAUGUCUAUUGAAGCUAAAAUAAUAGUCGACAUAAGCUGCCAAAAGAAAAUAUAGGAAAUGAAAGAAAAUAAAAAAAAGAAUAAUAAUCUUUCCUAAGCAAAUAAGAACUGUAACAUUCAUGCAAGGUUUGAAUUAAUAUAAAUAUUACUGCAAAACAGAUAAUGACUCGAUGAUUACUGUAACAUUCAUUCAAAGAGCCUUAAACAUUUACAUUAACUGCUAAAAAAAGAGAUAAAGAUUGAAAGUAGACUAAUAACUAGUAUUGCAUUGAUAAGAAUGCAAAGAGCUGAACGAUAUAUACUUCAGAAUUGAGCUUUUAAAUUGCAUUAUAUAAGUCCUGAUCAUUUAAAGUUCUUUGCAGAAUGGUUACAUAGGCUUAUCAUUUAAGAUUGAUGUGCUUACAGAGAAUUGAUAUCUUAGAUUGAUGUGCUGUCAUUCUGAAUCAUUCGGUGAUAAUAGUUGCAUGACAUGUGGAUUUGUGGAGAAGUUUACGCCCCCAUGACCCUCAACGAGGGAGCUGCAAUUAAAGAUAGAGAAAUGGGCCUCUGCUUCACACGAACUUAAGAUAGUGUCUGAGCUGCUAAGGUAAUAUGUAUAUCGCAAUUGUUUGAAGCUUUAAAGCUCCAGAAUGAUCACAGUUGGACAUGCACAAUAUACCGAAACUAUACUAAUAACAUAACAUCAUAAUACAUAGAACACCAGAAACUGUCCAGUCCUUUUGCUGAUAGCAUUACAUGAUAUAACAUUUGGGCGACUUGGUGGAAAGGACCGUAUGAUCUCAAGCUGUAAUAGUAAAUGUGUCACCCAAGUUUCCUGCGACAGUUCAUGUGGUUCUUCUCGAUUUGGACUUCAGCCUUGCAAAACUUACUGCCAACUGCACGAAGACCCAAUCACCAGUCUUAUCUGUCAAACGGAAGAGAGCAACCCUUAGAGACUGUUUCAUGAUCAUUAUGCCAAAACAACUCCAAAACCCCACCACGAAUCCCAUGACGAUGCUUGUAAUUUCUAAGACUCCUUCAAACUCGCCAUCACUGUAUUCUCCUUCUUCUUCAAUUGCUGCAGGAGGUAGGCUUCGAUAAGCAACAUCUCCAGGGCACACAGGCAGUGGCUUACCACAAAGGUCUUUGUUGCCAACAUAGAUUGAGGGGUCAUUUAACGUGGACAAUUGAUUGCUUGUUGGAAUGCUUCCUGACAAGUUGUUGUAAGAUGAGACUCGAGUGGCUCAGAAAGGUGAGAGUAGAAAAGCUACAAGGAAUAUUUCCUUUCAAAUGAUUGUCGGACGAGCUAAGAUAUUGUAUACCUGUAGACAUAUCCGAGAACCAAGCUGGAACUUUGCCCGCGACUCCAACUCCAGAUAGUUGAAGGCUUCUCAAAUUAGUUUGGCUUCGAAUCCAAGUAGGAAAUUUAGUUCCUAUAUGACAGAAACUCAUGUCAAUAAAUGGAGCAUUAAAAAGGGGAAGCCAAUUUGAAGGAGCUGUAAAGAUAUGUCCAAAAUUUCCAAGUUGAAGGAGCUGUAAAGAUAUGUCCAAAAUUUCCAAGUUGAAGGAGCUGGGAAAAGUGUGCUUCAGUGAUGUCGCCUUCUAGUGAGUUUGAGGAGAUGUCCAACCUGUACAUUCCAGAAAAUUGACCCAAAUUAGAUGGAAUAAUGCCAUUAAAUUUGUUGCCCUCAAUACUUAAGUAUGACAAGGCUGCUCCUCCACGACAACUCGGCAAACCUAAAGUCCUCCGCAUCUGCCCUGAUAAGUGGUUGAUCUGAUAUAUCCAAGAACUGCAAGAGGUCGAGUUUGCCAAUUGUUUCAGGUAGUUGCCCGGUAACAGAGUUACGAGACAGACGUAAAACCUGCAGACUUUGAAGAUUGCCAAUGUGUGCAAGGCUUCUAGCAUUAGUGAGCCUUCUUAGAAUACAUGCAUUACUUGAGUUCUAAUAACCACAGAGAUCGAGCAUGGCAAUGGAUGUCAACAGAAGACUACUAAAAGCUACAAAAAUUGCCAACAGAAGCUGCCAUAUAAAAUAACACAAAGAAAAGCAUGUGUCGACAUCAAAUUAACGAGGCAAUGUAUCGAAAGGAAAGCGAUAACAGAACGACGGAAGAUAAAAAAGUAUUUGAAGAGAUUAGAAGGAAUGCAUUACUUGAUACUUCUUCCUUCUUUAUUCUGACAGCAUUGCAUGAUGAUUACAUACAGCAUUACUUGAAAGCAGCUUGCGACCUCAAGAUGUAACAAUAAGCUCUUCAACAUACUUCUUUCUGCUUUAUUAUAAUGUCAUAAAGACAACGGUAGGGAUGACUGACUUGAAAACAUAUUGAUUAGAACGACGGAUGAUGAAGUUUUUGAACUGAUUAGAACAAAUACAUACAUACUAAUGAAGCAAAAGGCCAUCAACUGCGAUACCCUUUCCUUCUUUAUUCUGACAACAUUACACGAUAACACACGAGCUGGAAUUACUAACUGGAAAAGCAACUUGAGACCUCCUUAAGAUGUAACAGAAAACUCUUCGGUUCUUGCCACCGAUGGAUCAAGUCACACUUUGCCGUUUGGACUUUAACCUUGCACAUCCGACUGCCAACUGCACGUAGCACCAAUCGUAAGCCUUGUCGAAAAAUCGAAAGAACGCAAUCCUUAUGCUCUGUUUCAUGAUCAUUGUUCCAACAAAACUCCAAAAACCAACAACAAAACCCAUGACGAUGCUGGUAAUUUCCCACACUGUUUCAAGCCUGUCACCGUUUUUCUCUUCGUGUUCAUGAGGUGGACUUUGAUGAUCUGCUUCACCAGGGCACUCUGGCAGUGGCGUACCACAAAGGUAUUCAUUACCAUCAUAGAUUGACGCGUUGAAGGUCGACAUUUGACCACCGGCUGUUGGAAUUCUUCCUGACAAGUUGUUGUGAGAGAGAUUCAAGUGGCUUAGGAAGGUGAGAGAUGAUAAGCUGGAAGGAAUAUCUCCUGUGAGAUUGUUCACUGAUAAGUCAAGUGAUUCCAGUUGUUCCAUGGAACCAAUCUUUUCUGGAAUGGUUCCUCUCAAAUGAUUCUUGGAUAAGUUCAAGAAACGCAAUCCAUGCAGGUUUGUUAGCUCUCUUGGGAUCUCGCCGGAAAGAUUAUUAUUUGAUAGGUCUAUGCUAGUUACAAGUGAUAGAAUUCUGGUGUAUUGGUUGUCAAAACCUUUGACUGUUAUUACUAUGCUCUCGCCAUAGUAACCGCCAUCAACAAGAUGAAGCAACGAUGUAGCAUCAUGUUGUAUCUCAACCAUAGCCCUACAAUUUCCUAGAGAUGAAGGAAUGCUACCAGAAAGAUUAUUGGAAGAAAGAUCCAAAACCUGGAGAGAAGUGAGAUUUGCUAUAUGCACUGGAAUGGGACCAUAAAAUAGGUUUGACUUCAAACUAAGAACUCUCAAGGAUAAAAGGUUUUCUCCCACCCAUGUUGGUAUUUCAUCAAACAAAUUAUUUUCACCAAGAUCAAGAGUAACCAAUUGUUCACAAUGUUUCAAGAAGGAAGGAAAUCUUCCGGAUAGGUUGUUGUGGUUCAAAUGCAAGGACUGUAGAGAAGUUGGGAAUGAUUUAUAACACUUUGGGAUUUUUCCAGAUAAAUUAUUGUUUGAUAGGUCGAGGACUUGGAGAGAAUUAAGAUUGCAGAAAAAGGAAGGAAAACUGCCGUUGAUAUUAUUAUGAGAUAAAGAUAAAAUUGCAAGAUUCGAGGUAUUUGCAAAACUCAAUGGAAUGGGUCCAUCUAAUGAGUUAUUAGACAGAUCUAUACGUAUCCCCCGACCUUUUAAGAUAUCUGGAAACCAAGUUGGAAGGUUGCCUGAGAGUCCAACUCCAGAUAAAGAAAGAUCCUCCAAAUAUGUUUGCGUUUGAAUCCAAGCAGGAAAUUUAGUUCCCAGAUGACAUGAGCUCAUGAUAAUACUGUAGGCAUUAAAAGGUGGAAGCCAAUCGUUGGGUAGAAUCACAUUCAAGGAGUUGUAAGAUAUGUCCAAUUGGGUUAAAUCGGUGAGUUUGGAAAAAUGUUCUUCGGUGAUGUUACCUUCCAGCAAAUUUGAGGAGAGGUCCAAUACUUGUAAUGUAGAUAAUUGACCCAUACUUGAGGGGACAAUCCCACUCAAACUAUUGUCAUUAACAAAUAAAUAUAAAUCUCUUUCUCCAUUACAAUCAGAUAAAUCAUCAAUCAGAUCUGAUAGCUCUCCACCAAUAUUAUUAUAGGAUAAAAAUAUGAGAGUCAAAUUGCAUAAUUUACUCAAAGUCCCAGGUACUAACCUUGUCAAGUGGUUAGAUGAUACAUCCAAAUUUUGCAAGUUGUAUAGUCUAUUGAAGGUCUCUGGUAUCUGCCCAGUAAUAAAAUUAUCAAAUAAAUCUAGAGAUUGCAUAUUUUGGAGAUUCCCAAUAGUUUCUGGUAUUUGUUCUGAAAUAUUAUUUCCUGACAAUCUUAAGCUCUUCAAGUUGCUAAGAUUACCAAAAUUCACUGGUAUACCUCCAAUAAUAUUAUUGUAUGAGAGAUCCAAAUAUUCCAAAUUGAUAAGAUUCCCCACGGUUUGUGGAAUUUCUCCAGCAAUGUGAUUGGAACUCAAACUUAAAUAUCGCAAACUAUUUGUGAAAUUUUCUACCAUGUCUGGAAUAUAUCCAUGAAGCUCAUUAUCAUCUAAUGCAAGGUACUCCAGAGGUCCAAGACUCCACAAGACUUGUUCAAUAUCUCCACUUAAUGAAUUCCAACUCAAAUCCAAAUGCUUCAAGCUCCUGCUCACAUUCAUUACUAUUCCAAAAAUAUCUCCUUUGAUAAAAUUAUGUUGCAAAUCCAAUGCUUUCAAAUUACUCAGAGCUCCUAGAGCCAUUUGUAGUGACUCAAUAUCGAUACCACCACAGUUAAAAAGAUCAAGAUAUGCAAGGCUACUAGCAUGAGAGAACCAUCUUAGAAUUGCUGGGUAAAAAUUUAGAUAAUGAGAGAUAUCCAACUUGACGAUUGAAGUCAUAUUAAAAAGGGGCAAAGGAGAUGGAAUAUAUGAGAGGCUUGCCCACCUCAAGUGCAAUACUUCAAGACUGGGAAUUGAAUUAACUUGAUGAAGCCAAUUUGUUGCUUUAGAGAGAUUGACAAAACUCAUAUCAAUAUACUUAAGAGAAGGAAUUCUGGAGAGCCAAUCAAGGUCAUCAGCUCGUAGAGCAGUAAAUCCACAUCCUCCAAGAUCGAGGAAGUGUAGGUUGGAAAGGUUCCCUAGUUGAGGAGGUAUUAGUCCACCAAACAUGGCAUUAGAUAGGUUAAGAUAUUCCAAAUGCACAAGUGAAGCAAUCAUGUGGGGCACGGGGGCGUCGGAGAAAUUAUUCAUGCUCAAAUCCAGAUAUUUCAAAUGCCUCAGAUCACGCAAAGCAGGAUUUACCUUGCUCGCACCCAUCCCUUCUAACAUGAAGCACAUAUUGUCCUCGUCAUCCAAACCAUAUGUGUAGAAAUUGUAAGUGUCAAGAUAGUGGAGGUCGAGCUUGAUGACAUGGCUGGUGGCAUUGUCGCAGGCCACCCCUCUCCAGCUACAGCAAUCUUCACCGAUCCAAGAAGAGAACCUUUCGUCGGAGUCGAACAUAUCGGAUCUGAUGGCUAAGAGCGCUCUCCUCUCGCUCUCUAUGCAACCUUUACCCUCCGCCCUGAGACGAUCAUCACGAUCACCUUCGCCAUGGCCGAGACAACAGGAGAUAACUCCAAAGCUCAUAAUUACGGCCGUGAGCAUGGUGACAUGCUUUGAGCAAAUAGAUUUGCCCUUGCAGCCACCGGUAGCAGCCAUUGAGCAAGCUUUCAGAGAUGAUGGAGUUUAAGGUGUGAGGUUGGAAGGUGGCUCCAUACAUACAUUUAUAGAAUGAUACUGAACGUUCCUCGAGGGCUGAUCAAUCUCAAAGACCGGUGUUGUUGACAUACCCGUUCCCGCACUCCAACAUUCAUUGACGUGAUAAAUGGUUUGGAAUGGGCUGGCGAAUCUUCCUCGAUGUUUCUUGCAAUCCUUAUUCUCGACUCAUAGCAAAGGAUGUGACAAGUGGUGUUAAAUAUAGAGGCCGUACUUAAAUUACAGUUGAACAACGAUGUGAUCAUUACUAAUCAGUAAUUGGACCGACGAGUUAAUCUGAUAGAAUGAAUAAUUAAUAUAAAUAUCUAAAAUUAUACAUAUAUGUAUAUGUAUAUAUAUAUAUAUGUUUUAAAUAUGAAUAAUUAUUAUCUGAGAAUAUUACAAGAAAGCAACUGAGUCCAAGUCAUCAGGUCAUUUAAAUUAAAUAUUUUGUUGUUAACAUUCUAAAAAGGUGGAAAUGAGUUGUGGAAUGACCACAGCUAAGCACAGUAUUUUAUAGAUUUUUUAUACUAUAAAUUUGUUUAAUUUGGAUAUAUCUCAAAAAUAAUUAUUGUGGGCAUAAGGUGAUUGCACUAUGAAGCAUUUAUGAUGUGAUUAUGAUACAAGUCAAAGUCAAACAAAUAUCAAUCUUUUAUCUCUUGGACGGUAGUGGUGACCUGUUCUAAUGAGGUGAUAAAUGAAUUGAUUUUUUAGAUCGAUUUCCUAACGUGACAAAGUGGACAAGAAUUGUCUGUCAAUGUUUCAUAUAUGUGGGUUUUUCUAUUUGUAAUUUCAUGUUCAAUUUUUUUUUUUAAAUAGACAACUUUCAUUGAAUUAGAAAAAACAUGUUCAAUUAUUUGUAUAUAUAUAAAAAAAAAAUUUAGAAAAUAGAAAUAAAAUUAAAAAAAAUAUUCUCUUAUCAAAUAUUCAAUUUUUAGAGUGAUUUUUGGAUCAAUUAAAGAAAGAAGAGUGAUUGAGAUAUGAGAAAAAGAAUCAUCGGAUGAUUUCAACAUUGAAGUUGAGGAGGAUCCAAACUUCCAUCCAUCAAAUAUAAAAAAAAAAAUCCAUCCUCAACCAAGUGUUUCCUAUUUAGUUGACCAGUCAAUAGGGGUUAGUUUUGCUCAAUUAUAUCAUUGUACGUAUUCCGAUGUACACAUUAAGAGUUAUGACUAAAGGUGGCACAAUCAAUAUUAGAAUAACAUACCUCUGGUCAUGGCAAUUGGAUUUUCAUACCCCAAUCAAUAUUAGAAGUCUCAUGACGAGCGGUUUGAUGGGGGAUGGAAUAAAACUAACGAGUCUAAAUCUCGGAAAUUAAUUUUGUCUUUUGAUCAUUACUUGAUGUCUCAUUCUAGCUCAACCCCUUAAGGGGGAACGAGAGAGGUCACUAUUUACUUGUCUGAGAAUCUUCCUCUUUUUUUUUUUUUUAUCUUUAUUAAUGCAUAACUACUAAGAAUAUUCAUUUCUAUUUUUAUUGGAUAGGUAUAAAUAAUAUUUUGAUAGAACGUCUCUAUUGACUGAAUUUUUUUUCAUCUCAUGUGAUGAGGCNNNNNNNNNNNNNNNNNNNNNNNNNNNNNNNNNNNNNNNNNNNNNNNNNNNNNNNNNNNNNNNNNNNNNNNNNNNNNNNNNNNNNNNNNNNNNNNNNNNNNNNNNNNNNNNNNNNNNNNNNNNNNNNNNNNNNNNNNNNNNNNNNNNNNNNNNNNNNNNNNNNNNNNNNNNNNNNNNNNNNNNNNNNNNNNNNNNNNNNNNNNNNNNNNNNNNNNNNNNNNNNNNNNNNNNNNNNNNNNNNNNNNNNNNNNNNNNNNNNNNNNNNNNNNNNNNNNNNNNNNNNNNNNNNNNNNNNNNNNNNNNNNNNNNNNNNNNNNNNNNNNNNNNNNNNNNNNNNNNNNNNNNNNNNNNNNNNNNNNNNNNNNNNNNNNNNNNNNNNNNNNNNNNNNNNNNNNNNNNNNNNNNNNNNNNNNNNNNNNNNNNNNNNNNNNNNNNNNNNNNNNNNNNNNNNNNNNNNNNNNNNNNNNNNNNNNNNNNNNNNNNCAAUUAUAAAUGUAGAUGUAAGCUAUAUAUAUAUAUAUAUAUAUAUAUAUAUAUAUAUAUAAAAGAAGCAUUUUUUUAGAAAAUAGAAAUGAAAGAAAAAAAAUCUCUCAAAUAUUCAAUUUUUAGAUGACUUUUCGGUAAAUUUUGAAUCAAUUAAAGAAAGUAGAGUAAUUGAGAUAUGAGAAAAGGAAUCAAUAGAUGAUUUCAAUAUUGAAGUUGAGGAGGACCCAAACUUCAAUCCAUUAUUUCCUAAUUAGUUAACCAGUCAGUAGGGGUCACUUUUGCUCAAUUAUACUACUGAAAGUGAUCCAAUGUACGUACUAAGAGGCAUGGCCACAAGUGGCACAAUGAAUAUUAGGAUAACAUGAAGUUGUAGCUCGAGGGCAAGUCGACUAUCAUAAAGGUAAUUAUUGUCGUCUUUGCUCUGUGUUCUUCCUCGAUGGUAAUAGGGAGGACGGUGGUCCCGAGCAGGGAGAUGGAAUCCCCAGUGAAUCCGGUGAGCACCGAAGUCAUGGGAGUGAGGUCCUUAUUAGUGAGGUUGAGUUUCUUAAAAGCGUCGAGGUAUAGGACAUCGGCAAAGCUCUCGGUGUCAACCAUUACUCUUUUGACCCAAGCAUUGGCGAUCCGGAUGGAGAUCACCAAAGCAUCAUUGUGGUGGGAUCACUCGACCUCCUUGGUUCUGAAAGUGAUUUCGGGCUUGAACUCGGGUUGGGGGCAUUUUUCUACCGUGCUACAGGCGUAGGCCUUCCUUGCUGUCGAACUGCUGCCGCCGACAAUCGGUCCACCGGUAAUGACAUCGAUCUGCCUCUCGACAGGACUCCUGGGGCACGAAGUGGCUUCUGGUUCCUUGAGGUAGCGCCCGAGGUGACCUCUUCGGAUCAAUUCCUCGAUUUGAUUUUGGAGGUCGUUGCAGUCUUUCGUGUCAUGGCUGUAGUCUCGAUGGAACUUGUAAUAUUUAGAUCGAUCCUUGUGAGUAGCCUUCAGAGGAUUGGGUUGCCGCAAGAGACCUUUCUCCUUGAUCUGGAGAAAGAUCUCUGUACGAGACGUGUUUGAAGGCAGAGGCGGGGUCCUCGGGAGUGGUGGCUUGGGUUGGUCGGGCCGCCUAUGAGGCUGCGCUGAUGGUGUCGAAGCUGCUCCUCGAGCCUACUCCAUCCUUGGCCUCUUAUUGUCCUCGUGCCAACUUGCCAUUAGGGCUUCAACGGUGAUGUACUGGUUGGCACGCUGUAGCAUCUCGGGGAUGGUCGCGGGUGGCUUCUCAAUUAGUGACAAUAAGAACCUCGAGGGUCUCAAGCCCAUCAAAAACACCUGUAUGAUCAAAGAAGGGUGAGCGUUUGGGAAUCCCUGAAUUUCAGUAGCAAAGCAUGCCACGAAUUGGGAGAGCGAUUCAUCCUCGCAUUGGGACAACAUGAGUAGGGUGGCGAUGGAAGGCUUGGGUCGCACGCUGGCUAAGAAGUUUUGCUUGAACUUCCUUGCGAGCCAAUCGAAGGAUGAGACCGAGAACGGGCGCAGCUAGCUGAACCAUGCUCGCGUCGAUCCUCUGAAGGUAGUUGGGAAUGCCUGACACAUCAGGGUAUCGGAGGUGCCAUAGAGGGCCAUCUGAGCCCGGAACGCGGCGACGUGUUCUGUAGGGCUAGAGCCACCAUCGUACAUUUCCAGUGUCGGCAGCCUGAAGUUAAGUGGCAUAGGCUUGUCCUAUAUUUCUUGAGUAAAAGGGGAUCCACCCGAGCUACCUUCGCUCGUCUCGCCCCACGACUUUUGGAUUUCGCGCUGGAACUCAUCCAAGCAUCAGUUGACUAUGGAUAGUUGGAUUCUGAAUGAGUCAUCCGUCGAGUCUAAUGAUAUGGUAUUGGGUUCAGGGUGGGACGGAGCGAUCUGGCACGGUGCGGGUGUGCUUUGCUCGGGUAGGCCUCUCGGGUUUAUUGUCUGCUCUCGGGCUUCUCUCAUCCUGAGUUGCUCCCUGCCCGACCUUUGCUACAUCGGGUCGGUAGAGGGAGUCGCUAGUUGCACAAUCUGUGGCACGAGUGGGACAAUCGUCUGCAUCAUUCCCACCAAGGCUUGCACUUGCUUGGCUAAGCCAAGGAUCGCCUCGGGCGACACGACCGAGGAUCUUGUGGUAUAUCAGGGGGGAGAGAUUCCUGGAUCGUUGAGUAGUCGCCAGUAGUGGUCUGGCAUCGAGGCCGAGAUCCCUUCGUCUCUAAGGACGGGGAGGGGCUGAUCCCUGAGUUCGGAAGGGGGGUGGCCUGUCGAUGGUUCUCCCUCGGGGAGAACUCCUACUGAAUGCUUUUGCUAUAUGACCCUUCCUCUAGUGCGAAAAAUGUUGAUGAACUGAGGUGCCAUGGUUGAUGAGUCAACACGGCCUAGUCCACGAGUCGAUGUCGAGAGUCAAAGAUCGGCUGAACGGGUAGCCGAGGUUGAUUGACUGCAGGUCAGGUGCUGCCAUCGGGAUGUUGAUCGGUGUCCCUCGGUUGAGAGGUGGCACUAAGGGGAUGUCCACUCUCUUGAAUAGGAAGAACUGGGCGUCGUUGCUGGGGAUGCUGGAUUCGUCUAGAGGAAGACACCUCUCGGUCAGCGAUGGUUGUGCCUUGGGAGGGGGUGGCUGCUCUCCUGCACAAAAGGCUCUCGUCGGGUGGUUACCGACUUUGGCCCCUCAACGAGUAAAUUAAUACUUGGUUCUCAGUGUGUGGUCCUCUCUUUGGCCAGAUGCCGGCCUGAGGUUUUAUAAUACUGUAUGAGGAUUGGUCGUACACGGGUUUGGCUUGGCGGCAGAUCUCCAAGGGGGAAGAUAGUACCUUUGUGCAAUCGUCAUCUCGAAACACAUGGAAUGGCACUAGGUGUCGCCGUCCCGAGCUUUCUGGGAUGGGACGUAUCGAGGGACGCCUUGGUACGGAUUCUAGCUCAGCGCAUGGGAGGGCUCCUCUUGCUGACCUGGUGGUGACGUGGCGUAGUAUUGAUUGUGACGUAGCCAGAAUCCAAAAUAUACCUUAUCAUAUGGAAAAAGGACCGUAUGAUCUCAAGCUGUAAUAGUAAAUGUGCCACCCAAGUUUCCUGCGACAGUUCAUGUGGUUCUUCUCGAUUUGGACUUCAGUCUUGCAAACCUUACUGCCAACUGCACGAAGACCCAAUCACCAGUCUUGUCUGUCAAACGGAAGAGAGCAACCCUUAGAGACUGUUUCAUGAUCAUUAUGCCAAAACAACUCCAAAACCCCACCACGAAUCCCCAUGACGAUGCUUGUAAUUUCUAAUACACCUUCAAGCUCGCCAUCACUGUCUUCUUCUUCUUCUUCAAUUGCUGCAGGAGGUAGGCUUCGAUAAGCAACAUCUCCAGGGCACACUGGCAGUGGCGUACCACAAAGGUCUUUGUUGCCAACGUAGAUUGAGGGGUCAUUUAACGUGGACAAUUGAUUGCUUGUUGCAAUGCUUCCUGACAAGUUGUUGUAAGAUGAGACUCGAGUGGCUCAAGAAGGUGAGAGUAGAAAAGCUACAAGGAAUAUUUGGUGUGAGACUCUUCAUUGACAAGUCGAGUGAUUCCAGCAGUGUGAUGGAACUGAUCUUAUCUGGAAUCCUUCCUGUCAAAUGAUUGUCGGACAAGUUAAGAUAUUAUAUAACUGUCAACAUAUCCGAGAACCAAGCUGGAACUUUGAUCACCUCUGCCAUGGCCGAGACAACAAGAGAUGACUCCAAAACUCAUAAUUAUGGUGAUAAGCAUGGUGACAUGCUUUGAGCAAAUAGAUUAACCCUUGCAGCCACCGCCAACAGUCACUGAGAAAGUUUUCAGAAAUCAAGAAGUUUAAGGUGUGAGGAAGGAAUAAUCAAUCUCAAGGACCGACGUUGCUGACAUGAGGUGAUAAAAUGGUUUGGAAUGGGCUGGCGAAUCUUCCUAGAUGAUUCUUGCAACCUUAAUUCUGAGACUAUUUAGUGAAGAAUGUGAUAUACUAAAUAAAAGUUUUCUUUAUAUGAUAAUUGAUAACAAGUGGUGUUAUAUAUAAAGGCAGUGCUUAGAUUAUAGUUGAACAAUGAUGUGAUCAUUACUGGUCGAUAAUUGGACCAAUGAGUUAAUAUGAUAGAAUGCAUAUUUAAUGCAAAUAUCUAAAAUUAUAUAUAUAUAUAUAUAUAUAUAUAUAUAUAUAUAUAUAUAUAUAUAUAUAUAUAUAUAUAUAUAUAUAGUACNNNNNNNNNNNNNNNNNNNNAUAUAUAUAUAUAUAUAUAUAUAUAUAUAUAUAUAUAUAUAUAUAUAUAUAUAUAAUUAUCUAAGUUUUAGAUAUGAAUAUUUAUUAUCUAAGAAAAUUACAAGAGAGCAACUGAGUCGAAGUUAUCGAGAUCAUUUAAGAUCUUUUGUUGUUAACACUCUAAAAGCAUAAAUGAGUUGUGGAAUGACCACUGUUAAGCACCGGAUUUUAUAGAUUUCCUUUAUACUCUAAAAUUGGUUUAAUUUGGAUAUAUCUUUAGAAUAAUUAUUAUGGGCAUGAGAUCUUCGCACACUAAAAUUGGCUUAAUUUGGAUAUAUCUUACGUUGGAUAUAUCUAACUUUAUCUCUUGUAUAGGUAGUAAUGACAUGUUCCAAUGAGAUGAUAAAUGGAUUCGUUUCUUAGAUCCUCCUCGUUGAUUUUUUGGAUUCUCUCUCAAUGCUAACUGUGUCAAGUGGACAAGAAAUAUUACUGUCAAUGUUUCAUAUUUGUAAUUUCAUGUUCAAUUUUUUUAACUAGAUAACUUUCAUUGAAUUAGCAAAAACAUGUUCAAUUAUUUAUACAUAUAAAAAGUAAGUAUUUUUUAGAAAAUAAUUUUAAUGAAAGCCCUGCUCUUCAGCACACAGAAAUGAAACAUUAAAAUAAAAAUUCUCUUCUCAAAUAUUCAAUCUUUAGAGUGACUUUCUCAUAUUUUUGGAUUAAUUAAAGAAAGAAGAGUGAUCGGGAUAUGAGAAAAAGAAUCAACAGAUGAUUCCCAACUUCUCAGUUGAGGAGGAUCCAAACUUCCAUCCUUUAAAAAAAAAACAAAAAAUCAUCCUCAACUAAUUAUUUCUUAACUAGUUGAAGUAGGGAUCAUUUUUGCUCAAUUAUAUCACUGUAAGUAUUCCAAUGUACACACUAAAAGUCAUCGCUAAACGUAGUACAAUCAAUAUCGGAAUAACAUUCAUUAGGGCAUAGCAAUUGAGUUUUCGUACCCCACUUGACAUGCCGGGUUGAGAAGUCUGGUGAUGUGCUGAGUCUAAAGUGUUAGAAAUUGUCCUCUUAAUUUCUUGACUCAUCAGUCAGUGGGGGAAUGAAUUUUCUUAAUGAGAGAUGGUAUCGGAAUCAAAUGAUGCUGGAAUGAAUCAUGGAUUGAGAUAUAAGAAGAGAAUCAAUUAUAAAUUUUAAUGUAAGUCGAAGAGGGUCGUAACUUCCCUUCUUUAACGAAUGGUCAUUUCUUGACCGGUUAGUAGAAGCCACAUUCGCUCAUUUAACCAAUGGUCAUUUCUUUCUUGACUAGAUAGUAGAAGUCACAUUCGUCGAAGCUGCGGCCAGCAGCCAUCGAGUAAACUCUCGAGAGGUGUGAGAGAUUGGCGGAAGGCUUCCACUCGUAUAUAAUACGUUGGGAAACGGUAGCAUGCGAGUCAAAGUCAAGAAGAACUAAAUCGUUGGCUCAUAAGGUGGUGACUGAUUUGGAAUGGCGAAUGUUCAUAGAAAAGUCUCGAUCGUCAGCUUAAUUUAUCUUGGGUGCAGAUUCCUUCACUCGUAUCAUACACGUUCACACGGUUGACGUGCCUAAUGUGCACGUAAAGUGUUUGCUUGUGGUUACUUUCGAUAGUGGUUUAGUCUUGAGAAAUCUCAAGAGGCAGCAUUAUAUGUGUGUGUAUGGCCUCUCCACAGUGCGGAAGCAUUCUGUCAUGGGAUUGGUUUGGCUAGAAAGGCAGUCAAAGCCAGAAAAGUCGGAUGACAUGUCGACGUGAUGAAUGGUUAAAGUUGGAUGGCUGGUGGUGUGCAGAUCUUCCAAGAUAAGUCAGAGGACUUUGGCUUCGUUGAUCGGACUUGGGGGGUCAAGUGGGAUGCUAUAAAAUUGGUCCAUCAUAUUCAGAUGUCAUCCUCCUUCCUCGUAACACCUCUCGCAUCUCUUUAGCUUGUAAAGGGUCUUAACACUAUUUUUCUUUACUAAAAGCCAAACACCUUACGCCAUUAUGAUCGUAGUUGCAAUGAAUACAAAUCUAUGAGAAACUAAACAUUGGAUCAAUGGAAGGAAACCAACUCAAAUCAAAGGAGGCAUUAAGCUUAUGUCUCUCCUACUCUUAGUUCUCAAUGUAUUUAAGUAUUGGAACAAAAGCAAUUUUAGUUUUUUUUCCUUAAACAAGCCAAACAAAGCUUAUCGAAUUGAAAAUAAGGAUUCAAAGCCAUAAUUUCUAGCUGGGUUCUUGGAUUGGUAUUAGCGACAUGAUGGCAUCACAUGAUCUAACUCCGUUGGUAUUGUGUUGUUCCUAUCAACCACUAACGUAAGUUUUUAGCAACAAAGUGGAUUGAACAUAUGGUAAUCAAGUUCAAUAUGAUUAUAUAAGUAGAUGAGUGAUGGUACUUAGGUAUUCAUAUCUGGAUACGUAUCAUAAUAUCUCAGUUUAAUCUCACAUCAAAAUUAGUCAAACACUUGAAUAGCUUUAUGUGUCUAAGGUUUUUUGUGCUAGUAACUCAAGAACAAUAAGUUAAUGGAUCAACUAUUCUAUUAAGUCAAGUCGGAGUUGAGAAAUAGUAUCGAGCCAACAUAGCAUUGGAUUUGAUGAUGGUAUGCCGUAUAGUACCCUCUCUUUUAAAGAUAUCAAAGAUAUUCUUAGACAUAUUUCUAAUAACUAGAGACAUUACAGUUCUAACUUUCUUCCGAGUUAUAAUGUCCAAACACAUUAACACUUCAAGGACUCCAAUUUCACCACAAAAAUUGGAAGAUUAUUAAAAACUACAAAAAUUAUCAAUUAAAAUUAUAUAUAUAUAUAUAUAUAUAUAUAUAUAUAUACGUCUUCAUUUAUUCACAUAUCUAUAUAUACACAUAUCCAAUUAUUCGUUUUGAGUUACUAGAAUGUCUUAUCCUUUUAUAUACGAGAGAAGAAGAUCUAAAAUAAAUAAUUAUGAUAGUCCCUCAUAGCAAAGUUAGAUUUAAAUAAAUUUUAUCAUAAUUAAUUUUUUUUCUGAUAAUCAUAAUUAAAAUUUAAUUAUAUCUAUAAGAUAUCUUACUUAAUUCGAUAGAGUGACGUAAUCUAAUAAUAAUGUCCAAACACUUUAACCAAAUUAAUCAUGAAAGACUAUAAAAGCAACAAAAAAUUGUGUAACAGAAACUGCCAUAUAAAAUAACAGUACGAUGGUAGAUAAAGUAUUUGAAGAAAUUAAAACGAAUGCAUAGAAGAUGGUUUUCAUGAAGCCAAAGGCCACCAGUGACGAUACUUCUUCCUUCUUUAUUCUGACGGCAUUGCAUGAUGAUUACAUAGAGCAUUACCUGAAAGCAGCUUGUGACAUCAAGAUGCAAUAAGAAGCUCUUUCAACAUACUUCUUUCUUCUUUAUUAUAAUGUCAUAAAGACAGCGGUAGGGAUGACUGACUUGAACAUCUUUAUUAGAACGACGAUAGAUGCAAGCUUUUGAACUGAUUAGAAUAAAUACGUACAUGAUAGUACUCAUGAAGUGCUGAAACCUCCUCUGUUUUCUUCACAUGCAGUGUCUGUUCCUGUUGAUGUUUCUCUGUGGGUUUAUGAUAAAUUCCACUCUCUGGCGGAGGACCCAUCUCGUUCAAUCCUUCUCCGUCGUCUUCCGUCACUGGUUUUAUGUGUUUUCAUGAGCUUGUUCUGAGAUCUGAGCACUUGGACUCUGUCCAUCUUUACAUAUAUACGGUCUCCUCCUUUUCUUAUUAGUGCCAAUUCUGCUAUACACUUUUACUAUUUAUCUAUAUCUCCACCCAAAAUCUGGCAUUAAAAUCUAAAAGACUGCUAAAAAAGAUUUAAUCUUUCACCGUAAAAGAAGAAAGCUUCCAUGGCUUCUACUAGUGGCACUUCUUCAGGGUCCAGCCUGCUGCAGAACUCAGCCUCCGAGAAGGAUCUACUGUUGUAAUAUACUUAUUAUAAUAGAUCAAAAGCCUAUGUUCUUGACAAGUGCUCUCUCUCUGCACACACAUUAUUUGGAUGAUCAAGAAUUACAUUAGAAUAUCUGGUUUGAUUCAUCAAACUAAGGCAGCUUGUCAAUGUUUUGUUUGGGGGAUUGAAAAGAUGUGAGAUCUGAACAGCAACAUGUAGGGCUAUAAGAAAAGAAUUUGAAUGGUUAGGUGGUUUGAACCAUAACAUAUAGCACAAAGAGAGAAUAGACAUCUUAAUCAUUGAAUUCCAAGAAAGUUACAUUGCAUUCCCACCAUGCAUAUAUUACUUGCUUAAUCAUUGUAGCUGAUGUCUGCCUUUUCCCUGUUUUCUCUUUGGAUUUUGCUGGCUGGCCACUCUGAUAAUUGCUCAAUGAGAAAAGAAAUUGAACAUGGUGAGGUGGUGUGGUUUCUUUUGAAGUUGUUGAUGUUGCAGACAAGUUUCUCAGCUGAAAUCUGCUGAAGUAAGCCAUUAUGUAAGCAGACUGCACACACCUCAAUGGAAUUCAGUAGUGUAUUCACACUUCUGUUCAGAUGGAUGCUGGAGAACUAAAUGCUUCUGCUGGACUACAUUCAAUUUCUUGAUGUUUGUGCGCUCUAAUCUUUGACACUGAUGUGUUGAACAAUUUAUGACAACUUCUUGUUUCUCAAUCUCUCGACAACGUUGAUUGUUUCUGGACAAGAAACAAAUAAUUGAUGCUGCAAAUUAAGUUUCACUGCCUUCAGAAACAGUAGCAAUAGGAAGGGUGGCAGCCUGGACAAAUUCAACUGGUAACAUAUCAAUUUGAUUUCCAGGGAGAAGUAGAAAAUCCAAAUGGCAGAUGGAUUCAAGAUAUGAGACUGGAAGGUAGAUGAUUUCUUUCUUAAUCUACGGAAUUAGCUAAUUACCCUCAUAAUCUAUAAUCAUGAAGCAUAGAAAUGACAGUAGAAACAUAAACAAGGAAGGCAUUGAUUUUGUGCUAAGAAUAUAUUUAUCAGUGGUUGAGUUUAGGUGUUGCUUCAAAUAUGAUAAAAUAUUAAUAGACUGACCAUAUAAAAGUGCUUUGAAUGAUGAAAUCACUUGUCAUGAUCUCUAUAUUAAGAUCUAAAUGCAUGUUCAGAAAUAUUUGCAGAAUUCUUUUUUUCAGGUUGAUGGCAAUGGGAAGGACAGCCAUUUAUGAAUGUAGUUUUAGGCAAAGCUAUAGAAGUGAUACCUUUAUCAUGAUCACUGUGGCUGAGAGAAUCAAUCCAUCAUAAACUUCCUUCAGUGAGCAGCAUCACUUGUUGGUGAUUCAUCUCCAAUUUCCAUAGCUUCAAAAUGACCAUAGAUGGACAAGCCCCAGUAUGCUAAACAAAUACAUGAAACAUAAAUAGAACAGCAUAGACAGUUGGAGUUGUUUUUGCUGAUAGCAUUACAUCAUAAUACAUAUGGGCGACUUAGUGGAAAGGACCGUAUGAUCUCAAGCUGUAAUAGUAAACGUGCCACCCAAGUUUCCUGCGACAGUUCAUGUGGUUCUUCUCGACUUGGACUUCAGCCUUGCAAACCUUACUGCCAACUGCACGAAGACCCAAUCACCAGCCUUGUCUGUCAAACGGAAGAGAGCAACCCUUAUAGACUGUUUGAUGAUCAUUAUGCCAAAACAACUCCAAAACCCCACCACGAAUCCCAUGACGAUGCUUGUAAUUUCUAAUACACCUUCAAGCUCGCCAUCACUGUCUUCUUCUCCUUCUUCAAUUGCUGCAGGAGGUAGGCUUCGAUAAGCAACAUCUCCAGGGCACACAGGCAGUGGCGUACCACAAAGGUCUUUGUUGCCAACAUAGAUUGAGGGGUCAUUUAACGUGGACCAUUGAUUGCUUGUUGCAAUGCUUCCUGACAAGUUGUUGUAAGAUGAGACUCGAGUAGCUCAGGAAGGUGAGAGUACAAAAGCUAGAAGGAAUAUUUCCUGUCGAAUGAUUGUCGGACGAGCUAAGAUAUUGUAUACCUGUAGACAUAUCCGAGAACCAAGCUGGAACUUUGCCCGUCAGUCCAACUCCAGAUAGUUGAAGGCUUCUCAAAUUAGUUUGGCUUCGAAUCCAAGUAGGAAAUCUAGUUCCUAUAUGACAGAAACUCAUGUCAAUAAAUGAAGCAUCAAAAGGGGGAAGCCAAUUUGAAGGAGCUGUAGAGAUAUGUCCAAAAAUUCCAAGUUGAAGGAGCUGGGAAAAGUGUGCUUCAGUGAUGUCGCCUUCUAGUGAGUUUGAGGAGAGGUCCAACCUGUACAUUCCAGAAAAUCGACCCAAAUUAGAUGGAAUAAUGCCAUUAAAUUUGUUGCCCUCAAUACUUAAGUAUGACAAGGCUGCUCCUCCACUACAACUCGACAAACCUAAAGACCUCGGCAUCUGCCCUGAUAAGUGGUUGAUCUGAUAUAUCCAAGAACUGCAAGAGGUCGAGUUUGCCAAUUGUUUCUGGUAGUUGCCCGGUAACAGAGUUCCGAGACAGAUGUAAAACCUGCAAACUUUGAAGAUUGCCAAUGUGUGCAAGGCUGCUAGCAUUAGUGAGCCAUCUUAGAACACUUGCAUUACUUGAGUUCUAAUAACCGGAGAUAUCGAGCAUGACAAUGGAUGUCAACAGAAGACUACUAAAAGCUACAAAAAUUGCCAACAGAAGCUGCCAUAUAAAAUAACACAAAGAAAAGCAUGUGUCGACAUCCAAUUAACGAGGCAAUGUAUCGAAAGGAAAAAGAUAACAGAACGACGGUAGAUAAAAAGUAUUUGAAGAGAUUAGAAGGAAUGCAUUACUUGAUACUUGUUCCUUCUUUAUUCUGACAGCAUUGCGUGAUGAUUACAGACAGCAUUACUUGAAAGCAGCUUGCGACCUCAAGAUGUAACAAUAAGCUCUUCAGCAUACUUCUUUCUGCUUGAUUAUAAUGUCAUAAAGACAACGGUAGGGAUGACUGACUUGAACAUAUUGAUUAGAACGACGGAUGAUUAAGUUUUUGAACUGAUUAGAACAAAUACAUACAUACUGAUGAAGCAAAAGGCCAUCAACUGCGAUACCCUUUUCCUUCUUUAUUCUGAAAACAUUACACGAUAACAUACGAGAUGGAAUUACUAACUGGAAAAGCAACUUGAGACCUCCUUAAGAUGUAACAGUAAACUCUUCAGUUCUUGCCACCGAUGGAUCAAGUCACACUUUGCCGUUUGGACUUUAACCUUGCACAUCCGACUGCCAACUGCACGUAGCACCAAUCGUAAGCCUUGUCGAAAAAUCGAAAGAACGCAAUCCUUAUGCUCUGUUUCAUGAUCAUUGUUCCAACAAAACUCCAAAAACCAACCACAAAACCCAUGACGAUGCUGGUAAUUUCCCACACUGUUUCAAGCCUGUCACCGUUUUUCUCUUCCUGUUCAUGAGGUGGACUUUGAUGAGCUGCAUCACCAGGGCACUCUGGCAGUGGCGUACCACAAAGGUAUUCAUUACCAUCGUAGAUUGACGGGUCGUCAAUGAAGGUCGACAUUUGACCACCGGCUGUUGGAAUUCUUCCUGACAAGUUAUUGUGAGAGAGAUUCAAGUGGCUUAGGAAGUUGAGAGAUGAAAAGCUGGAAGGAAUAUCUCCUGUGAGAUUAUUCAUCGAUAAGUCAAGUGAUUCCAGUUGUUCCAUGGAACCAAUCUUUUCUGGAAUGGUUCCUCUCAAAUGAUUCUUGGAUAAGUUCAAGAAAUGCAAUCCAUGAAGUUUCGUAAGCUCUCUUGGGAUCUCGCCGGAAAGAUUAUUGUUUGAUAGGUCUAUGCUUGUUACAAGUGAGAGAAUUGUGGUGUAUUGGAUGUCAUAUCCUUUUGCUGUUAUUACUAUGCUCUCGCCAUAAUAACCACCAUCAACAAGAUGAAGCAACGAUGUAGUAUCAUGUUGUAUCUCAACCAUAGCAUUAAAAUUUCCAAGAGAUGAAGGUAUGCUACCAGAAAGAUUGUUGGAAGAAAGAUCCAAAACUUGGAGAGAAGUAAGAUUUGCUAUGUGCACUGGAAUGGUACCAUAAAAUAGGUUUGACUUCAAACUAAGAACUCUCAAGGACAAAAGAUUUUCUCCCAUCCAUAUUGGUAUUUCAUCAAACAAAUUAUUUUCGCCAAGAUCGAGAGUAACCAAUUGUUCACAAUGUUUCAGGAAGGAAGGAAAUCUUCCAGACAAGUUGUUGUGGUUCAGAUGCAAAGAUUGUAAAGAAGUUGGGAAUGAUUUAUGACACUUUGAGACUGUCCCAGAUAAAUUAUUGUUUGAUAGGUCGAGGACUCGGAGAGAAUUAAGAUUACAGAAAAAGGAAAAAAAACUACCAUUGAUAUUGUUAUGAGAUAAAGACAAAAUUUGAAGGUACGGGCCAUUUGCAAAACUCAACGGAAUGGGUCCAACAAAUGAGUUAUUGGAGAGAUCGAUUACUUCCCCGGGAGGAGCAGUGGGUAGUGGGCCAUUCAAGUUAUUGGAACUCAAGUUAAGAUACCAUAAACUUGUUGAGAUAUCUGAAAACCAAGUUGGAAGGUUACCGGAGAGUCCAACUUCAGAUAAAGAAAGAUAUUUCAAAUUUGUUUGUGUUUGAAUCCAAACUGGAAAUCUAGUUCCCAAAUGACAUGAGCUCAUGAUAAUAAGGUUGGCAUUAAAAGGUGGAAACCAAUCAUCGGGUAGGAUCACAUUCAAGGAGUUAUAAGAUAUGUCCAAGUGUUCCAAGUUGGUGAGUUUGGAAAAGUGUGCUUCAGUGAUAUUACCUUCCAACAAGUUUGAGGAGAGGUCCAAUACUUGUAAUGCAGAUAAUUGACCCAUACUUGAAGGGACAAUCCCACUCAAAUUGUUGCCACUAAUAGAUAAAUAUAGAGUGGCUCUUUGUUCACAAUGUAGUAAACUAUCAAUUAGAUAGCUUAACUCUCCACCAAUAUGGUUAUGUGAUAAAUCUAUAAAACUCAAAUUGCAGAGCCCAUUCAAAGUCUCAGCUACUAACCUUGUUAAGUGGUUACGUGAUACAUCCAAGAAUUGCAAGUUGUAGAGUCUGUUGAAGGUCUCUGGUAUCUGCCCAAUAAUAAAAUUAUCAUAUAAAUAUAGAGAUCGUAUAUUUUGGAGAUUCUCAAUAGUUUCUGGUAUUUGUCCUGAAAUCUUAUUUUGCGACAAAUCCAAGCUCUCCAAGUUGAUGAGAUCACCAAAAUUCAUUGGUAUACCUCCAAUAAUGUUGUUGUAUGAAAGAUCCAAGUAUUCUAAAUUGAUGAGAUUCCCAAUAGUUUUUGGUAUUUGUCCUGAAAUAUAAUUUUUCUGUAAUAAUAACCUCUCCAAGUUGAUGAGAUUACCAAAAGUCAUUGGUAUACCUCCAGUAAUGUUAUUGAAUGAGAGAUCCAAGUAUUUCAAAUUUGUGAGAUUCUCAAUAGUUUCUGGUAUUUGUCCUGAAAUCUUAUUUCCUAACAAGAUCAAUUUCUCCAAUUUAAUAAGAUCACCAAAAGCUAUUGGUAUACCUCUAGUAAUGUUAUUGCUUGAGAGAUCCAAGUAUUUCAAAUUAGUGAGAUUCCCAAUGGUUUCUGGUAUUUGUCCUGAAAUAUUAUUAUUCAACAAUGACAAGCUCUCCAACUUGCCGAGAUUACCAAAAGUCAUUGGUAUAUCACCAGCAAUAUUAUUGAAUGAGAGAUCUAAGUAUUCCAAAUUGCUGAGAUUCCCAAUAGUUUCUGGUAUUUGUCUUGAAAACUUAUUUUUCUGCAAUCUCAAGUUCUCCAAGUUGAUGAGAUCAUCAAAAACCGUUGAUAUACCUCCAAUAAUGUUGUUGUUUGAGAGAUCUAAGUAUUUCAAAUUGGUGAGAUUCCCAAUAGUUUCUGGUAUUUGUCCCGAAAUAUUAUUUCCCGACAAUCUCAAGCUCUCCAAGUUGAUUAGUUCACCAAAAACUGUUGGUAUACCUCCAAUAAUGUUAUUGUCUGAGAGAUCCAAGUAUACUAAAUUAGUGAGAUUCUCUAUCAUUUGUGGAAUUUCUCCGGUAAUGUGAUUGGAUCUCAAACUUAAAUAUCGCAAGCUGCUUGGGAAAUUUUUCACUAUUUCUGAAAUAUGUCCAGUGAGCUCGUUAAAAUCCAAUGCAAGGUAUUCCAGAGGUCCAAGACUCCAUAGGAUUUGUGCAAUAUCUCCACUUAAUGAAUUCCAACUUAAAUCCAAAUGCUUGAAGCUCCUGCUCACAUUCAUUUUAAUUCUAAAAAUUUCUCCUGUGAUAUCAUUGUAUUGUAAAUCCAAUUCUUUCAAAUUACUCAGAGCUCCCAGAGUGACUUGUAGUGACUCAAUAUCGACAAGACUGCAGUGAGAAAGAUCAAGAUAUACAAGGCUGCUCGCAUGAGAGAGCCAUCUUAGAAUUGUUGUAUUCAAGUUGGAAUAACCAGAGAGAUCCAGCUUGAUGAUUGAAGUCAGAUUAAAAGGGGGCAAAGGAGAUGGAACAUACGGGAGGUUUGCCCACUUCAAGCGCAAUACAUUGAGACUGGGGAUCCAAUUAACUUGGUGAAGCCAAUUAGUUGCUUUAGAGAGGUUGACAAAACUCAUAUCAAUAUAUUUCAGAGAAGGAAUUUGGGAGAGCCAAUCAAGGUCAUCAGCUCGUAGAUCACUAAGUCCACAUCCUCCAAGAUCAAGGUAGUGUAGAUUGGAGAGGUUCCCCAGUUGAGGAGGUAUUAGUCCAUCAAACAUUGCAUUGGAUAGGUUAAGAUAUUCCAAAUCCACAAGCGAAGCAAUCAUGUGGGGAAUGUGGGAGCCAGAGAAAUUAUUCAUGCUCAAAUCCAGAUAUUUCAAAUGCUUCAGAUCACGCAAAGCAGGAUUUACCUUGCUCGCACCCAUCCCUUCUAACAUGAAGCACAUAUCGUCCUCGUCAUCCAAAUCAUAUGUGUAGAAAUUAUGAGUGUCGAGAUAGUGGAGGUCGAGCUUGAUGACAUGGCUGGUGGUGUUGUCGCAGGCCACUCCUCUCCAACGACAGCAAUCUUCACCGAUCCAAGUAGAGAAUCUUUCGCCAGAGUCAUACAUAUCGGAUUUGAUGUCUAGGAGAGCUCUCCUCUCGCUCUCGAUGCAACUUUUGCCCUCCGCCCUAAGACGAUCACCUUCGCCAUGGCCGCGGCAACAGGAGAUGACUCCAAAGCUCAUAAUCACGACCGUGAGCAUGGUGACAUGCUUUGAGCAAAUAGAUUUGCCCUUGCAGCCACCGCUAGCAGCCAUUGAGUAAGCUUUCAGAGAUGAUGGAGUUUAAGGUGUGAGGUUGGAAGGUGGCUCCAUACGUACGUUUACAUUUAUAGAAUGACACUGAACGUCACUUGAGGACUGAUCAAUCUAAAGGACCGGUGUUGUUGACAUGACGUUCCACAGUCCAACAUUUAUUGACAUGAUAAAUGGUUUGGAAUGGGCUGGCGAAUAUUCCUGGAUGAUUCUUGCAACCUUAAUUCUGAGACUCUUAGUGAAGAAUGUGAUACACGAAAUAAAAGUUUUCUUCAUAAGAUAAUUAAUAACUAGUGGUGUUGUAUAUAAAGGCAGUGCUUAAAUUAUAGUUGAACACCGAUGUGAUCAUUACUGGUCAGUAAUUGGACCGACAAGUUAAUCUGACACAAUGAAUAUUUAACACAAAUAUCUAAAAUUAUACUAUAUAUAUAUAUAAGUUUUAAAUAUGAAUAUUUAUUUUCUGAGAGUAUUACCAAAAAAGAAAAGCAACCGAGUCCAAGUCAUCCAGGUCAUUUAAAUUAAAUAUUUUCUUGUUAACAUUCUAAAAAGAUGGAAAUGAGUUAUGGAAUGACCACUAUUAAGCACACUAUCUUAUAGAUGUUUUUACACUCUAAAUUUGGCUUAAUUUAGAUACAUCGCAAAAAUAAUUAUUGUGGGUUUAAGAUCUUGGACUCUGAAGCAUUUGUGGUAUGAUUAUGAUACAAGUCAAAGUCAAAUAAAUAUCUAUCUUUUAUCUCUUGAGAUGAUAAAUGAAUUGAUUUUUUUGAUCCUCCAUUAAUUUUUUUGAUCCUUUUCUUAACCUACCGUGUCAAGUGGCUAAGAAAUGUACUGGUCAAUGUUUCAUAUAUGUGAGUUUUCCUAUUUAUAAUUUCAUGUUUAAUUUUAUUUUAACUAGACAACUUUUGUUGAAUUAGAAAAAACAUGUUCAAUUAUUUGUAUAUAUAAAAAGGCUUCUUUUUUUUUACAAAAUAUAAACUAGUCAGUAGAGUCACUUUUGCUCAAUUAUACCAUUGAAAGUGUUCCAAUGUACUCACUAAGAGACAUCGCCACAGGUAGCACAAUCAAUGUUAGAUGUUAGAAUAACAUUCAUCAUGUCAUGGCAAUUGCGUUUUCGUACUGCACUUGACACGUUGCGUUCAUAAGUCUCGUGACGUAUUGAGUUAUUUGAUGGGUGAUGGAAUUGAACGACCAAGUCUAAAGUCUUGAAAUUUGAUUCCGUCUUUUGAUCAUUUCUUGAUGUCUAAAGUCUUAAAAUUGAACGAGAGAGAUGGCUGUUUGCUUGUCUAGCAUGUGCAUUUUUCUCUCUCUUUCCUUCUUUUUAAUUUUUUUAUUUUGUCUUCUUUAAUGCAUGACUACUAAGUAUAUCCAUUUCUAUUUUUAUUAGAUAUGUAAAAAUAAUAUUUUGAUAGAACGUUUCAAUUCAUCCAUUUAUCGACUUCUCAUAUUUCUAUAAUCUAUUGACUGAUUUUUUUUCAUGUCUUGUGAUAUAGGCAAUCCCAAAGAAAUACUUAAUAUAUAAGGGAAUCGGAUGAUGAUAGAUAAUAAAUAAAAAAUUAAAAUAAAGAUAAAAAAUAUUAUUUAUCAAAAUAUUAAUUUAAGGAGGAGGACUUUGAAAUAUUCUUUUGACUUUACUUUGUUGAAAUAUAUGUCUUUAUUGUGAAUUGAUGCAUGAGAGAAGAAGAGAGGAAGGUAGACAAUAUGGUCUUAGACUUGCUUCAAAUCCUCCGAUUUAAGAAAAAAUUGUGGCCUUACAUCACUCGUAUAUUUUGUAAAAAAUAAUACUAUUAUCAUGAUCCCAUUAUAAUUAUUGAUUUUUUACAUAGGUCAUAAAAAUGAAAAAAUAAAAAUAAAAAAGAAAAUGAAAUCGCAUCAAGAAGAUUCAAUAUGUUUCAUUUGGUCAUCUUUUGUUAAAAUAAGCUUCCAGAAUUGUAUUAUAAAAUAAUCUUCCUUCUUUAUAUAUCAUGUUCUUCCUUUUUAAUAAGAUAAUAAUUCUUUUCAUCUUUUCUUUUAUUUAUAUUUUUCUUCUUAUUUAUUGAUAAUCUUGAAAAUAAGAUCAUGAAUAUUAUGAUAUUAUCAUAUGGCAAUUCAAAUAUGUCAAUUGAACCGAGUCUGAAUUCAUUAUCAAUCAAAAUGAUUUGGAUCGAUCUUUUUUCUUUCCACAUCUAUGAAAUGUGGCUUGAUUCCUACCAUGUGGAAUCGAAUGAUGCACGAAAUAAAUUAGGAUGUAAGCAGGUAACUUCCCUUCUUUUUAUAUAUAUAUAUAUAUAUAUAUAUAUACACAAAAAACAACUAAUCAAUCAAUCUCAAGGAAAGAUGAGGUUCCUUCCAACAUUUAUGGUGUGACUAUGAAUUGAGUCAUGACAUGAUGAAUGAGUUGAAAUGAUAUUAGCCAAUCUUCCUCUAUGACUCUUGAAACAUUAAUUGGGAUGUGAAAUAUCAUUGUGAAUAUAUCUCAGAUUAAUUAUGGUAGGUAUAAAGUCUUUUUUGAAGCAUUUAUUGUGUGGUUACGAUGAAAGUCAAAGUUAAGUAGAUAUCUAUCUUUGUCUUUUGAAAUGUUUUAUAAUACAUUUAUGGUGUGGAUUAGUUUAGUGAAUCUUUCUCUAUUGAUUUAUCUUCCUAAAGUAUCGUGUCAAGUGGAAAAGAAAUGUAGCUCUUAUACAUGCAUCUUUUCCUAUAUAUACUUUCAUGUUCAAUUAAUUUUUACUUAUAUAAAAAGAAGCAAUAUGUUUAGAAAAUAAUUUUAGUGUCGGUCUUGCCCUUUAGCACACACAAAUGAAAUCAUCAUCAAUAAUAAUAAUAAUAAUAAUAAUAAUAAUAAUAAUAAUAAUAAUAAUAAUAAUAAUAAUAAUAAUAAUAAUCUUUUAGCAUAUAUUUAAUCAUUGUUAGGUUUUUCAUAGUUUUUUUUAUUAAUUAAAAGAAAAAAGUGAUUAAGAUAUGAGGAAAAAAAAUCAACAAAUGGUUCUAAUAUAUAUGUUAGGAAGGGUCUAAACUUUUAUUUGUUGAAUCUUGGAUUUUGAUGAUGAAAUCAAUUGAUGAGUUUAUGAUUUAAUCCAUAUUUUGAGAAAAGUGAUGUAGGACUAUCUUCGAUCAUGCAAAGGUAAAUUGAUUGAAGCAAAAAGAAUCAAACGUUGGGCUGGAGUAAAACAUGUCAGAAGAUUGGACGUCGAGCCGGAGGAUUGGUCGAUGUGCUAGUAGAAGGACUUCAUGCCAUGAGUUCGAGCAUCGGGUCAAAGGAUCGAAUAUUGUGCCAAAAAAAUCGAAAGUUGUGGAAGGUCAACAUGCCGAUUGAGUAAUACGCCGAAGGAGAGGACAAUGCGCUAAAGGAUCAGACGAAGCGCCGAAUGAACCAAUGACAUGUUGGACAAAUGAUGCAUACUUUGUAAUCAUUUAUCUAGAUCGAAGUAGUUUAGGAAGCUAAUUGAGUUACCUUUUGAUGUAAUCAUGUUAAUUCAAUUAGGGGCCAAUUGGGCCUAAAUUGGGAUUGAUUUAGGCUCAUUGGGAGGAUCAUUCAAUGACCCAAAAGUUGGGUCAGGCGAUGGUUUUUAAACUGGCGGUGGAACCACCUAUAAGCUGGAAAAGUCAAGAACACACUUUUCCAAACUGUCAAGUAGUGGUACCACUAAAUUGGGUGAUGCUACUACCUAGUGUUAAACUGAUAGAUGGUGGUACCGCUUAAUACCGGCAGUGGUAUCGCUAGUACCCUAAAAACUCGAGAUGAGACCGUUUUGGCUCUAAAUUUGAAUCCAUUUGGGGCAUAUAAAUACUCCACUCAUCUUUGCUCAGUUUACAUGUGAACUGGGAACAAAAACUUGAAAAAACAUUGUUGUAAUCCUUUGAAAGUUCCCCUCCUCUUGUUCUAAGUUUAUAUUUCUAUUUAAGAGAAGGGUGAGUGACUUGUAAAGGUGUUUUCCUAAAAUUGUGAAAGGGAGAAAGGAUUAUAAGAGAGUAGUUGGUUCUCACCUAUUGAAAGAAGACUAUUAGUGAAUGCUGGUGGCCUCAACAAAAGAGAAAUGAGGAGUGGAGGUAAGUCGCAACGAUCGAACUACUAUAAACUCAGUUUGUAUUUCUGUUUUGCUUUUCAAUCUCAUAUUAUAAAUUAAUUUAACUAUCUACUACUCUUACUUGCACUCUAAGUUUAAACACAUUUUCGAUAUGACUUCAUUGAAUGAAAAUUUUCAAACCAUUGAAGUUUUACGAAAGUACUAAUUCACCCCCCCCCCCCUCUUAAUGUUGAAACAAUCCUAAUAGUUGGUAUUAGAGCUAGGUUUUUCUCGUUUGGUUUAACACCCAAGAGAAUGGCCUUUACUGGCAAUAUAGAGUGUCAUUCUAUUAUUAGUCAUAGGUGCCCUACAAGCCAAUCAUGUGAGUGAUGGCAUGUAUGACUUAACACGUAGUCUUUUUGCUUAUUAUAUCUUGGCAUUUUGAUCACUUUAUAUUGCUUGUUGCAUAUAAGCAUAUAUAUAUUGUGAUGUUCAUGGAUUUGUGCAAUGAGGAUUGGAUCGUGAUGAGAUCAUGAUAAUGAAAUCGAUUCGCCUUUAAAUACAAACCUUAAAUAAUCCUAGUCAUAGGUUACUCGAGAGGGAUAUCGAGAUAAUCAGACAGACUGGUGUGAUGUAUACCCGUCUAUAUGAUGGAGGUAGCUGGUUUCAUAGCUACUCUUGUGGGGACAUUAAGGAUAUAGUGCAAGUGCUUAUUAGAGAAUGAGUUCGCUGAUUGAUUCGCUUACGUAAUGUUGGAUGGUUGAUGAUGUCUUAUUGUCAAACAACGAUUUCGUAGUCCUAGUGGUAUACUUGGUCCUUAGACUUGAGAUACCAAGGAUGUCAUAUAUGAGUGUUUCACUCUUUGAUACCAGACUUAUAGGUUUGAAUGUUCUAGAUCUAGCACAAUCGAUCGUCGGAAGUGGCAACAGGGCCAUUGAGUGUCGAUAGAGGAUCAUUCACUCUCAAUGUCAUGAGAGAAAUAUCUCAUUUGUUCUUGCUCAAACAAAUCCCUGGCCAGGGUCAUUCGGAUUGAGAGAGAAAGAGUUCCCCGGGAGAAUCCGAUUAGAUUGAGACUCGAGCAAAAACCAUAUGGAUCUAAUAGUACUAUACCCGGUAUAUGGUCUUUGGGAUAUUAGAUAGAUGAGGUGCUAGUCAUAGGUGUCAUACAAGCCAAUCACGUGAGUGAUGACACGUGUGACUUGACACGUAGUCUUUUUGCUUAUUAUAUUUUUGACAUUUAUCACUUUAUAUUGCUUGUUACAUAUAUGCACAUAUAUAUUAUGAUGUCCUUGAAUCCGUGCAAUGGGAAUCAAAUCAUGAUGAGAUCACGAUAAUGAGACCGAUUUGCUUUUAAACACAAAUCCUAAAUUGUAAUCACCGAUAAUUUUCCCUUAACAUAAAUUAAUUACUAUAAAUGAUAUAUUAUUUUAUUAUUAACUUCUAUAUUUAUGUGCUAUAGUUAAAAAAAUAAUUAAAUUUAAUUUCAUUAAUCACAUGGAUAAGUUAGGAAUUCUACUAAUUAAUUAAAUUAUUAAUUGAUUUAUUUUCUAAUGAGUGAUUUGAUAUUUAGGAAGUAAAUAGUUUACAUUCCAUUUUUGUGUGUGAACUAUAAGAAAUAAAUAUUAUAUUAUUUCUUUGUGUGUGAAAGCAAAAGAAAAAUAAAUUAAAAAUAAAAAUUAAAUUAUUAUUUAUUUUUUCGAGAGAUCUCUUCUCCUAUAUAAAGGGGGCUACUCCUCUUUCAUUCCCCACCAAGCCUAACAAUGGGAGGAUUGAGGAGGAGACUUCCCGAGGAGAUGAUAUCGAGGAAAGGAUAGUUGAGGAGAGGUAGGAUCAUUCCUUUUUUUUAAACUAACUUUGAUUUAUAUUUUGAAAUUUUAUUAUACAUAAUGAUGUUUUAGUUUUAAAAUUCUAUGAUUAAUCAAUAAUAAUUAUUAUUUUGUGAUGUUAGAAUGACUAUUUAAUUUAUAUUGAUCUCUUAAGCUUAAGUGAAUUUUAAUAUUGAUUUAAUUAUUAAAAUUCUUAUUUUUGGAUUAACAUAAUAGUUCUAAUUUAUUUAAUUAGAUAUAUUUAUGAAGAAUUAUAUGUGAAUUUAAGAUCAUGAAUUUAAAGUUUUUAUUGAUGGAUUUGAGUCAUUCUUUAAUAAUUUUAAAUAUUAAAAUUUAAUUUGAUAAGAGGAGUCUAAUUAGGGCUUGAUUUGAGUCAAGUUGAUCGAUCAGAUCGGAUCGACUCAACCUAUGUGGUCAUGUACGACCUAGCUCGUGUGACCAAGUAUAACCGAGCCCAUGUGACUCGACAUGGCCCAACUCGUAGCCAGGCAUGACCUAACCUAUGUGGUUAAAUAUGAUCUAGUCAUAUGUCCAUGUAUGACUUGAUUCAUAUGGUAAGGUAUGACCUAACCAUGUGGUCAGGCAUGGGCCAGCUCAUGUAGCUAGGUACGACCCAAUCUAUGUGGUCAGAUAAAACCCCAACUCAUGUGUCUAGGUACGACCAACUCGUGAGCCAAGCAUGACCUAGUUCAAUGGUAAGGCUCAACCCAACUUAUAAGUGAGGCUUAGCCUAGUACAUGAAGUUAAGCCUACUCAACUAUGUAAUUGACAUUAGACAUACCGUCGCUCCUCUAUCUAGCCUGUUGUACUUAACCUACUUGGAAUAGGCAUGUGCAACGUUUGUGACCUAUCCAAGACUUAGGUGGGUUGGGCUAGCACUAUACGACAUAGUCCAAUUUCCUCUUCCUUAUUAGUUUAAACUUCGCUAAUUGACUAAAUUAGAUAUGUUUGAUCGGUUAAAGUUAGUCUAGCGUGAUUCCAAACUAACUUGACUAAUUCAAAUAUACUUGACCUAAUCGAGAUCAAUCAAAUCUAAAUUAGACCAAUCUAGGGUAAUUCUAAACCUGUUCUAUGAGGAUUUGAGGUUGGUUCCAUUAUAUCAUAAUUGAAUUGAGUUUGGUUUAAAUUAAUUGAGCUAUUCCAAUUAAGGUUUUGGUUGAUUGAGGACUAUUGAGAGAUUGAUAUUUCAUGCCUUUAUGAUUUGAUGAAUUUAAAGGUUUUAUCUAAAGAUGUUAUUUGAAAAUUAUUAUUGGUUUUUGAUUUUCUUGUGUUUAUGAUAUUGAUAUGAUUAGUAUCCUGUAGUAGAUGUGACUAGACUAGUAGUUCACAUUGGGAGUGCAACAUGUGAAAGGAGCUAUGAGCCCAUCAUAGUGCGAAGCCACUAGUGAACAUAGUCUAAUAGAUUCACAUCAAGUAUGGUCUCUCAUACUAUUUAAUUAUAUUGAUUUCUUGAUGUAUGUGUGAGUGAUUGGAAGAGUAUAAAUGAAUGAUCAUGGAUGUUUAUAUAUCCUUGUCGAGGGCAGGUAUGGCGAUUCUCUUCGGAGAUUAGCGAGCUGUCACACGUGAUGAUUAGACGGUUCCUCCAUCCAUUGUUAGGAGGAACGUGUCCCCACUUGGGCAUAUGAGGGAUACCACUUCAUCCGCUGUUGGGUGUGCGAUAUGGAUUAUCUCAAUCCGCUAUUAGGAGGAAUCCAUCCCGUGGAAUAUGCCUCUUCAUCCAUUGUUGGGAGAGUGCACCAUUGGGUGUGAUGUAUUCCUUUGUUAUAUAGUUAUUAUAUAUAUGUUGCAUGUGGCUGAUGCAUGAUUUUUUUUAUUAUGUAAGAAAAUUAUCAUCGUCUUUCUUAUACAUAAGUUUUAUGAUGAAUCAAUAUAUUUUCUUAUUAAAUUAUUAAUAUUUAUUUAUAUUUCAUGAAUAUUGAUGAUUAUUUUUAUGAUCUUUCUGAGGUUCCUACCAGCAUGUGUGGUUGCUGAUAUGUUUUUAUCUUAUAUUUAUUUUUAGAGUAAUCUACUACUAUAUAAUAAAUCUAAUGUUUGGGUGGAAGAGACUUGUGACCCUAUCAAGAAGAUGUGAUCAUUUUUCUAGUUAAUAAAAUAUUUACUAUUGUAAAUAUAAGAAUUUGAAUUCAAAGACAAAUGAAUAAAAAAGAGAGUUUAUUAUGUAAAUUAUGAAUAAUAAAAUAUUAAAUUAUUAUUCUUUUUAUAAAUCCGGGAUGUGACAAAUUUAAUGGUAUUAGAGCAAUGAUUUUUUAGGACCUGUUGGAAUAUAGGAUCCUAAGGUUAGAAUAUUAGAUGACCUAUUUAGUUUUUGAGAUUUAGAUUUUAAGAACUAGAUUAUAAAGCAACUAAAAUACUAAUUUAAGAUAUCAUGAUCAUUUUUUAGUCAAAUAUGAUUUUUUUUAUAAAAAUUAAUUGAUUAAAUAUGUUGGUAAAAAAGAAUCUCGUUAAAUGACUUGAAAUGAGAUUGUUGAAUAAAAGGUUAAAAUUUUAAUAUUUCUCUAAAUUAAAAUAAGUGCCAUAUUAGUUUAUCUUAUAAACUUCAUAAGAUUUUAUAUUUUUUAAUAUGAUUUUUCUAUGAUCCUCUUAUCCCCUUUUUGAAAAGUAGAUUUAGGUUGUUAAUUUUAUUAUAUAAUGUUUAUUUUAUUUUUGAGAUAUAUAUGAUAAAUAAAUAAUAUCAAUUGACUUAGUUAUUCAUGAAGAUUAUAGUAAGUUUUAGUUAUUCUAAUUGUAAAAGUUUUGAUAACUUUAAGUGCAAAAAUUUUAUAGGAUCUUUUAUAAAUAUAAAGUAUUUACUUUUAUAAUUUUUUUUAUUAUAUAUUAUUCUUAAAAUUGAUAUUAGAUUUGAUAUAUGCUAGGAUGGCUUGACAUUAAUAAAAUAUGUGCCUUUGAAGGAAUAAAUUUGAUCAUGUAUUGAUAUUUAAACUUAAUUAUAUAAUAAUUAAUUUAAAUAGAGUUUUGAUUUAAUGUCAAAUUAAUUAUCAUAUAUUAUUUGUUUAAUGCAAUGACGAGUCUAAUGAGAAUUAAAUAUAAUGUUAUUUCUUUGAUACAUAUAAUAUAUAAAUCAUUUGAAAUUAUAAAAGAAUAUAUGUUGAAUAGUUAGAUAAAUUUUCAUAAUUUCAAUUGCUUUUGUUUGUUGAGUUGUGCCUUAACUUAUAUUUUAUGUCAACAAUCAAUUAAAUUUUAAAACUUAAAAAUUUUAUUAACUUAUUAGAUAUAAAAUUUGAUAUACUUGUUAUGGGUAAUCUAAAACCAAAUUCAUUCUAUCCGUUUCAUUAAUUUGUCAUAUAUUUUAUGUUAAAAAAAUAUAUCUUUUUACUUAAAAGUUUUGGAGUGACACAUUAAAUUUGAAUAUUUUUCAAGCUAAUUUAGUUUUAUCGUUUGACUUGGUAUUUCAAAAGCUAACUAUAUUGAUUAAUGUUAUUAUUAUUCAAAUUUAGGGACUAAAUUUCUAUUAAAUGAGGGAGAAAUAUAAUGAUCGAUAAUUUUUCUCUUAACAUAAAUUAAUUACUAUAAAUGAUGUAGUAUUUUAUUAUUAACUUCUAUAUUUGUGUACUAUAGUUAAGGAAAUAAUUAAAUUUAGUUUCCUUAAUCACAUGGAUAAGUUAGGAAUUCUACUAAUCAAUUAAAUUAUUAAUUUAUUUAUUUUCCUAAUGAGUGAUUUGAUAUUUAGGAAGUAAAUAGUUUACAUUCCAUUUUUGUGUGUGAACUAUAAGAAAUGAAUAUUAUAUUAUUUCUUUGUGUGUGAAAGUAAAAGAAAAAUAAAUUAAAAAUAAAAAUUAAAUUAUUAUUUACCUUUCUAGGAGAUCGCAUCUUCUCUUAUAUAAAGGGGGCUACUCCUCCCUCAUUCUCCACCAAGCCUAACAAUGGGAGGAUUGAGGAGAGGACUUCCCGAGGAGAUGAUAUCGAGGAAAAUAUAGCAUUCUUUUUUUUUAACACACUUUGAUUUAUAUUUUGAAAUCUUGAUGUUGAGAUUGUAAAAUUUUAAGAUCCAUAAUGAUGUUUUAGUUUUGAAAUUUUAUGAUUAAUAGAUAAUGAUAAUUAUUUUGUGAUGUUAGAAUGACUAUUUAAUUUAUGUUGAUCUCUUAAGCUUAAAUGAAUUUUAAUAUUGAUUUACUUAUUAAAAUUCUUAUUUUUGGAUUAACAUAAUAGUUCUAAUUUAUUUAAUUAGAUAUAUCUAUGUUUGAAGAAUUAUAUAUGAAUUUAAAAUUUUUAUUAAUGGAUUUGAGUCAUUCUUUAAUAAUUUUAAAUAUUAAAAUUUAAUUUGAUAAGAGGAGUUUAAUUGGGAUCUAACUUGAGUCAAGUUUAUCGAUCAUAUCGGAUCGACUCAGCCCAUGUGGUCAUGUACGACUUAGCUCAUGUGACCAAGUACAACCUAGCCCAUGUGACUCGCCAUGACCCAACCCGUGGCCAAGUAUAACCCAACCCAUGUGGCCAAGCAUGACUCAACCUAUGUGGUUAAGUACGAUCUAGUUUAUAUGGCCAUGUAUGACUCAACUCAUAUGGUAAGGUAUAACCUAAUCAUGUGGCCAAGCAUGGGUCAACUUAUGUAGCUAGGUACGACAUAGUCCAUAUGAUUAGAUACGACCCCAAGUCAUGUGUCUAGGUAUAACUAACUCGUAAGCCAAGCAUGACUUAGUUUAAUGGUAAGGCUCAGCCCAACUGAUAAGUGAGGCUUAGCCUAGUUCAUGAAGUUAAACCUGCUCAACUAUGCGAUUGGCAUUAGAUAUAUCUUACUCCUCUAUCUAGCCUAUUGUACUUAACUCAACCUACUUGGAAUAGGCAUGUGCAACGUAUGUGACCUAUCCAAGACUUAGGUGGGUUGGUUAGGUUUGGGCUAGCAUUUUACAACAUGGUCCAAUUUCCUCUCCCUUAUUGGUUUGAACUCGUUAAUUGACUAAAUUAGAUAGGUUUGAUAAGUUAAAGCUAGUUUUGGAUGAUUUCAAACUAACUUGACUAAUUUAAAUCUACUUGACCUAAUCGAGAUCAAUCAAAUCUAAAUUAGACCAGUCUAGGGUGAUUCCAGACCGGUUCUAUGAGGAUUUGAGGUUGGUUCCAUUAGAUCAUAAUCAAAUUGAGUUUAGUUUAAAACAAUUGAGCUAUUUCAAUUAGGGUUUUGGUUGAUUGAGGACUAUUGAGAGAUUGAUGUUUCAUGCCUUUAUGAUUUGAUAAAUUUAAAGGUUUUAUCUGAAGAUGUCAUUUGAAAAUGAUUAUUAAUUUUAUAUUUUCUUGUGUUUAUGAUAUUGAUAUGAUUAGUAUCAUGUAGUAAAUGUGACUAGACUAGUAGUUCACAUUGGAAGUGCAACCUGUGAAAGGAGCUACGGACCCAUCAUAUUGCGGAGCCACUAAUGAACAUAGUCUAGCAUAUUCACAUCAAGUAUUCUCUCAUAAUAUUUAAUAAUAUUGAUCUAUUGAUGUAUGCAUGAGUGAUUAGAAGAGUGUCAAUGAAUGACCAUGAAUGUUUAUGUAUCCCUGUCGAGGGCAGGUAUGGCGAUUCCCUUUAGGGAUUAACGAGCUGUCAGACGUGAUGAUUAGACGGUUCCUCCAUCCACUAUUGAGAGAAAUGUGUCCCCACUUAGGCGGAUGAGAGAUACCACUCCAUCGGAGUGCGAUAUGGAUUAUCUCCAUCCAUUGUUGGGAGGAAUCCAUCCCGUAGAAUAUGCCUCUUUAUCUGCUAUUGAGAGAGUGUACUAUCGGACGUGAUGUACGCCUUUGUUAUAUAGUUAUUAUAUAUGUGUUGCAUAUGAUUGAUGCGUGAUUUUAUUUAUUAUGUAAUAAAAUUAUCAUCGUCUUUAUUAUGCAUAAGUUUUAUGAUAAAUCGAUAUAUUUUCUUAUUGAAUUAUUAAUAUUUAUUUAUAUUUCAUGAAUAUUGAUGAUUAUUUUUAUGAUCUUUCUAAGGUUCCUACCAGUAUGUGUGGUUGUUGAUAUGUUUUUAUCUUAUAUUUAUUUUCAGAGUAAUAUACUAUUGUGUAAUAGAUUUAAAGCUUGGAUGCAAGAUACUUGUGACCCUACCAAGAAGAUGUGGUCAUUUUUCUAGUUAAUAGAAUAUUUACUAUCGUAAAUAGAAUUAUUUGAAUUCGAAUAAAAAAAAAGGGAGUUGAUUAUGUAAAUUAUGAAUAAUAAAAUAUUGACUUAUUAUUCUUUUUAUAAGGGUAGAUCCAUUAGGGUUAAGUUGGAUGUAAAAUAUUGACAAAAGGUAGCUGGAUGGAGAUCCAAUACCCAAUAGGGUGGAUCCAUUAGGGUUAAGUUGACAGGGGACCUCUAUAAAUAGGAGGGAAUUAGUGGUUUAUAGGCUAGUACCUUUUUGGUUUGCCUCUCCUAUUCUCUUCCCCCUCUCCACCUCAAAGCAAGCUUGGAGUUUUGAGGAGCAUCGUCGCAGCCCUACUAUAUUGAUCACUACUAGAGAGGAGGGCACUUGACCUCCUUCACCCUCUCCUAGAGAUCUGUAGGGAUUCAGGGAUAUACGAUCUUCCUAGGUAACAUAACUAUCUCACAUAUGGUUUUUUGUGUCGCGGGUUAUUGCGCAUCAAUCUUCACACGAUGACAAACACAUAUUUGAGAAUUUUCGAUUUUUCUUUUUUAUGUUCUUCCGAUGCGCAUGUGAUGUCGCCCCAAGAUUUUCCAACAGUGGUAUCGGAAUCAGGUUGUUCAUGCGAAAGAUUGGUUUUGAACUGCGUGUGUUAUAUUUUGGAGAAGCUUCUAAUGUCAAAAUCGUUGAUGCAAAAGCGAGAAAGGACAGCAACUGUUGCUGCCCUCACAUAUGGUAGCGCUGCCAUCUACAUGCAGGCUCCUAGCUGAUAGUCGACGGGCACUGCACGCGAGCACGGCUGCUCGUAGUGGCGCCCGCACGUAGGGCCGUAAGCAUGGCGGCCACCUGCGUGCAGGCUCUACGCCCGCUCGCAAGGGCGGUCGCAGCAUGCAGGGGGAAGAGAGGUGUUAGGGUUUUGGCCAAAAGAUAGUUUUGCCUGUCGAAAUUUUAGAAAUUCUAAGUUCUAUCCUUUGUUCAAAUUAUGAAAAUACCCCUCAUAAAUCAAAAAAUUCCUUGCAUAUCCUUGAUUUUAAAAAAUAUUAAUUAAUUAAAAAGUUUACUUGAUUAUUAUUUUUAUUAUUAUCUAGUAGUCCUACAAAAUAGUAUUUACAUGUGAUGUAUAAUGUGUGGACGGAUGAUCAUGGACCAUGUGAUGUGUACUUGUGAUUAUUAUUAUUGAGGCCUGCGAGUCUCUAUUUUAUUUCUCAUUUAUUAUCGGGCCUAUGUGCCUAUGAUUAAGUUGUAAUCACACGAGGAGAUGCAGCGGGAGCGUGGAAGUGAUAGUGGGACCCAUAAGAUAGACGAUCGUGAUGCAUGAUGAUGCGUCGAGAUGCCGACGGAAUCGACGAGAACGAGAUUGAUGAUCACAAGACAUGGAGAUACACCAUUACACACAUAGAUCUUGAUGUGAGUGAUUAGAAACCCACUAGCUCGGGCCUAUUCACUCUAGGCUGUGGUCCAUGAUCAUCUAGUGUGAUUUCCUAUACACAUACUAGAUAUGUAUAUAUAUUUGCAUGCGAUGUUGAUAUAUAUUAAAUAUGUAUGUGUGUAACAUGUUACAUUAGGAGACCAAAUCAAAAUCCCCUCUCAAUAAUAUUAAGUCGGUAAACAUGAGGCAAUUAGAUUGACCCACGUGGCCUUCCAUCGUUAUAGGUAGGGACCGAUUCUCGGUGUAGGUUGGGUUAGUUGAGUCCCUCAAAGCUCACCUAUAUCGCGAUUUACUAUCUUGCCUACGACAUAGAGAUGUCACCGGUGAUCUAAUGACAUGUUAUGCUUGGUCGAGUCCCUCGAGGGUAUAUCAUCGAAUCAGAUUUAUUAUGUAACGAUGGUGUUGACAUAACCGAAUAUCAUGGUUGGUCGAGUCCCUCGAGACCAUGGUGAUUCGAAGGCCGAACAGGAUGGGAAUCACAAGAAGUUAUGAUCGGCAAGAGUUGCUUACCUUUUGGGCUUAGUGUGAUUAGUCGAGUUGCUCGAGGUUACACUAAGAUGCUGAUUAGAUCCCGAUUCCCACUAGAAGUCUAUCGAAGACUUCCGUUUGACGUGCUGAGAGUGUCACUUGUCUCGCCAGUAAAAUAGUCAGAGUAUAUUAAGAUAGAAGUCCAUAUCUUGAUUGUUUAUUUUUAUAAAAUCUGUAUGUUAUUUAUUUAUGCUACAUCUUUAUUUUCAGAAAAUGUGGCUUUCAAAUCUUUUACGUGUCAAACUUGAUGUUAAUCGCUUUACUAGUCUAAAUUAUAUAGAUUGGCUCCGCAACUUGAGAAUUGUUCUCACGGUGAAGAAAAUCACAUACGUCCUUGAUACAGUGAUGCCUACGCCCGAGGAAGGGGCAAGCAAGGAUGAGAUCGCUUGUUACGUGAAGUACAUUGAUGACUCCACUCUUGCUCAGUGUUACAUGUUGGGCCCCAUGACUCCUAAGUUAUAGGGAUAACAUGAAAAGAUGGAUGCCAGAUCCAUUCUCUUACAUUUCGACAAACUGUUUAAGGAACAAGGAAGGACCGAACGAUAUUAGAUAUCCAAGAGCCUCUUCCACGCAAGGAUAACUGAGGGGACACCGAUUCGGAACCAUGUCCUAAAGAUGAUUGAGUGGAUAGGAAAAUCGCAUGUCUAGGAAUGGUCCUAGAGGGUAACAUAUGUGUGGAUCUUAUGCUUCAGUCCCUACUAGAUUCUUUUUCAUAGUUCAUAAUAAAUUUUAAUAUGAACAAGCUUGAGGUGACUCUCCCUAAGCUCCUCAAUAUGUUGGGGGGUAGAGGGCACUAUCAAAAAAGAGAAGUCAGUUCUCUACACUAGUGAAACCAGAAUGAAAAGGAAAGUAGAAAACUCCCUUAAGAAGGGCAAGGGCAAGGACAAACCAAGUAAAAUAAAAGUUGCUAAGAAAGACCCGGUAAAGGAUAAAAACCAAUGCUUCUACUGCCACUAAUAUGAGCACUGGAAGAGGAACUUCAAAAGGUACCUUGCAGAGAGAGCGAAACAAAAGCUUGGAGAAGCUUCAGGUACAUUCAUGAUUAGUCUCUAAUUGUCAUAUUUUUAUGAUAGUGCAUUGGUAUUGGAUAUCGGUAUUGCUUAUCACAUCUUCAAUUUGUGGUAGACUCUAGCAAAGUCUAAGAGAUUGGCGAGAGGAAUAUUGCAUAAUGGUUUGUUUAUGCUAGACAUUAUUCCACAUAUCAUGAAUAUAGGUAUGUCCAAGAGGAAAUAAGAUGAGGUAAAUAGUGCAUACCUAUGAUAUUGUAGACUAGGUCACAUCCAUGAUAGAAGGAUUCGAAAGUUAUUAAAGGAUGGAUAUCUAGAUCCAUUCGACUAUGAGUCAUAUGCCUUACGAGCUUUGUCUUCAUGGAAAAUUGACCAACUCUCUAUUUAGUGGAACCAGAGAAAGAGCCAAUGAGCUAUUGGAACUCAUACAUAGUGAUGUAUAUGAACCCAUUUCAACUCAUGUCAUUGGAGGUUACUCCUACUUCAUUACCUUUAUUGAUGAUUUCUCAAGGUAUGAACAUAUGUACUUAAUGAAGUACAAGUUCGAGGCCUUUGAGAAAUUCAGAGAGUAUAAGAAUGAAGUGGAGGACCAGAUUGGAAAGAGUAUCAAGACUCUUCGAUCAGAUCUAGGAUGUGAGUACUUAAGUACAAAGUUUACCCAGUUCCUCAAGGACCAUGAGAUUCUAUCCCAAUGGACACCUCCUUAUACACAUCAACUCAUUGGUGUAUUUAAAAGGAGGAAUCGUACACUGUUAGACAUGGUACAGUCCAUGAUGAGUUUCGCUGACCUAUCUAUCUCAUUCUAAGGAUAUGCCAUAGAGACUGCAGCUUACCUUCUGAACAUAUUCCAACUAAGUCAAUAGUGUCUACACCAUAUAAGAUAUGGAAAGGGAAGAAGCCCGAUCUUAAGGUUGUUAAUAUUUGGGGCUGCCGGUCAUAGGUUACUCAAGAUAGAUUCGCCUUUAAACACAUAUCCUAAAUAAUCCCGGUUAUAGGUUACUCGAGAGGGACAUCGAGAUAAUCGAACAGACUAGUGUGCCGCAUAUUCAUCCAUAUGAUGGAUGCAUCUGGUCUCAUAGCUGCUCACGUGGGAACACUAGGGAUACAAUACAAGUGCUCAUUGGGGAAUGAGUUCAUUGAUUGAUCCGCUUAUGAAAUGCUGGAUGGUUGAUAAUAUCUUAUUGUUAGACAGUGAUUUCAUAGUCCUAGUGGUAUAUCUAGUCCUUAGACUUGAGAUACCAAGGAUAUCUUGUAUGAGUACUCUACUCUUUGAUACUGGACUUAUAGGUCUGGAGGUUCCAAAUCUAGCACAAUCGGUCAUCGGGAGUGGUAGCCAACUUUAUGAGGACUAUUGAGUGUCAAUAGAGGAUCAUCCACUCUCGGUGUUAUGAGACAAAUAUCUCAUAUAUUCUUGCUUAAAUAAAUCCUUAGCCAAGGUCAUUCGGAUUGAGAGAGAAAGAGUUCUCCGAAAAAAUCUGAUUAGAGCGAGACUCGAUUAGAAACCGUAUGAGUCUGACAACACCAUGCCUGGUAUACGGUCUAUAGGAUAUUAGAUGAAUGAGGGACUAUAGGUAUAUGGUAACUGAGGACAGACAGGUCCAAUGGAUUGGAUUCCCCUAUAUCGUCUAGGGACUACGACGUAGUGGCCUAGUACGUCCGUAGUCAAUGAGUCAAGUGAAUUAUUAUGAAGAUAAUAAUUCACUGAGCCAGAAGGAGUUCUGACAGGUAUAACUCAUGGCAAGCUCGAUAUUGGGCCCAGAGGGUCACACACAUAUGGUAGGCAUUACGAUAAGUGGAGAUUCAGAUAUGAGAUAUCUGCUAGAGCCCCCUAUCUUAUUGGUUAUCCAAUAAACCCUUAAAUUAUUAGAUCCUAUGGAUGAGAUCUAAUAAGAGCCCAUGAGAGAUUAUUGGAUAGAGAUCCACUAAUCUAAGAGGUUUGGGUAGUUGGAUUGAGAUCCAAUACCCAAUAUGACAGGAUCCAUUAGGGUUAAGUUAAUAGGGGACCUCUAUAAAUAGGAGAGAAUCAGUGGUUCAUAGACUAGAGCCUUUUUCGUUUGCCUCUUCUAUUCUCCCUCCCCUCUCCACCUUAGAGUAGGCCUAGAGUUUUGAAGAGCAUCGUCGCAGCCCUACUAUGCGGAUCAUCGCUAGAGAGGAGGGCACUUGACCUCCUUUACUCUCUCCUAGAGAUCUAUAGAGAUUCAGGGAUAUACGAUCUCCCUAGGUAACACAACUAUCUCACACGUAGUUUUCCGUGUCGUGGGUUUUUGCGCACCAAUCUUCGCACGACGACGAACACAUAUUUGAGAAUUUGGGGAUUUUAUUUUUUAUGUUCUUCCACUACGCAUGUGAUGUCGUCCCCAAGAUUUCACAACAUGAGGAACUAUAGAUAUAUGAUAAUUGAGAUAGACAUGUCUAAUGGAUUGGAUUCCCCUGUAUUGUCUGGGGAUCAUGGCGUAGUGGCCUAGUACGUCCGUAGUCAAUGAGUCGAGUGAAUUAUUAUAAAUAUAAUAAUUUACUAAGCCAGAAGAAAUUCUGACAUGUAUGACUCAUGGCCAACUCGAUAUUGGGCCUAGAGGGUCACAUACAUAUGGUAGGCGUUGCGAUGAGUAGAGGUUCAGAUAUGAGAUAUCCGCCAGAGCUCCUAUCUUAUUGGAUAUCCAAUAAGCCCCUGAAUUAUUGGAUCUUGUGGAUGAGAUCCAAUAAGAGCCCAUAAGAAAUUAUUGGAUAGAGAUCCACUAAUCUAAGAGGCUUGGGUAGUUGGAUGGAGAUCCAAUACCUAAUAAGGCAGGAUCCAUUAGGGUUAAGUUGAUAGGGGACCUUUAUAAAUAGGAGGGAAUCAGUGGUUCAUAGGCUAGAGCUUUUUGGUUGUCUCUCCUAUUCUUCUCCCCUUCUCCUCCUUAGAGUUGGCCUGGAUUUUUGAGGAGCCUCGUCGUAGCCCUGUUGUGUGGAUCACCAUUAGAGAUGAGGGCCCUUGACCUCUUCACCGUCACCUAGAGAUCUGUAGGGAUUCAUGGAUAUACAAUCUCCCUAGGUAACAUAAUAUAUCUUAUAUGCAAUUUUAAGUUUCGCGGAUUUUGCGCACCAAUCUUCGCAUAACAAUGAACACAUAUUUGAGAAUUUGAGGAUUUUGUUUUUAUGUUCCUCCGCUGCGCAUGUGAUGUCGCCCCCAAGAUUAUCCAAUAUCUAUCACUCGUCAUCCUAUGUUUAAUGGGAUGGACUACAGAUAUUAAAAAACACGAAUGAGAGUUUUCUUACUUUUUAUGAACUUUGAUUUAUGAAAUAUUAUCGAAUAUGAUUUUUAACAAUCCUCUAAACCUAUGAACAAAUGAAAUUAUUUUGAGAAAAAUAUAUUUUCGUUAAAUGCUAAAGUUGUGAAUGCUUUGUUUUGUGUUUUAUAUAAAAAUAAAUUUAAUCAUAUUUUGAUAUGCAAAACUAUAACAUUUGACACACUAUUGAAAUUACACAUGAUGGCACAAGUAAAGUUAAAGAAUCUAAAAUCAAUCUUUUAAUACAUAAUUUUGAAUUGUUUUGAAUGAAACCAAGUAAAACCAUUGAAGAUAUGUACACUCAUUUUACGGAUGUAUCAAUGGUUUAAAAAUACUUGGUAAAAGUUUUUCUAACCUUGAACUUGUAAAUAAAAUACUAAGAUCCUUUCUAAAAAGUUGGGAUCCAAAAGUGACGGUAAUACAAGAAGCAAAGGACUUGAAUAAUUUUACUCUUGGAGAAUUUAUUGGGUCUUUAAUGACCUAUAAAAUGACUUAUAUGACAUGAUGAAUAUGAGAACAACCUUCCAAAGAAUAAGAAGGAUUUGACACUUAGAAUCAAAUAAGACCACUUGGGAGAAAACUCAAGUGAUGAUGAUGAUGAUGACCUUGAACUCCUCAUAAUAAAAUUUAAGAAGUUUAUAAAACAAGAAUCUAAGAAUAAAAAUAAACUUAAAAAUGAUAAAAUAACUUGUUAUGAAUGCAAUCAGCUAAGGCACUUCAAGAGUGAAUGUUCGCAACUGAUGAAGAAGAAGCUGCCAAAGAAAAAGAAAACAUUCAAGGCGACAUGGAACAAAUCAAGUACAUCCGAAGAUAAGGAGCAAACCAACAAAGACAAGGUGGUGAACUACACUUUGAUGGGUCUCGAUAACAAGGUGACUCAACCAAACCCCUUUACCUUACUAUGAAAUUACUUAAUACAUUUCAUAAGUUAUUUCUAAAUUAGUUAGUAAGAAAUAUAAAAUAUAAAAAAGUGGGAAGGAUCCUGCUAGUGAUUUAAAAAAUAAAUAUGAGCAUGGCAAUUGCAUGUUAACUCCUUGCACUAGGUAUAAAGAGUUAGAUUUACUUAAAGAAGAAAAAUGUAUUACUAUAAUAAAUAAUAAUAAAAAUCAUUGGAAUUAAAAUAAUUAUUAACAAAUCAAAAUUUUUAUUAAAGAUAUUAUAAUGUGCUAUACUAUUGAGAUUAAUGAUUGUGAUGAAACUUAUUUUUUGUUUUCAAACAAUGAUGUAAUGCUAGGGCAUGUUUAUAAGAAAUCAAUCACAUAAAUCGAAACAAACAACAAAAGUGGAAUGCAUUUUUGUUGAAAAUUUCUAUAAAACUUUUCUUUUUUUUUUUCAACAAGAGAUCGUGAGUGAUGAAUCUAUGUAUGUUGUUUUGAAUCUCUUGAACUAUGAAAGUGAUUUUGAUGAUUUGAUGAUUUGAAUUUGAAUGCAUUUUAUCCAAAUCAUGAUUUCUCUUUUGAUUUAUCAAAAUUAUAACUUGAGAUUUAUUCUAUAUGAAUCAAGAUCUUUUAUUUCCUAUGCUUCUUUUUGCUAAAGAGAAUAUUUAUGAAUCAUGAUUUUUCUCUUAAUUUCUCAAAAUUCAUGAUUUAAGAUUUCCUUUAAAAAUCACCUAUUAUUUGAUCUCCUAUGAUUUUUUUUAUUUACAAAAGAAGAGAUUUGUCAAAAUGAAUCAUGACUUGAUCCUUCGUAAUCUUUAAUAUUAAUAUCUUUUAUGUCAUGAUUUUUGUAUGUAUAAUUCUUUUGUAUUUAUGAUUGUAUGCCUUAUGUUAUGUUUGAAAAUUUAUAUAAAGGUUAAAUAUUUAUCACAUUGUAUUAUUCCCUUCCUUUUGAUAAUGACAAAGGGGGAGAAAGUCUUGCUUGCAUAUUGUAAAGAAAGGAAAACUUGCUAGCUUGUACAUCUCAAAAGAGAUUACUAGCUUGCACAUUUCAAAGAGAAAAAAACCUUGCUAGCUUGCAUAUCUAAAAUGAGAAGCAAAGUUUGCUAGCUUGCAUAUCUCAAAAGAGAAGCAAUAAUUGCUAGUUUGCACAUCUCAAGAGAAGCAGAAUUGUUAGCUUAUAUAUCUCAAAAGAGAAGUAAGAAUUACUAGCUUGUACAUCUCAAGAGAAGCAAAAUUGCUAAACUUGAACAUCUCUAAAAAAAUUAAGCUUGUGCAUUUCAAUAACUUGCUAGAUACACUUUUCUCUUUUUUUGUUGAUGACAAAGGGGGAGAAGUAAUGAUAAUUUGAAAUGUUUCAUAUUUUUGUAUCAUGCAUGAAGUAAUGAUGAUUUCAAAAUUAAUCGUUUUGGCAUCAUACCCAAAGUGAAGAUGAUUUGUAAUAUUUUGGAAUUGUGCAUGUUAUACCUUGAUGACUUGAAACUAUAUUUAAAUAAUGAUGCAUGAUAUAUGAAAUUUUGAUAUAUGUUGCAUAUGUUUCACUUGAAUUCAAGGUUAUUAUAUCUUUUGAAUUCAAGUUUGCUUUAUUUUAAUAUAGCAUAUAUAUAGGGAGAGUUAAGGUUAACUUAAUCAUCAAUUGGUUGCCAUCAUAAAAAAGGGAGAGAUUAUUGAAUAUCAGAUUUUGAUGAUGAAAUCAAUUUAUGAGUUUAUGAUUUAAUCCAUAUUUUGAUAAAAGUGACGUAGGAUUAUCUUCGAUCAUACAAAGAUAAAUUGAUUAAAAUAAGAAGAAUCAGAAGUUGGGCCGGAAUAAAACGUGUCAGAAGAUUGAACGUCAGGUCGAAGGAUUGGUCGACAUGCUAGUAGAAGAACUUCGUGUUAUAAGUUCGGGCAUCAGGAUGAAGGAUUGGAUAUUGCACUAAGGAAAUUGGAAGUUGCGGAAGGUUAACAUACCGAUUGGGCAUUACGCCAAAGGAUAGUUCGAAAUGUCGAAGGAUCGGACAAAGUGUCGGAUGAACCAAUGACAUGCCGGACAAAUGAUUCAUGCUUUGUAAUCAUUUGUCUAUAUCGAAGUAGUUUAUGGGGCUAAAUGAGUUAGCUUUUGGUGUAAUCAUUUUAACUUAAUUAGGGGCCAAUUGAACUUAAAUUGGGAUUGAUUUAGGCUCAUUGGGAGGCUCAUUUAAUGACCCAAAAGUUGAGUCAAGCGGUAGCACCACCAAACUGGCGAUGACACUACUAAACUGGCAGUGGAACUACAUAUGAGCUGGAAAAGUCAAGAAUACACUUUUCUAGACUAUCAAGAGGUGGUACCAUGCAGUGUUAAUGUGUUAGGCGCUGGUACCGCCUAGUGUCAGACUGACAAGCGAUGAUACCGCCAGCACCCUGAACUUGGGAUGAGACUAUUUUGACUCCAAAUUUUAAUCAAUUCGAGGUAUAUAAAUAUCUCAUUCAUCCAUGCUCGGUUUACACAUGAACGAACAAAGACUUGAAAAAAUACUAUUGUAAUCAUUUGAGAGUUCUCCUCUUCUUGUUCAAAGUUUAGAUUUCAAUUUAAGAAAAUUAUGAGUAAUUUGUAAAGGUUUUCUCCUAAACCUGUGAAAAUGAGAGAGGGUUAUAAAAGGACAGUUAAUCUUCACCCAUUGAAAGAAGACUGUUAGUGAACACCAAUGACCUCGACGGAAGAGGACGUAGGUUGCGAUGACCGAACCAUUAUAAACUCAGUUUGCAUUUCUAUUUUGCUUUUUAUUCUUAUAUUACGAAUUGAUUUAACUGUCUACUACUCUUAUUUGUACUUUAAAUUUAAAUACAUUUUUGAUAUGGUUUCAUCAAACAAAUAAUUUUAAACUGUUAAAUUUUUACUAAAGAAUUAAUUCAUCCCCUCUUUUAGCAUCGAAACGAUCCUAACAUCAUCCUCCAAUGGUUUGAAGGUUGAGUGAAGCAAUCGAGUCUUUCUACAAAUAAGUCUCGGAAGUUGAUAUCGUCUAUCGGUCCUUUCUUAAUGUCUCAUUCUAACUCACCUCGUGAAGGGGGAAACCGAGAGAUUUUGUCACUGUUUUGGUUGCCUUCUUUCUCUCUCUCUUAACCGUUGUUUACCUUUUCUGUCUUCUUUAAUACAUAAUUAAUACAUAUAUAUGUUUCUAAUUUUAUUGGAUAUGCAUAGAUAAUAUUUUGAGAGGACACUACAACUCAUCCAUUUAUCGAGUUCUCACAUUGUUUAAAUAUUUUUUAUAUGUCGUAGAACCAUAAGGGAAUGCUUAAUAUAUGAGAGAAUUGGAUGGGUGGAUAAUAAAUAAGAAAGAACAAAAAUGGAGAGAAAAUGAGAAAAUUUGAUUAUUAGAAAUUUUAGAUUAAGUAAUAAAAAACGAGUGUUAGAAUUUAAUAUGUGCCAAAAUGGUCAAAUAAGAGGGCUUUGAUCGUUGCACCGAUGCAUCUCCUUCCACAACCACAGCAAGACCAAUUUGUCUGCAUACAAAGUAAGAAGUGGAGAUUCUCAUACGCCACCAUCUGGGACACCCAAUCCAAACCCACAUUAAAUGGACAUGAGAGAUCAAUCUCCACCUACAUCCGGACCAAUUUCUCAUGUUCAAAUUUCAGCGAUCAAUUAUAUAUUCCAACAAUAGAUAUUUGAGCAUAGUGAUACAGUGUAGAGUGGAUUAAUUUAGAUCUUUUAUUGUGUAAUAAUUCAAAAUGAGUAAAUUGUAUCUAUUUUAAUUGUCAUAUAAAGUAAUUUGUUGAGUUAUGCUUGUGUGAUCCCAGUUUGUUGUUUAAUAAAACAAUUACAAUAAUUUACUCAUACAUUUGCUUUUUCACCAACUUAUUUUUUGUUUUGCAAUAUCUUAGAGAUUGCUUGAGGUUUCAGUAAGGCCGUUCAAUUAUGAUUAUAUGUUGCAAGGGUGUUCUAAGACCCCAAUAGUAUUAGUUAAUUCCAUGAUAUAUGGUAUCCUCUCUUUCAAAAUAAUUUAUUAUUUAUAAUCAAAUUAUUAUUUUAAUAGACCUUGCCCUUCAUAUACACUCAAAUUACACACCUAAAACACAUUAUAAUGUAAAAAUUGGAUGAUUCUAGUUUUAAUAAAUGUUAGAGAGGAUACAAACUUUCAUUCUCAACAAGUGGAUCAAUGAUUUUUUAUUUUUCAACAAAGAUAAGUAACAAAAGUGGGAUUGGGAUCUUAUAAUAAUUUGUUAAAGUCCUUUCUAGCUUAGUUAGUUGACAUCUUCAAAAAAUAUUUUAGAUGAAGUUUUAAACCCUCAAUCUUUGAUGAGUUGAUCUGGUACACCACCACUAAAUUAGUGUUUAAGAUGUAAAAAAAUAUUAGAUGAGGUUUCAAACUUGAUAAAUUAGUUUGGUACACUACUCUCGAAUUGUCGAUCUUUGAUAACUGAUUGAUAAAUUGUUCUAAGUAAAAUGGAGUCUCUUUUAUUCAAUUAUUUUUUUAUAAGAGAUAAUCGAUGAAGAUAUAUUUAAUAUCAUAAUGUUGUUAUCAAUAGUCACAAUCUUUACCGAUUGGGUUAGCCAAUAUUUUCUAAGAAUAUUGACAUUUUGAAUACUCAACACUUGGUAAGUUGAUCUUCUCACUUUUCAAUCCUGUAUUGAUUGGAUGAUUCUAAUUCAGAAUCAAGUUGGUGAGGUCUCCAUGUGCAUGCAGAUGCUAACUGUUCCAUCAUAUACCAAUAUGAGUGUUGGGCUGACAGCCCAUGUUCAGUCCAUUGUGGGCUUUAUCAGUUUAUAGUCUACACCCCUUUGAUCUAACUCUAAAUCAAUAUAAGGGGGGUAUGGUGGCUGCGUUUUGAGGUGAAGGUGGCUGCAUUUUUUUGGAAGAAAAACUACAGCAACGCAGACAUCCUUGCAGCAGCAAAAAGGAGAAGAAAAAGACAGAAAAACAAGAGAAAGAGAAAGGAAAAAAAAACAAAGACAACGCAGAGAGACCGUUCUCAAUCAUCUAGCAGUGUUCUCAUCUCAGGUUAGAUCAAAUCUACAGUAGACUCUUGUUGUGAUUACUUGAGAGGUUUUAGAUAUUGAGGAUAGUGACGUAAUUCUUAUAUCACAAUUAUUCUCUUGUGAUUGUUGCUAGGGUUUAGGGCAAGAGAUUGAGAUUUGUAUAUUCAUUAUUCUCAUAGUGGAUUAUCUCUAGUUUGCCCCGUGAUUUUUACCCUUCACAUUGAAAGGGUUUUCCACGUAUAUCUUGGUGUUCUAUUUGAUUGUGGCUCCAUUUAAUUCCGCUGCAUGUUAUGGCCUGCUAGUAUUUAUUCAUAUACAAAAGUUAUUUCUCUUUGUAUCCCCAUCAACUGGUAUCAGAGUAGGGUUAUAGUGAUUUAAUUUUGUAUUAGAACAUGGAGGCCAAUAGUGUUUCUCGCAUAAUUAGUUUAAAUAGAAACAAUUGGAUGAUAUAAAAAUCAAGAAUGGAAGAUCUCUUAUAUUGCAAUGAUUUGUAUGGACCUUUGUAGGGGAAUAAUGCAAAACCCAUAACUAUGACAGAUGAUGAGUGGAAGAGGUUAGAUCGAAAAACAGUUGGGUUUAUUUGACAAUGGCUUGAUGAUAAUGUUUUUCACCAUGUUUCUACUGAAAGUUCUACAUAUUCUCUUUGGAAAAAAUUGGAAAGUCUCUAUGAAAGAAAAAUAAUUGGCAACAAAGCUUUUUUAAUCAGAAAACUUGUAAACCUAAAAUAUAGAGAGGGUACUUCUAUUGCUGAGCAUUUGAAUGAAAUGUAAAGUAUUACUAACUAGUUAUCUUCCAUGAAAAUGUCUCUUGAUGAUGAGUUAUAGGCAUUGUUACUUCUCAGUUCAUUAUCAGAAAGUUGGGAGACACUAGAGGUUUCCCUCAGUAAUUCUGCACCAGAUGAUGUUAUCACCAUGAGUCAAGUAACAAGCAGUUUGUUGAAUGAGGAGUUGAGGAGAAAGAAUUCAGCAACAUCUCAGAAUGAUUUACAAGCACUUAUCUCAGAGAAUAGAGGAAGUUCAAAGUCUAGAAGCAGUUCACGCAUAGGUAGGAGCAAGCCAAGAUCAAGAAAAGAUAUUGUUUGCUAUAACUAUGGUGAGAAAGGACAUUACAAGAACCAAUGUAAGCAACCUAAGAAGAGCAAGAAAAAUGGAAAAGAAGUAAAGUCUACAGAGUUAAAAGAUAAUAUCACAGCUAUAGUGUAGGGUGAUGAUUAUUUGAUUUUAUCUUCUUCUGAUAAUAUUUUUUCUUGUGUGUGUUAGGAUCUUGAGUGGGUGAUUGACACAGGUGCUUUUUAUCAUGCUACACCACGAAGGGAGUUUUUUGCUACAUACAAGUCUAGAAAUUUUGGUGUUGUCAAGAUAGGCAGCUAUGGCACAGCAGACAUCAUUGGCAUGGGUAAUAUCCACAUAAAGACCAACCUUGGCUGUAAGUUAGUGCUUAAGGAUGUGAGGCAUGUAGUUGACUUGAGGCUGAAUUUAAUUUUAGUUGGAAGACUAGAUGAUGAAAACUAUGAAUGCAGAUUUCACAGAGGGCAAUGGAAGCUCAGUAAGGGUUCUCUUAUUGUGGCUAGUGGAAAGAAAUGUCAUACUUUGUACAGGUUGCAGGCUAAAGCUUAUUGUGAGCAGCUAAAUUCUACAGAGAAAGAUUUCAGCAUGGAGUUGUGGCAUAGACGAUUGGAACACAUGAGUGAGAAGGAGCUGCAAGCUCUUUCCAAGAGAGAGGUAUUACCAGAUCUCAAAGGUAUACAUUUGAACCCUUAUAUUGAUUGUUUGGUUGGUAAACAACACAGAGUUUCAUUUCCUAGUCCUGCUAUGUCUAGAAAAAUACAUGCCUUAGAUCGUGUUUAUAUAGAUGUAUGUAGUCCUUUGAAGACAAAAACUCAUGAUGGAUCUGUUGAUGUUUCUGGUAUAAGUGGUGCACUUUAUUUUGUCACUUUUAUAGAUGAUUUUUUCAAGAAAGUUUAGGUCUAUGCUUUGAAGACCAAAGAUCAGGUGAUUAAUAUCUUUAAAGAGUUUCAUGCUAGGGUGGAAAGGGAGACAGAAAGGUAAUUGAAAUGUAUAAGAUCAGAUAAUGGUGGUGAGUAUACAGGAUUAUUUAAUGAUUAUUGCAGAUCACAUGAGAUCCAACAUGAGAUGACAGUUCCUAGUACACCUCAGCAUAAUGUAAUUGUAGAGAGGAUAAACCACACUAUCAUGGAAAAGAUCAUAAGUAUGCUUUCACAGGCCAAGCUACCCAAAAGGUUUUGGGAUGAGGCUUUGAGGACUGCAGUUGAUGUGAUCAACUUAUCACCAUGCACAACCCUAGAUAGUGAUGUUGCAGAGUAUGUAUGGUCAAGGAAAGAUAUUUCCUACAAGCAUUUGAGAGUAUUUGGUUGUCGUGCAUUUGCACAUGUUCCAGAUAAUGAGAGGUCCAAGCUGGAUGGGAAGACUAAAGAAUGUAUUUUUCUUGGUUACUCACAUGAUCAUUUUGGUUACAAGCUUAGGGAUCCAAAAAAGCAGAAGGUGUUUAGAAGUAGAGACAUGGUCUUCUUUAAGGAUCAAACCUUUGAGGAUUUGAAGAAGAAUGCACUAGCCAAGACUUUUGCAGAAGGAUUAGCAAAUUGUGACCUAGUUAUUCCUCCAAUAUAUUAGGGUGAUGGGGGAGAUAUGCAGGAAAAUGGUGUAGAACCUGAUGUUGAUAUACUUGUAGGACAUGUUAAGCAAGAAAAAGUAGGAGAGCAAGUUCCAACAGAACCUUUGUUGAGAAGAUCUUCUAGAUAACGUCAACAUUCUAGAAGAUACUCUACAAAUGAGCGUGUAAUGCUUACUGAUGCAGGUGAACCAGAGAGUUACCAGGAAGCAGUUGAAAGUGAGCAGAAAGAGAAGUGAUUUGUUGCUAUGUAGGAAGAGAUGAAUGCUCUUCAGAAGAACCACACUUAUGAUUUGGUGAUACUUCCAAAUGGAAUGAAGGCUUUGAAGAACAAGUGGGUUUUCAGGUUGAAGACUCAAGAAUAUUGUUCUCAACCAAAGUACAAAGCUAAAUUGAUUAUGAAAGGCUUUGGUCAAAAGAAAGGUAUAGACUUUGAAGAGAUAUUUUCUCCUAUUGUUAAAAUGUCUUCAAUUCAUGUUGCUCUUGGUAUUGCUGCUAGCCAGGACUUGGAGGUUGAGUAGUUAGAUGUGAAGACAGCUUUCCUUCAUAUGGAGUAACAAGAAGGCUUCAAAGUCAAAGGUAAAGAGAACUUUGUCUACAAAUUGAAGAAGAGCUUGUAUGGGCUAAAACAAGCUCCAAGAUAAUAGUACAGAAAGUUUGAUUCAUUUAUGACAAAAAAAUGGAUACAAAAGAACGACUUCAGAUCAUUGUGUGUACAUCAAAUGGUUUGGUGAGGAUUUUAUUAUUCUUUUACUUUAUGUUAAUGACAUGCUUAUUCUUGGGAAAGAUAUGUCUAAAAUUGACAGAUUGAAGAAGGAACUGAGUGAAUCUUUUGCAAUGAAGGACAUGGGACCAGCAAAAUAAAUACUGGAUAUGUAGAUUUCCUAUGAUAGGAAAAAUAAGAAGAUUUGGUUGUCACGGGAGAAAUGCAUCGAGAAGGUAUUAGAAAGAUUCAGUAUGAGCAAUGCAAAAUCAGUUGGUUCUCCUCUUGCAGGUCACUUCAAGUUGUGCUCAGAAUAGAGUCCGUUAAGUGAUGAGGAGAAGGAGAAAAUGCAAAAGGUUCCUUAUGCUUCAGCAGUUAAAAGUUUAAUGUAUGCAAUGGUAUGUAUGAGGCCAGACAUCGUAUAUGCAAUUGGUGUUACUAGCAGAUUUCUUACAAAUCCAGGCAAAGAGCACUAGGCAGUAGUAAAAUGGGUUUUUAGAUAUCUCAAAGGGAGCUUUAAGGUUUGUUUAAGCUUUGGAGGUAGAUCACUUGUGUUGACAAGUUACACAGAUGCAGAUAUGACAAGAGAUAUAAAUACGAGGAAGUUCACUUCAGGUUAUGUACUUACUUUUAUAAGAGGAGCUGUGUCAUGGCAAUCCAGAUUGCAAAGGUGUAUUGCUCUCUCCACCACAUAAGUAGAAUAUAUUGCUGCUACAGAGCCAACGUGUCAUCCAUUUGUGUAAGAACCCAAUGUUUCAUUCCAAGUCAAAGCAUAUAGAUGUCAGAUAUGGAUUCGAAAUGUAUUUGAAGAGAAGUAGUUGCAACUUCAGAAAAUUCAUAUAGAUAACAACGGAGCAGACAUGUUGACAAAGACUUUACCAAAAGAAAGACAGGAAAUAUACCGACAACUGAUCGGCAUGGCUUCACAUUGAGGAGUCAUGGGACAACCUCCCUUAUGGGCUGAAAGGGGAGAUUAUUGGGCUGAUAGCCCAUGUUCAGCCUAUUAUGGUCUUUAUCAAUCCACACCCCUUUGACCUAACCCUAGAUCAAUAUAAGGGGGGUGUGGUGGCUACGUUUUGAGGUGUAGAUGGCUGCAUUUUCUUGGGAGAAAAACUGUAGCAAUGCAGACAUCCUUGCAGCAGCAAAGAGGAGAAGAGAAAAGUAGAAAAAUAAGAGAAAGAAAUGGAAGAAAAUAAGGACAACGCAGAGAGACCGUUCUCAAUCAUCUAGCAGUGUUCUCAUCUCAGAUUAGAUCAAAUCUACAGUAAACUCUUAUUAUGAUUACUUGGGGAGGUUUUAGAUAUUGAGGACAGUAACGUGAUCCUGGGUUUAUAGUAAGAGAUUGAGAUUUGUAUAUUCAUUAUUCUCAUAGUGGAUUAUCUCUAGUUUGCCCCGUGAUUUUUACCCUUCACAUUGAAAGGUUUUUCCACGUAUAUCUUGGUGUUCUAUUUGGUUCUAUUUAAUUCCGUUGUAUGUUAUGACCUAUUAAUAUUCGUUCAUAUACAAAAGUUAUUUUUUUUUAUAUCCCCGUCAACGAGUACUUCUCAUUCUUUUCGAUGAGUUUAAGAACGUGCGUGCACUUCACACGAACGUCGAUUAAAUACAUCGCAAGAUGAGUUAGAUUAAGAGUCGACAAGUGACUGCUACCUUCUGUAGUGGGAAGUGAUGAGUUCAGAUCAUUUUCUAGUUCAUGGCCUCUGCACUACGAGGAAAAGUUGGAAAGAACAGCAGAGAAGACACUGCUGAUUCCGAAAUGCUUAUACUGUGAUGCUUCAACACAAAGAUAAAAGUCAGACAAAUUGUCUUAUCUCAUGAGAACAAGAAAAACUUGAGCUUUUCUUGUAGUCCAGCCAUGAACAAAUGCCAUUUGUACCUAAUCAGUGUACAAGAAAAUGAUCGAGUGCUCGCAAUUCAUUUAGUCUUAUUGCAUCACGCAAGUGCCAAUCUGUCAUCUUUCAUGGUCAUUCGGGAUCAUUAAUACCAGAUAUCUUCAAUAGUAAGAAAAGGAGAAAGCAAGUGUAUCACAGGUCUCCUGUAAUCGACAAGCACUGUUGUUGCAGGUGGGAAGAAUGACAUCUCAAUAGUUCAACCUUAUCAUUCAUUUUUAUAUAUUCCAAAGAAUCCUAAUUUAACAUGAGCCUUCUAAUUGGGAAUUUGAGAUAUCAAUCACAUGUAAAUAGCUGAAUUCAAUCACUGUUCUGGUGAAGUCAAAUCCUCCUAAUAUAUUUUUUAAUUAAAAAACAUAUUAGGCAGUACUUCAAUUAUAGUUGAACAACGAUGCGAUCAUUAUCGGCCAGUAAUUGGACCAACGAGUUAAUAUGAUAGAACGAAUAUUUAAUACAAAUAUCCAAAAUAUAAUAUUAUAUAAAUAUAAGUUUUAAAUAUGAAUAUUUAGCAUAUGAGAAAAUUACAAGAAAACAACUGAGUCAAAGUUAUUGAGGUCAUUUAAGAUUGGAUUUUAUAGAUAUUUUAUUCUCUAAAACUGGCUUAAUUUGGAUAUAUCUCAACAAUAAUUAAUGGGGCAUAAGGUCUUUACACUCUGAAGUAUUUGUGGUAUGGCUAUGAUACAAGUUAAAGUAAAAAAAUCAAUAUCUAUAUUUAUCUCUUGGACGGUAGUAGUAACAUGUUCUAUCGAGGAGUUAAUUGGAUAGGUUUCUUAGAUCCUCCUUUGUUGAUAUCUUGGAUCCUCUUACUAAUAUAUCGUGUCAAGUAGGGCAAUAAAUGUCACUGUCAAGGUUUUAUGUGUGGACUUUCCUAUUUGUAAUUUCAUGUUAAUUGUUUUUUUUUAAUAGACAACUUUCAUUGAAUCAGAAAAAUCAUGUUCAAUUAUUUGUACAUAUAAAAAAGAAGCAUUUUUUUUAGAAAAUAAUUUUAAUGGAGGCCCUGCUCUUCAGCACACAGAAAUGAAACACUAAAAAAUAUUCUCUUCUAAAAUAUUCAAUCUUUAAAGUGACUUUCCAGUUAUUUUUGAAUCAAUUAAAGAAAGAAAUGUUGAAUGUCGGAUUUUGAUGAUGAAACAAAUCGAUAUGUGUUUAUGUUUUAAUCUGCGUUUUGAGUGACGCGGGAUGUUUCGAUCAGGAUGAGACAAUUAAAGCAGAAAAUAUCAUGUUGUGCCGGAGGAACAUGUCAGAAGAUUGGACGUCGGGCCGGUGGAUCGGUCGAUAUAUCGACAGAAGCCUUCAGGCCAUGGAUUUGAGCAUCAAGCUAAGAAGAGCAGACAUUGUGCCAAGGAUAUCAGAGUUGCAGAGUCAACUGCCCAAUUGGGCAAUAGGCUGCAGGAGAGGAUGAUGCGCCGAAGAAUCGGACGAAGCGUCGAGGGACCAAUGACAUGUCGGACAAUUUGAUUAAAUGCUUAGGAUUAAUUGUCUAGAUCGAAGUAUGUUUUACAUAUGCAAGAUUAACUACGAUAGCAAGACAUGAAGAAAAAUAAAGUCCCGGAAUCAAGAUCGAGAUCACGUUGGGAGUUCGAGAGUUCGUCGAAAAUCCGGACGUUCGUCGAAAGUUUUGCGGGAACCAGCCGAGAAGUCAUAGAGCUUGCCAGAGAAGCUCGUUGGAGCUCGCCAAGAAGAUCAUCGUGAAGUCUAGGAGCUUGCUGAGAGUCCGCCGGAACAUUGUCCAAAGUUCAUCGGAGGUUCGUCGGAAGAUCGCCGGAAGAAUAGACUUAAUAGACUUUGUUUAGCUUAGAAUUUGUCUUAGGAAUCGUAGUUAGUACGUACUUGGGAUUGAAUUUGGGCCAACCAAAUUAGAGGCCAGCUAGGCCCAUAUAAGAACUAUGUUGAGCCCAAUAAGAGGCCCAAACAAUGCCCCAAGAAGACUCACCGUCGUGGCACAAUCUUCGAGAUUGUGUCAGGCGGUGGUACCACCAGUCUGGGCGGUGGUACCGCUCAGCACUAGCCCCCAGGCGGUGGUACUGCUAGACCUGGGCGGUGGUACCGCCCAUGCCCGGGAAACCCAGGAUGGGAAAGAUUUAGACUCUAAGUUUGAAUCAAUUUGAAGCCUAUAAAUACCCCUCCCAUCCUUGGUUGAAGAACACAAGCACAGAAAGUUUAAAAGUGAAGAAUUGUUGCUACAAUCUCUUGAGAAAUCCCUCCUCUAGCUUAAACAUAGAUUUCUGUUUAGAGAGGAGUGAGUGAGUGCUUGUAAGUGUUAUCUCUUAAACUCGAUAAAAGGAGAAGAGGGGUGUAAAAGGUGAUUGGCCUUCGCCUAUUAAAGGAAGGCCUCUAGUGGAUGCCAGUGACUCAUAGGUCAAGAUUGAUUGAACCACUCUAAAUCAGAGUUUGCAUUUUAUUCUUGCUAUUUUCCUUACUACCUUCAAGCUAUCUUUACAAAUACACUUUCAAAGUUAUUAUCUUUACGAAACGGCUUUUACGUCGGAAUCGGUUUUCAACGUACGAAGAGAUUUCACGAAGUUGACGUUUUAAUCCGCUGCACUAAUUCACCCCCCUCUUAGUGAGCUCUCAAUCCUAACAAGAAGAGUGAUUGAGAUAUGAGCAAAUGAAUCAAUGGAUAAUUCCAACAUUGAAGUUGAGGAGGAUCCAAACUUCCAUCCUUCGAAAAAAAAAAAAAAAAUCAUCCUCAUCCAAUUAUUUCUUAAUUAGUUGUUUAGUCAGUAGGGGUGUGGUCCAAUGUACGUAAUAAGAGUCAUGGCCAUUAGUGACAUAAUCAAUAAUAGGAUAACAUUCAUAAGGGGACGUGGCAAUUGUGCUUUCAUACCCCACUUGACAUGUCGCAUUGAGAAGUCUCAUGACAUGUUGAGUGGUUCGAUGGGGAUGAAAUGAAACAAGCGAGUCAAAGUCUAAAAAUUAAUUUCAUCUUUUGAUUAUUUGUUGAUGUCUUAUUCUAACUCACCCUAUCAAGGGAAAAAGAGAGAGGUCACUAUUUUGCUUGUCUAGCAUGCGCAUCUUUCCUCUUGUUUUUUCUGUCUUUUUUAAUGCAUAACUAAUAAGUAUAUAUAUUUUUGUGUUUAUUUGAUAUGUAUAAAUAAUAUUUUGAUAAAAUGCUGCAACUCAUUCGUUUAUCAACUUCUCGUAUUUGUAUAAUCUAUUAACUAAUUUUUUUCAUAUCAUGUGACGUAGGUAAUCCUCAAGAAAUGCUUAAUAUAUAAGGGAACUAGGUGAGGAUAGUUAACAAAUAAAAAAUUAAAACAGAGAUAGAAAAUAAGAAAAAUCUGAUUUAUAAAAAUAUUAAUUUAAGAAGGACUUUGAAAUAUUAUUUUGACUUACGUUGUUGAAAUAUACAAGUAUUCACUGUGAAUUAGCUUUAGAGAGAAGAAGAGAUAGAAGAUAUAUGAUAGUUUUGGAUUCGCUCCAAAUCCUCUGAUUUAAAAAAAAAUUAUAGUCUUGCAUCACUCAUUCAUUUUGUAAAAAAUAAUACUAUUAUCAUGAUCCCAUUAUAAUUCUUAAUUUUUUUACAUAAGUAACUAAAACGAAACAAAAUGAAAUGGGAUCAAGAUGGUUCAAUAUGUUUUAUUUGGUGAUCUUUUGAUUAAAUAAGCUGCUAGAAUUGUAUCAUAAAAUAAUCUUCCAUUUUAUGUAUCAUAUUCUUCCAUUCUUAUAAGAUGAUAAUUCUUACUAUCUUUUCUUUUAUUUACUGUCACAAUCAUAGCAUUACAGUUUCCUAUAGAUGAAGGUAUGUUUCCCGAAAGAUGUUAGAAGAAAGGUCCAAGAAGAGAAGUGAGAUUUGUUAUAUGCACGGGAAUGGUACCGUGCAAUAGAUUUGACCUCAAACGAAGAACCUUCAACGAUGAGAAGCUUCUCCCUAUCCAUGUCGGUAUCUCACUGGACAAUUUAUUUUCACCAAGAUCAAGAAUGACUAAUCAUUUGCAGUAUUUCAAGAAAGAAGGAAAUAUUCAAGAUAGGUUGUUAUUGUUCAAAUGCAAAGAUUGUAGUCAUGAUGGGUAUGAGCUACGAUAAUUUGGGGCUUUUUCGGAUGUGUGAUUGUUAGAUAGAUCAAAUAUAUAAAGGAAAGAUAUAUUACAAAAGAAGAAAGGGAGACUGCCAUUGAUGUGAUGAUGGGACAAUGAUAAUAUACAGAGACUUGUGGCAUUUUGCAAUGAUAAUAUAUAUGGAAUAAUGCCAAUAAAUUUGUUGCCCUCAAUAUUUAAGUAUGACAAGUCUGCUCCUCCAGUACAAUUCGACAAACCAUCAACUACAUCUGUAAGCUCUCCAUUGUUAGAAUUCAGACGCAGAUCAAUUAAGUUGCACAAGCCACCUAAAGUCCUCGGCAUCUGCCCUGAUAAGUGGUUAUCUGAUGUAUCCGAGGACUACAAGAGGUCGAGUUUGCCAACUGUUUCUGGUAGUUGCCCGGUAACAGAGUUACGAGACAGAUGUAAAACCUGCAGACUUUGAAGAUUGCCAAUGUGUGCAAGGCUGCUAUCAUUAGUGAGCCAUCUUAGAAUACAUGCAUUACUUGAGUUCUAAUAACCACAGAGAUCGAGCAUGACAAUGGAUGUCAACAGAAGACUACUAAAAGCUACAAAAAUUGCCAACAGAAGCUGCCAUAUAAAAUAACACAAAGAAAAGCAUGUGUCGACAUCCAAUUAACGAGGCAAUGUAUCGACAGGAAAGCGAUAACAGAACGACAGUAGAUCAAAAGUAUUUGAAGAGAUUAGAAGGAAUGCAUACAUGAUGGUUUUCAUGAAGCCAAAGGCCGUCAACGACGAUACUUCUUCCUUCUUUAUUCUGACAGCAUUGCAUGAUGAUAACAUACAACAUUACUUGAAAGCAGCUUCUGACCUCAAGAUGUAACAAUAAGCUCUUCAGCAUACUUCUUUCUGCUUUAUUAUAGUGUCAUAAAGACAACGGUAGGGAUGACUGACUUGAACAUAUUGAUUAGAACGACGGAUGAUGAAGUUUUUGAACUGAUUAGAACAUAUACAUACAUACUAAUGAAGCAAAAGGCCAUCAACUGCGAUACCCUUUUCCAUCUUUAUUCUGACAACAUUGCACGAUAACAUACGAGCUGGAAUUACUAACUGGAAAAGCAACUUGAGACCUCCUUAAGAUGUAACAGAAAACUCUUCGGUUCUUGCCACCGAUGGAUCAAGUCACACUUUGCCGUUUGGACUUUAACCUUGCACAUCCGACUGCCAACUGCACGUAGCACCAAUCGUAAGCCUUGUCGAAAAAUCGAAAGAACGCAAUCCUUAUGCUCUGUUUCAUGAUCAUUGUUCCAACAAAACUCCAAAAACCAACCACAAAACCCAUGACGAUGCUGGUAAUUUCCCACACUGUUUCUAGCCUGUCAUCAUUUUUCUCUUCGUGUUCAUGAGGUGGACUUUGAUGAGCUGCAUCACCAGGGCACUCUGGCAGUGGCGUACCACAAAGGUAUUCAUUACCAUCAUAGAUUGACGGGUCGUCAAUGAAGGUCGACAUUUGACCACCGGCUGUUGGAAUUCUUCCUGGCAAGUUAUUGUGAGAGAGAUUCAAGUGGCUUAGGAAGUUGAGAGAUGAAAAGCUGGAAGGAAUAUCUCCUGUGAGAUUAUUCAUUGACAAGUCAAGUGAUUCCAGUUGUUCCAUGGAACCAAUCUUUUCUGGAAUGGUUCCUCUCAAAUGAUUCUUGGAUAAGUUCAAGAAAAGCAAUCCAUGCAGGUUUGUUAGCUCUCUUGGGAUCUCGCCGGAAAGAUUAUUAUUUGAUAGGUCUAUGCUUGUUACAAGUGAUAGAAUUCUGGUGUAUUGGGUGUCAA
rnacentral:lncRNA from 1 species